rnacentral:lncRNA from 1 species
AAAAUAAACAUGGUACGUGAGCUAGUGUUCAGUAGUCACCUUUGGCAUCAUGCCUGUGACAUCCGCCGCAGAUGAGGUAUGCGGAAGAUGUUUUAUUCAGGAACGGCAUCACUCUCUUCAUUCGAGACAGCUUGAUCUGAAGACACAGGUGCGUGAACCGCGUCCCUCCCUUCAUUAGAGCCAGCUUGAUCUGAAGAUGCAGGUGCGUGAACCGCGUCACUCCCUUCAUUAGAGACAGCUUGAUCUGAAGAUGCAGGUGCGUGAACCGCGUCACUCCCUUCAUUAGAGACAGCUUGAUCCCAAGAUACAGGUGUGUUCCCUACAUCUACACUUGUAGCAGCAGCCUUAGGAACAUUUCCCCCCUCUUCUUGGCUACCAGCAUCAACAUCCAUGCUACAAUUGGUAUUGUCCUGGUCAUCUAAUUUGGAUGAAUCAACCUUGUCAAUGGCGCCCUCGUUCAUGGUAACGCUGUCCCCACUAUGAGCAUUAGAAGUAGUCUGUCCAACUGAAGCCCCAUCGUUAUCCACUUGAGUGUCAGGCAAUGGAGGAAUAGGACCUACAAGGUCUCCAUCUACAUCUGCAUUGUCCAUGUCCAUCUGAUCCCCCUUGAUUUCUUUGCUUCCUGCAGCUUCUUCAUCAGUAACCAUAUUCGUCUGUCCUGAUUCCUCUUCAAUGUCAUGAUUCUUCCUCUCAUUUUCUUCCUCAGCAGCACGAUUUUGAGCUGCAGCUUCCUCCUCCUUAGCACGGGUUUCUGCCUCUAUUGCCGCUUCCUUAGCACGGUUUUCUGCCUCUAUUGCCUCCUCCUUAGCACGGUUUUCUGCCUCUAUUGCCUCUUCCUUAGCACGGUUUUCUGCCUCUAUUGUCUCUGCCUGUAGCCUAAGUAGCCUCUUGUGCUCCUCAAGUUGUUCAUGGAUGCUCUGGUAUCCAGACAGCAGAUCACCAUAGCGGCUCUGGAGAGUCCGUUCUAAUGCUUUCUGUUUAUUCACUUCAUCAGACAAAUUUUUCACACGAUAGGCAGCAGCCAUCUGUUCUUGUUUCUGCAACUCUUGGAAGCAUUCAAGUUCUGUGGCUGCAGUGUUCAUCUGCUUGAAGGUGUCCUGGAUCUGUGACCCCAAUUUUGCAGCCCGAGCCUAACAAAUCAAAUAACAAGUGGAACAAACCAUCAGCACUGCAAAUCGACAUGGAAAACCUAGAAACAAAAUGAAAACAAUAUCAUACAAUAUUGUUUCAGUAGAACUAAUCCAGUAUGUAUCAAAUGAAAAGCAAUAGAACUAAUCCAGUAUGUAUCAAAUGAAAAGCAAAAUAAGAAGUGAUCACUAAACUGUUGCAUUUCUUUGCAAAUUAUGCAAGUUUGGUUUGGGGCAACUGGAUAAUCUUUCAAAUUAUGGGUUAGCUUACACAUGGUGCAUUUUUAAAUGACACCAAACAUCAAUGGGGCAGAGAUGUUAGAGAGGUGCCCUUGGUGCCCUUACACAGACUAGAGAGAAACAUUUAGCAUAGCUAGACUGUAUAAAAUGCUGUCUGGAAAAAAGUUAAAACUAAUAUAGGCAUACCACAAAGAUGAUGCAUCAUCCUCAACUAACCUGGUAUCCUUGUGUCAGCAGUUUGAUCUUCUGCUCAAGCCGAGAAGCUUUCUUUGCCUCAUCAUCCAUUCUCUUCUUUACCAUUUCAAACUCAUGUUGCAAAGCAGAAAUUUUAUCAGCAUUUCCAGCAACACUAGCAAGACCAUAGCUGUUGUUAGUAGGGAAAAACAUAAGGUCCUCCUGGCAUGCAUCAUGUGACUUUACAAAAUCCUCAAAAGAUUCAUUUUCAUGGCCCAUGGCCACACGAAGAUACUGAAUCUCCUCCUCAACCAUAGAACUUGCCUGUCAACAAAUAAAUAUGUGAUUUUAAAAACUUCUUCAUCAUUACGAUUAGACUAAAGCGGGCAAACAGGACUGGCACAAAGAACUAUAAAAAACCGUAAAUAAGAUUUAGCAAGAAAUCAAAUCCAUAUACGGUUAAAGAAAACCACCCACUCACAAGUCAUAACACACAGCCUUCUAUUGAAAGGCAAAAAUCUCCAUUCACAGAUGGUAUGCUAGACAACAACCCACUUAGUCAGGCUAAACAAAAAGGACAGAUGGCUAUAAGUGAUUACUAAAUUGAAGAAGUGUUUCAGUAAUUCAAUAUAUGUGUAUCUGAGUUCUUAUGCAGAAAGAAUACACAUCUCAAACUUUGUCAAUACUAUUGUGAAGAAAUACUGCACAGUUCUCUACAUGGUGUGUGCCCAUGUGCAUAACAUAACAAUUCUAACUAACACAUUACUUGUAGAUGGUAACAUCCUUUACACUCCGGAGGGACAUAUUUUCAAACUGGAGAAUCCAUAUAUUUUUAUCUUGAUUGAAUUCUUGAUAUUUCAGACUUCCAACCACGGUUUUCAAAUUCUUUUCAACUUUCAAUCCCCGAGAGAGGUUGUUUUUCAAGCAAUCUUGUGCACUCAUUGUCUAUCCAUGACAAUGUCACAUCUAAGUGAUGCAUGCUUAACCUGAUUAGUGGCCUCUUGGAUUUUUGAGCAUUCAUUCAUUUUCCAGAAACACGAGUAUCCUAAAAAAUGGGGUAAGCACUGCAUAAAACCUAGCACAAUUCUUCAAUGAAUCCUACAGCAAAACAGUUAUCUUGUGAGUGAUGUGCUGUAUACAGCUCCCACUAUACAAAAUAAACAUGCUUUCCUUCCCUUGCCAUCUCCAGGAUAGCACUCAAUGCCAAUGGAUUAGCUAUAAAAGUAAUUGGCUAUCAGAAGUAAGAUCAUAAAGGUUGGUACAGGAAUAGUUUAGACCUGCUGCUCACAUACAGGCGCUAUAUUCCAUAUUACUGUGUUACUCACUUGUGUAUAUACAAUUAUGAAACCACAGCAAGUAAUUAUUGAUGUGCCUAAUACUACAUGAAAUCGGAAUAUAUGUUAUCAUGUAAAUUGAAUAUACAGUUCAACAUCAAAUACCAAUAAUAAAAAAGGAACAGAAAAGAAGUAUACCUCUUUUAGUUCAUGCUCAUCAAAACCUUCGAUUUCAGGGACGAAAGCUGCCCCAUUUGCCUGACGCUUGCUGCCUUUCUUUUUCUCUCUUUGAGUUUGUUCAUCAAGAGGAUAUUUAGCAUUAUCAUGCUCAAGGAGCCUAAGGAGUUCCUCAUUUAUUAGCUCGUCAGCUUGUUCAAGUGAUGUAGGAGGCACAAAGGUACUUCUGGUUUCACCACCUUUAAUCAGAGAUUGCCGGAGAAUCUCCACUGAAGCAGCAGGUGGCCUAGGCAAACUCCUCUGCAACACUUUGGACCUCUUUCUGAGCAAUGCCUCCUGCCUUGCUUGUUCCUCAGCCCUUUCUCGUGCUAACCUGUCUGACAUAUCCUCUUCAAUUCUCUCUUCUGCUUCUUCCUUCUCCUCUGUGAUAGGUGGCAUAACUAUCUGGUACUCAUUCUUAGGCUGUGGAAUAGAAGCAAAACCAGACCGCAAACCUCUUCUCAGCUCGGCUUGCCUACGAAGCUCAAGCUGAGCGCUGUCUUGCAUUUCCACCUCUUCAUUUAUGUGAAGCUCAUCCCUGAAAGGGGUUCCUUUUGGAGUUAACCCAAAGGCAUUUCCAUCUCUGGAUGGUGUCAAACCAAUCCUUGGGGUAACACCAGGGCCAGGGCUAGCCAGAGGCGUCGCCAUGGGAUUUGGAGUCUGUAUCUCUUUCUUACGUGGUGUAACGCCUGAGAAAUCUGAUGGGUGAAGCUCUGGGUUAUCGCCUCCUAAAAGAGGUGUUUGUGAUUCCCUUAAACGUGCAAGAUUCUCUGCCUCCAUCAUAAUAGCGUCACCUUUCCCACCUGGCGUUCGUUGCGGCGUUCGCAAUGGUGUCAUACCAAGCCUUGGAGUCUGGGAAUAAUUUGCAAGCAGUGUCCUAGUGGCAGUACUUCCUUCACCAAGCUCCUCGGCUAGAGCAGGAUCACCGGCAUUGCCCAUCUUUGCAAUCUCCUCCAAUUCAUGGUCGGAAAUUUGGGGUGGUGGAAGCAUUAGUUUGGACCUUCUUGUGACAGCUUCUGGGUCAUUGAGUUUAUUUGCUUGCAUUAUUGCGGCAGGGGCAUCCUGCCUCUGCAGAAUCUUGUUCUUGGCAAUGUCUUGCUUUCUUAAUUGAGCCUCUACAUCCACUCUUCUCCUCCCUUCAAGCUCCUCAAUGGUAGUUGGAAACUGCACAUGCUCAAGUGGCCUGUCCUCGCCCACUGUAUCAUAAAAACCUGGAGGGGGUCUCUUUUCAAAAGGGAUCUCGGCAUUAUAGUCAAUUCCCUUUCUCUUUCUUUUUUUGUGCCGGUUGUCAAUACCAGCUGCCUUCAGUUCUCUCCUUUUUUGCAGUGAUGCAAGCCGCCUCGCCUCUUCAAGCUGUUUCUCUCUUGCCUUCCGUUUUGCCUUUUUACCCCUGGUGUUAGCUAAGCGAGCCCUUGCCUCAGAAAGCAUUUCCUUUUCAUCUUCGUCCAUGUCAACAGGAUCUGGACGUGCAGGUUUUGACUCAGGGUUUGGAUCUAUCUCCCCAGGUCGCAACUUUCUUGGGUCAUCGUUAGGCUCAUAAUUCUCAUCCUUUGCACAGGCAGCAUCAAGCAAUUUUUCAUAACGCUCGAGGCACUGGGAUGGUGUUCGACCCACAAUAGGUGCAAUAGUCCUCCAUUGAGUAGGCAUGAGCUUAGCAAGAUGAAGCAGCUUCUCAUCCUCUUCCCUUGUCCACUCAGUCUGGGGUUAAUGGGCACUGGUUAGUUAAGUAACGUAAAUGACAGAACCUCUAUAUUAUUCGACAGACAACUGAAAACUGAAAAUGGGGCAGACCUAUGUCAUAAUAGAGCAGAUAUAACCAAUUAAAAGAAACAUUAAGCAUCAUAUGACAGGUAAAGAUUGACGGUUAUUUUGAACAAGUUAAUUUGAUUAGAAUGUGAAUCACACAGACUGAAAAUAUAGUUUAGUCAAGUUAGCUUGGUUUUUAUUAGACACUUAAGUUUUAGAGUUAGAUGACAACGCUAAUGAAGCAUUAAGAAUCAAAUUUAGAGUUCUCAACAAAGAUUUAUUAACAUCUUUCCUAUAACUUUAACAAGCUAGGUCCAUAUUUCAACGAUAUCACAGAGAAUGUGUUAAGAGCAUAACAUCAUGCAAGCCAUAAUAGUCAUGACCAAAAAAUAAGUAUACGAUGGCAACACAGAUAUGACAUAUUGUGUUCAUUAUAUUACCCUCGCUAACAAGAAUAUUACAAUGCACAAAGACAAUUAGUCAGUUCCAUUGGUAGAAGUUGACCAUCCAAUAACGUAUGUACAAUCAGUGCAUAGGAUUCUAGCAUGGUAUAGUAUGAAGAGAGAAUAACAUAACCUCAAAACCAAUAUGUGUGUUGAAAUAUGAGCACUUCAAAAACAUGUGGAGCAAUUUACAACAAAAAAUGUAAACUAGAUAAUGUAAACCAAAUGGCAAUUCGUCAAAACUGUACACAGUGUAGCAUUUUCAAAACACCACAUGAUAACCACGGAUCCUCUAGUUUGUACUCACUCCGCGUCACAAUUACAGAUCCUCUAUAUAAUCCUUUCAUAGCAGCAUCUAGUUGCAGUUCACUCGCUAACAAAGUACUAGCCAUCUAAAAAAAUCUNNNNNNNNNNNNNNNNNNNNNNNNNNNNNNNNNNNNNNNNNNNNNNNNNNNNNNNNNNNNNNNNNNNNNNNNNNNNNNNNNNNNNNNNNNNNNNNNNNNNNNNNNNNNNNNNNNNNNNNNNNNNNNNNNNNNNNNNNNNNNNNNNNNNNNNNNNNNNNNNNNNNNNNNNNNNNNNNNNNNNNNNNNNNNNNNNNNNNNNNNNNNNNNNNNNNNNNNNNNNNNNNNNNNNNNNNNNNNNNNNNNNNNNNNNNNNNNNNNNNNNNNNNNNNNNNNNNNNNNNNNNNNNNNNNNNNNNNNNNNNNNNNNNNNNNNNNNNNNNNNNNNNNNNNNNNNNNNNNNNNNNNNNNNNNNNNNNNNNNNNNNNNNNNNNNNNNNNNNNNNNNNNNNNNNNNNNNNNNNNNNNNNNNNNNNNNNNNNNNNNNNNNNNNNNNNNNNNNNNNNNNNNNNNNNNNNNNNNNNNNNNNNNNNNNNNNNNNNNNNNNNNNNNNNNNNNNNNGAGACCGGGGCGACGGGGUGGUGCGGCGAGGAGGGGAUUGGAGGAGCGGGGCCGCGGGGGAGGGCGGGAAAGUGGGCGACGGGGAGGGCCAAGCCGGCGGCGGAGGGCAGUGGCGGCGCUCCUCUCACGGGACGGAUUGGUUCGGGCUCGGGAGGCGGGACUUGUCCUGGUGAGGUAAACCCGAUGACGUGGCAUGUAACGCUCAGUCAAAACCAGUCAACCGCUGGAAAGAGUUUCUCUAGAGCAACCCUACCACACCCCGCAUCCCGUCGACCCGAAAAACACGUUUGCAGGUCGUGCUAAACUGCUUAUGCGGGCUGGCCUGGGCUGUCACAUAUGCAGAUCCCACAAACGGAUCCGUAAAAAAUAUAUUUGUGGAAUAUUCUUUUUUACGGGUCGACUUUGAAGGGUCCGUUCUUUGCACCGCUGCUUCCCGUAUCAUUAGACCGUAAAUAUCAAAUACAACAUAAUUCAACGGCCGAAAACAAACUGAAUUAUUCCAAUCAAACACAAUACAAUAAUCAUCCGCAUUACAAAUAAUUAUUCAAAACUUGUCAUGAAUACAAAUACAAAUGAAUACAAAAAUAAGUCGUUGUCUAGCCCUUUGCCAAUAGUGUUCAAUGAGAUACUUCUGAAGUUGAAAGUGGGUGUCUGGGUUUUCAAUCUCCUUGUAUGUCUGAAGAAAAGCUCUAAUGCGGUUUGGGUCUCUAGCUGGUUUGACACGGCUACCCACAUUGUCGUAAAAGAAUUCUAAGUUCAAUCCUCUCUCAUCUUCAAGAAUCAUAUUGUGCGGGAUAACACAGCGUGUCAUGAUGUUCUUCAAGGUUCUCUUAUCCCAAAAACGAGCAGGACCAUGCACAAUGGCAAACCUAGAUUGCAAAACACCGAAUGCUCUUUCAAUGUCUUUGCGGGCUGCCUCUUGCACCUUUGCAAAUUCAUAUUUUUUUUGUUUUGGGUUCUUUGAUGCUCUUGACAAAUGUGCACCAAGGAGGGUAUAUACCAUCUGCAAGAUAGUACCCCUUUGUGUAUUCAUGUCCAUUAAUAGCGUAGUUGCAAGCAGGAGCAUCAUCACUAGCAAGCCUAGCAAACAAAUGCGACCGUUACAACACAUUGAUAUCAUUGAGAGUGCCCGGCAUACCAAAAAAGCAAUGUCAAAUCCAUAAAUCCUCGGAUGCUACGGCCUCUAGCACAAUUAUUGCAUCACGAGACUUGUCACAAUAUAUUCCUUGCCAAGCCUUGGGGCAAUUUUUCAAAUUCCAAUGCAUACAAUCAAUGCUAUCUAGCAUUCCAGGCCAACCUCUCCUCUCAUUAGAUGCCAUCAAUUUCUUUGUGUCAUCUUCAUUGGAUGCCCGAAGAUACUCAGGACCGAAGAGACGGAUGAUCACUUUUGCAAAUCUACGCACAUACUCAAUUGUGGUAUCUUCACCAAUGCGAAUGUACACAUCGGCAUAGUUAACCGGAACGCCAUAUGCAAUCACCCGCAUAGCUGCGGAGAUUUUUUGAUAUGCACUAAAUCCCUUUAAGCCUGCGACAUUCCUUCUUUGAGUAAAAUACCGGCAAUUUUCCUCGCAAGCUUGAACAAUUUUCACAAAGAGGGAUCAGCGCAUUCGGUACCUUCUCCGGAAGAGGUGUGGAGGAUAUGUAGGAUUCUCCGCGAAAUAGUCUUGCAUCAACAUCUCGUUCCCAAGAUGGCGAUUCCGAGGAAUGCACAAACGCUCGACAGUCGAUCCUCGCCUCUUCUUAUGGUUCUCGUCUUCAUUCUCCUUCACGGCAAGCGUCAUGACUAAUGUUUGCUGACGAAAGGUCGCAAGCAUGGUCUCAACAUCCGAGCCGUCCGAAUCGGACGAAUCGGAUAGCAGGAACUUCUCACAUGGGGUCAACUCCAUCUUCUCGGGUAGUUGGCGGGAGGAUAGUAGGAACCACAAAAAAGGUACUAACCGGCGGCGGCGAUGAGGCGGUGGUCGAUCCCGGGCGGCGACGGCUAGAGGGGGCUCUUCUCGCCGGAUCCGGAGGGGCGGUGCAGCGGCUCGCCUGCAGAUAUGGCCGGAAUCGCCACCAGCAGGCGGGAGGAAGCAAGGGCGGGGCGGCGGCGGCGGAAGGGAGGGGAAAAUAGCGCGGGCUGAAAUGUCCCUCCCGCCAACUGCCUCUCUGUUAUGCAGGGCACCGCAGCCGUGAGGGGGAAACCCGCGUUUUCCCAGGUUGGGGUCGGGAAUUUGCCGCGCCCCCUGAAAAUUUUUGCGAGCCGGGGCGGGAUGCGGGGUCUGAUCGGGCAGGCUUUUCCACCCCGACCCGCAUUUUGGCGGUUAUUUUGCGGGUCGAGGGCGGAUGCGGGGUCUGCUAGAGUUGCUCUUAGAACCGAAAUCUCAUCGAGUGAAUGUUUUACGGAAAUACUAACUGACGAACGUUUCCUCUGUGGAAGGUAGAUGGCAAGCGAAUGCAUUUUCAUGACCGUUUUGGUUACGGCGCGAGAUUAAACGAUGACAGUUUUAGAAAAAAUGCCUUCUUUGAAAGAAAAAAGAAAACAAUUAAAAACAACCAACUGAUUCUCUCUCCCUUAAACCGUCGCCUCCGUACGCCAUGUGCCCUCAUGGAUUCAUCCACCGCUCACUCUCGUCCCACCUUAUCUCUUCCCCUCCACUCGUUUCUCCCUUUCCCUUUUCAUUGUUCUCUUAUUCGUCAGCUGUUAGAUGAGACACUGGAGGGAAAUCAGGAGGACUGUCGACGGAGUUGAGGAAUCGAGUGCAGGAUCGUCGUGCAGUCGCAGUCCCGAUAUCCCACACGUGUUGCUGCCCUAACAAUUGAAAAUCGGGGAUCAUCUGCCAUUGUUGUAGGAGAGGAGAGCCGCACAACGCUGACCACCCUGUUGUCGUGAGUUGCAGGGCAGCCAUCGCUGCUGAUAAGGGCUCGUCGUAUCGCCGCUCGAGGGUGUGGCGCUGCCGCAAAAGGAGAUGUCGCAGCACCCGUGAAGUUGCAAAGUGGCAACGGUCCGCUUGAGGAUGAGGCGUUGCAGCUCUCGUCGUGCUACAAUGGAGUACUCACCGGCGGCAUGCAAUGCUGGUCGGUGUUGCCGAAGCUGCAGUGCAACGGUCACAAUGCUGCAAUGGAGCGCUCGCGUGAGUAGUCGGUGCUGCGGCGAGGCUGUUGCGUUGCAACAGUUGCGACUCUACAGGGAGAAACGGGUGCUUCGAUGCAGCUUUGUCGGUGGUUGUUUGUGCUGCGGCGCAACGUUGUCGGAGCUCCGAUGGGCGCUCAUGAUGAUGCAUGGACGAUGUUGGUGCUUCGAUGCAGCGCUCAUCGACGACUAUCGUGCUGCAAUGCAAUGCUCAUCGGUGGCUGUUGGAAGGUAAGACAGGGGUGUGGCAGGUGAACCUACUGAUGAGCAUUAGUGAUGGAUAUGACCCCUACCACGAAGCAGAGGCUGGGAGGCAGGCGACGACCAGAGGAGAAAUAAGCAGGACAUGUUGACACGGUUUUGCAUUGACCGAUCCAGCUGCUACGCGGGACGGCUCCAACGGCUUUCGACCCGACUGAUUUUCUCUAGAAAUGAGCCGGAUGAUCCCUAGCAGUGGCCAUGUAUUCCUAUAAAGAUAUUGUCAUGACAUUCUUUUUUUCGGAAUGAAAAGGAGUUUAUUCUAAUAUUAUAGGGUUACAAUCACGAGUCAAAUGCUCCUCACAAAACAGAGGACUCAUGUUCAACCAUACCGCAGGGCAACACUCGAUACGGCUAUAAUGUGUGAGAAGAUGUGCUACCCUAUUUUGCUCUCUACCAAUUUUACAAGGAACAAACUCACUAACAACUAUGUGAUUUUUAAUGUUAGCAUCCAACUGACUAAAGAUUGAUCUCGAAAGACUGACGCCUGAGAGUACUGUCAAGGCAUUCGUAGAGUCGUGUUGGACGAUUACCGGCUUGUUUGAAUGCUCAAUGGUCAAUGCCAUACCUUGCAUGAUUGCGUGAAUUUCUGCAUCAAGUGCGUCAUUGCAAUGAAAGAUAUACUUGUAUGCAUCAAAGUUCGCGGAAUCAUCCUCAUUUCACAGAACCAUUCCAGCACAUGCACGCCCAUCAUGACUCGAAAAUGAGCCUCAAACAGAAAAGGCACACCAUCCAGCUGUUGGAAAUAUGCCCUAGAGGCAAUGAUAAAAUAGUUAUUAUUAUAUUUCCUGUUUCAAGAUAAUCGUUUAUUAUCCAUGCUAUAAUUGUAUUGAAUGAAAGCAUAAAUGCAUGUGUGGAUAUAUAGACAAAACAAAGUCCCUAGUAAGCCUCCAGUUGACUAGCCAGUUGAUCAAGGAUGGUUAAGGUUUUCUGACCAUAUGCAAGUGUUGUCACUUGAUGACUGGAUCACAUCAUUAGGAGAAUGAUGUGAUGGACAAGACCCAAACUAUAAACGUAGCAUGUGAUCGUGUCAUUUUGUUUCUAUUUUUUCUGCGUGUCAAGUAUUCAUUCCUAUGACCAUGAGAUCAUGUAACUCACUGACACCGAAGGAAUACCUUGUGUGUAUCAAACGUCGCAAUGUUACUAGGUGACUAUAAAGAUGCUCUACACGUAUCUCCGAAGGUGUCCAUUGAGUUAGCGUGGAUCAAGACUGGGAUUUGUCACUCCGUGUGACGGAGAGGUAUCUCGGGGCCCACUCGGUAAUACAACAUCACAUAUAAGCCUUGCAAGCAAUGUGACUAAAGUGUUAGUCACGGGAUCUUGUAUUAUGGAACGAGUAAAGAGACUUGCCGAUAACGAGAUUGAAAUAGGUAUAGGGAUACCGAUGAUCAAAUCUCGGGCAAGUAACACACCGAAGGGCAAAGGGAAUGGUAUACGGGAUUAUAUGAAUCCUUGGCACAAAGGUUCAACCGAUAAGAUCUUCGUAGAAUAUGUAGGAUCAAAUAUGGACAUCCAGGUCCCGCUAUUGGAUAUUGACCGGGGAGUGUCUCAGGUCAUGUCUGCAUAGUUCUCGAACCCGCAGGGUCUGCACACUUAAGGUUCAGUGACGUUUCGGUAUAGUUGAGUUAUAGGUGUUGGUGACCGAAGGUUGUUCGGAGUCCCGGAUGAGAUCACGGACAUCACGAGGAUUUCUGGAAUGGUCCGGAAACGAAGAUUGAUAUAUAGGAUUGUUUCAUUUGGCCUCCGGAAAGAUUUCAGGCAUUACCGGCAGUGUACCGGGAGUGACGAAUGGGUUCCGGGUUUUUACCGGGAGGGAGCCACCCACCCGGGAGAGAACCCAACAUCACAUGGGUGGCGCACCAGCCUUUGGUGGGCUGGUGAGGCCAGCCCAAUGGGUCUAUGUCGGCUAGAAGAAAAAUCAAAGGAGAAAAAGAAAAAAAAUGAGGUGGGAAGGAAGGAGGGGACUCCUCCUUCCCCAAACUGAAUUGGAGUUGGAGUCCCCUCCUCCUCCACUCGACCGACGCCCUAGGGGCUCUCUUGAGCCCCAAGGCUAGUCCCCCCCUCCUGUAUAUAUUAGAGGUUUAGGAUUUUUGGUGACACAACUUUAGCCAUGUGCAACUGUAAACCUCUACUUCGUAGUUCUUCCUCUAGAUCGGUUUUCUAUGGAGCUCGGGCGGAGCCUUGCAGGAAUAGAUCAUCACCAUUACCGGGGCGCCAUCACACUGUCGUGGAACUCAUCUACUUCACCGUCUCUCUUGCUGGACCAAGAAGGCGGAGAUCGUCAUCGAGCUGUACGUGUGCUGAACGCGGAGGUGCCGUCCGUAAGGCGCUAGAUUAGAACGGAUCGUGGGACGACGGUGAUUUGAAUCACGAAGCUGUUCCACUACAUCAACCGCGUUUCUUAACGCUUCCCACUUAGCGAUCUACAAGGGUAUGUGGAUCCGAUCUCCCUCUCGUAGAUGAACAUCACCAUGAUCGGUCUUCGUGGGCGUAGGAAUUUUUUUGUUUCCCAUGCAACGUUCCCCAACAGUGGCAUCAUGAGCUAGGUUCAUGCGUAGAUGUAAUCUCGAGUAGAACACAAAAGUUUUUGUGGGCGUUGAUGUUCGAUUUGCUGCCCUCCUUAGUAUUUUCUCGAUUCGGUGGUAUUGUUGGAUUGAAGCGGCCCGGACCAACAUUACUCGUACGCUUACGAGAGACCGGUCCCAUCGACUAACAUGCAAAUUGUUGCAUAAAGAUGACUGGCGGGUGUCUGUUUCUUCAACUUUAGUUGAAUUGGAUUUGACCGAGGCGGUCCUUGGAGAAAGGUUAAAUAGCAAUUUGCUCAUCUCCGUUGUGGUUUUGCGUAAGUAAGAUGCGAUCAUACUAGAUACCCAUAUCAGCCACGUAAACACAUGCAACAACAAAUUAGAGGACGUCUAACUUGUUUUUGCAGGGUAUGCAUGUGAUGUGAUGUGGCCAAAGACAUGAUGUAAUAUAUUGGAUGUAUGAGAUGAUCAUGUUGUGAUAGUUAAAUAUCGACUUGCACGUCGAUGCUACGGCAACCGGCAAGAGCCAUAGGUUUGUCUCUAAACUAACGUUUGUGUUCGCAGAUGCGUUUACUAUAUUGCUAGGUUGUAGCUUUAGUAGUAAUAGCAUAGUUAGCACGACAACCUCGAUGGCGGCACAAUGAUGGAGAUCAUGGUGUGGCGCCCGUGACGAUGAAGAUCAUGCUGGUGUUUGGUGAUGGAGAUCAAGAAACACAAGAUCAUGGCCAUAUCAUGUCACUUAUGAAUUGCAUGUGAUGUUAAUCCUUUUAUGCACCUUAUCUUGCUUAGAACGACGAUAGAAUUAUAAGGUGAUCCCUCACUAAAUUUCAAGAUAAAAUUAUGUUAUACCCGACUGUGCACCGUUGCGGCAGUUCGUCGUUUCGAGACACCGCGUGAUGAUCAGGCGUGAUAGACUCAAUAUUCACAUACAACGGGUGCAAAACAGUUGCACACGCGGAACACUCGGGUUAAACUUGACGAGCCUAGCAUGUGCAGACAUGGUCUCGGAACACAUGCGACCGAAAGGUCGAGCAUGAAUCAUAUACUCCAUCCGUUCCUAAAUAUAAGUCUUUUAAGAUAUUUCACUAGUAGUUUACAUACGGAGCAAAAUGAGUGAAUCUACACUCUAAAUUAUGUCUAUAUACAUCUGUAUGUAGUCCACUAAUAAAACUUCUUUAAAGACUUAUAUUUAGGAACGAAGGGAGUAGUUAAUAUGAUUAAUAUAGAGAUGUUUACCACUGAAACUACACUCAACUCACGUGAUGAUCGGACUUGAGUUAGUGAAUUUGGAUCAUGCCACACUCAAGUAACUAGAGGGAUGUCUAUUUGAGUGGGAGUUUAUUAGUAAUUUGAUUAGCUAAACUCUAAUUGUCUUCAACAUAGUCAAGUCCAUUUUGAAAUAUUUUAUGUUGUAGAUCAAUGGCUCACGGAGUAGCAACCGUGAAUUUCAAUACGUUCCUAGAGAAAGCUAAGCUGAAAGAUGAUGGUAGCAACUUUGUAGACUGGGCUCGUAAUCUAAGGCUCAUCCUACAAGCUGGGAAAAAGAAUUAUAUCCUUGAUGCAGCGCUAGGAGAUGAACCACCCGCUACGUCUGAUCAAGAUGUUUUGAAUGCUUGGCAAGCACGUAAGGAGGACUACCCAGUAGUUCAAUGUGUAGUCUUGUAUGGCUUAGAACCGGGACUCCAACGAUGCUUUGAACGUCAUGGAGCAUAUGAGAUGUUCCAGGAGUUAACGUUUAUCUUUUAGAAGAAUGCCCGGAUCGAGAGGUAUGAGACCUCCGAUAAAUUCUGAUCUUGCAAAAUGGAGGAGAAUUUGUCUGUCAGUGAACAUGUGCUCAAAAUGUCUGGGUACUCAAAUCGUCUAGCUGAGCUGGGAGUUGAACUUCCGCAAGAGGCUAUCACUGACAGAAUUCUUCAAUCACUGCCACCUAGCUACAAGAGCUUUGUGUUGAACUAUAACAUGCAAGGGAUGAACAAGUCACCCGCGAGUUAUUCGCGAUGCUGAAAGUCGCAGAGUCAGAACUCCGGAAAGAACAUCAAGUGUUGAUGGUCAAUAAGACCACUGGUUUCAAGAGAAACAGCAAAGACAAGAAGGGUAACUCUAAGAAGAGCGGCAAAAUUGUUGCCACUCCGACGAAGAAACCUAAGGCUGGACCUAAGCCGGAAACUGAGUGUUAUUAUUGCAAGGGGAUGGGUCACUCGAAGCGCAACUGACCAAGUAUUUUUUUGAUAAGAAGGCGGCCAACGCCAAACCAGGUAUAUGUGAUAUACAUGUUAUUGAUGUGUAUCUAACCAACUCUCAUAGUAGUGCCUCGGUAUUUGAUACCGGUUAUGUUGCUCAUAUUUGCAACUCGCCCAUGGGUGGCGCACCAGCCCUUGGUGGGCUAGUGAGGCCAGCCCAAUGGGGCUAUGUCGGCUAGAAGAAAAAUCAAAGGAGAAAAAAAGGAAGGUGGGAAGGAAGGAGGGGACUCCUCCUUCCCUAAACCGAAUUGGAGUUGGAGUCCCCUCCUCCUCCACUCGCCCGACGCCCUAGAGGCUCUCUUGAGCCCCAAGGCUAGCCCCUCCCCUCCUCCUAUAUAUACUAGAGGUUUUAGGGUUUUUGUGACACAACUUUAGCCACGUGCAACCCUAAACCUAUACUUCGUAGUUCUUCCUCUAGAUCGGUUUUCUGUGGAGCUCGGGCGGAGCCCUGCAGGAAUAGAUCAUCACCAUCACCGGCGCGCCGUCACUCUGACGGAGAACUCAUCUACUUCCCCGUCUCUUUUGCUGGAUCAAGAAGGCGGAGAUCGUCAUCGAGUUAAACGCGGAGGUGCCUUCCGUUCGACGCUACAUCGGAACGGAUCGUGGGACGACAGUGAUUUGAAUCACGAAGUUGUGCACUACAUCAAUCGCGUUUCUUAACGCUUCACGCUUAGCGAUCUACAAGGGUAUGUGGACCGAUCUCCCUCUCAUAGAUGAACAUCAUCAUGAUAGGUCUUCGUGUGCGUAAUUUUUUUUGUUUCCCAUGCAACGUUCCCCAACACCAGCAGGUGGAUGAGGCCAUGGUACAAUAAGUAGCACACGUUUGUUGUGUACACAGCUUGGCCUUCCUCCAUCGUUGGCAUUUUUCCUUCUAUGAUUUCUUCCGUAUUGAACUUAGUUGCCAAGUUAAGCGACUUAUAAUAGAUGUUCAAAUAGUCAACUAUAACUUGAAUCGGGGUCUCACACUUCCCAUGUGUAAAAUCAUUCUGAAGUUGCCAAAUUCGUCAAAUGGUCAUGAUCACCAUGUCCUUGGUUUGUACCGAACAUUUAUACAAGAGUUGCAAGGGCCAAUCCUUCCCUCAUACUAUCCCUUACAACGAACAUUCACCAGCUAUCCAUUGUUGUGCAAGAAACUUAACUAAUACAUGGGGAGGUGUUCUUCGUCGAGGCAUUAUCGCUUCCCUACAACAUGCAAUUCAUGAAUAAGUCUCCACCAAAAACAAAGAGUUGAUGCUUUUUCCGCCCCAAUCACUUUGGCUCCUCAGUGUAAUGCUCGUCCUUUCAAAGUGUUGGAACACCGGGAAUGCAAAGGCAUUUCGUCAGCUUGAUAUCCAUUCAGACACAUUACUUCGACUUACGAUUUCAUAUUUGGACCUUUGGUCUCAUAGACUUUGUAAACAUGAGUUGAAAAUGCCUGAACUUCCAUGCCUCCGGUUCAUGUCGAAUAAGGAAAAAAAACAUUAUCCUACACGAAGGCAGCGAUUUUUCUUCACCCAUGAUUAAAAAGAAACAAUUCUCAUAUAUUUCUCCCGGAGCACUCUCCAACAUGAAAUUUCUCGCUUCGUCACCUUAAGUGUUUCUCUGGCCAGGAAUAAUUACACCUUUUAGGGCAUGAAUCCAACCACUAGUCCGGUUCGGUCCUAUUCCCUCAGUUCAUAAAUAUUUGUCUUUCUAGAGAUUCCACUACGGACUACAAAAGGAUGCAUAUAGACAUAAUUUAGAGUGUAAGUUCACUCAUUUUGCUCCGUAUGUAGUCCGUAGUUGAAUCUCUAAAAAGACAAAUAUUUAAGAACGGAGGGAGUACUUUCUAGGAAAAAAUCUGGUGCACCGACAAGCCAAAAAUCUACACCCUAUAUGAUGAUUUACACCAAUUCAUCUUUGACAUGGCUAGUAUAAAACCGCCCACAUAGCACUGCUGCUGAAACAAGAUCAAGCUCGCAUCAUAUACGUGUGUCGACCUAUAUCGUUCUGCCCUAUAAAAGCUUCAGCCAAACAGUGAUAAAUAGACUCAAACCUACAAUACCUUUCAUAUGUAUAGGGGCCGACAAAUGAGUAUCCUUUGAUGUUUGCAACUCCUGUGUCAGCGAUGAAGGAAACACCGAACGUUUAUUUUUUCCCAGCCCAGGAGAAUCGGUUUCCAGCAACAGCCCUGUCAAUUCUGUAUAGAUACCAAAGUUGGGUAGAGUUUUAUCAGAGACUUGCAAUGGAUAUCUUCUGAGCACCGAGAAGAUAUCUCCAUUUUGGCUGCUGACUAGCUCACAUUUUGACACUACGGUUAUCCUAUACUCAGUGUGUUCAUUGCAUCACUCGUAAGGACAGAAAACAUAUCCAUGGUGUUUUAAACUGGAAACCGCACGUUCUUCAAUCUUUUCAGUGUAGACAACGUGUGUUUCAGCCGCUCUGAACUGCAACCUGCGUUUCAGUGCGUUCUCGGCGUUUUUCUUGUUGUUGCUGUUCUAAUCACCUUCGAUUUCGUGCCGCCGAUCAUGGUAGUACCGGAAUUCAUACAUGUAGUAUUUGAGCAUGUCUAACAAUAUGUGAUUCUCUGAAGAACUCCACGCAUCAAAGGUACUGCGCUAAACUGAGUGACAAUAAUUAUGCACCACAGCACACAGUAUUUCUCAUUUCUUCAUCCAACAACUGAAUGAUAUCACAUAUUCUAUCUGACGGAUCAAGUUCCUGCCCGCCUGAUACAAACACCUUAGCAGCACCUUUCAGUUGGAUCCAGCUACAGCCAGGAGACUUCUUGACACCAUGCUCUGCCAUGGCUCUUCUCACCCCCUCCGCUUCCUUCCACUGCCCAGUGGCGCACAACAUGUUGGACAACAUCACAUACCCAGUGUCUCUCACAGGCUCCAUCGACACCAUGCCGCUCCCCACCUUCCUUCCGAUUCUUGUGUCCAGUUGCACCGAUGAGUAGGCACUAAGCAGAGACUCACGCAUAUCGCUGCUGUGCAUCUGAACCGUUUCAGAGUAUUGCUCCAGCACCUCAAUGGCUUUUGCGAUGUUCCCAGAUCUAGCAUACAUGUCGAGAACGCAAGCUAAAUGCUCCGGUGUUGGCUUCAGUCCAUGGACAGACACCAUCGACUCAAAGAAGGCUCUCCCUUGCUCCAGGAGGCCAGAAUGGCUGCAGGCUGUGAGCAAGCCUGUGAAUGUGACUUCGUCGGGGCAAACAUCCUGGGACAACAUCCUUUCAUACACUGCAAAUGCUUGCUUUGCCCAUCCAUUUAUUGCAAACCCGAACAACAUGGUGUUCCAUGACACUGUGUCCUUCUGAAGAACGGCAUGGAACACAUUGCUUGCCCCCUCGACGUCUCCGCACUUUGCAUACAUGUCCAUCAAACUGUUGGCCACGUACAAGUAGCAUGCAUAACCCGUUUGGAAUGCACAGCCAUGAAUCAUCCUUCCACUGGCCAUAGAUGCCGCAGCAGCGCAAGCAUGAAGCACAGCACCAAAGGUGAAGUCGUCAGGAUGGAUAUGCCCGUGUUCCAACAUCUUACUAAAUAGUGCAAGGGCCUCAUCCGCACAGCCAUUCCUCGCAAAACCUCCAAUCAUCGAAGUCCAGGAGAUGUCAUUGGUCUCAGGAGCACUUUGAAACAGAGCAGCAGCUUGUUCAAUGUGGCCAAGCCUUGUGUGUGCGUCGAUCAGUGAAUUCCAUGACACAACGGUUCUACUCUCCAUAGACUCGAAGAUCUUGACAGCACAAUCCAGCAAGCUGAACUUACUGUAGAAGGAAAUAAGCGAGUUAUUGACCUCAGGGAUGGCACUCCAGCCACUCUGAACCACAAUCUUGUGGACUGCAGCGCCGGUGGAUGGGCAGGGCAGCUCCGUGCAAGCAUCGAUCAGAAUGCAGAGCGUCGCAUCGUCGCAGGAAAGCCCCGACACCCGCAUCUCGUUGAACAGAAGCAGACACUGCUUGGCAUUGCCACAGCGGGAAUACCCCGUGAGCAGCGUGUUCCAGGCAACACUGCUAACGCUUCCAGCGGGCAUUUCGUCGAACAGCUCGCGCGCGAGCGCCAUGCGGCCCGAUGCGACGUAGCCGUGGAGGAGCGAGCACCAGGAGAGCGCGUUGCGGUCGCGCAUCUCCCGGAAGGCGCGCGCGGCGUCGUCGGCGCGGGCGCACCUGGCGUACAUGGCGACGAGCGCGUUGCCGACGGGGAGCGGCGCGCGCAGGCCGAGCCGGAGGAGGCGGGCGUGGAGCUGCGCGCCGGCGCCGGGCGAGCGGAGGGCGGCCGCCGCGGAGAGCGCGGCGGUGAGGGAGAAGGCGUCCGGACCGCGCAUGGCGGCGAAGAGGGCGAGNNNNNNNNNNNNNNNNNNNNNNNNNNNNNNNNNNNNNNNNNNNNNNNNNNNNNNNNNNNNNNNNNNNNNNNNNNNNNNNNNNNNNNNNNNNNNNNNNNNNACGCGGUUGAUGUAGUGGAACGUCCUCACGUCUCUCGAUCCGCCCCGCGAACAAUCCCGCGAUCAGUCCCACGAUCUAGUACCGAACGGACGGCCCCUCCGCGUUCAGCACACGUACAGCUCGACGAUGCUCUCGGCCUUCUUGAUCCAGCAAGAGAGACGGAGAGGUAGAAGAGUUCUCCGGCAGCGUGACGGCGCUCCGGAGGUUGGUGAUGACCUUGUCUCAGCAGGGCUCCGCCCGAGCUCCGCAGAAACACGAUCUAGAGGAAAAACUAUGGAGGUAUGUGGUCGGGCAGCCGUGAGAAAGUCGUCUCAAAUCUGCCCUAAAAGCCCCAUAUAUAUAGGAGGAGGGAGGGGGACCUUGCCUUGGGGUCCAAGGGAACCCCAAGGGGUCGGCCGAGCCAGGGGGGAGGACUCUCCCCCCCCCCCAAACCGAGUCCUACUUGGUUUGGUGGGAGGGAGUCCUUCCCCCUUCCCACUUCUUCCUCUUUUUUUUUCUUCCUUUGAUUUUUCUUCCUUGGCGCAUAGGAUUUGGUGGGCUGUCCCACCAGCCCACUAAGGGCUGGUGUGACCCCCACAAAUACCUAUGGGCUUCCCCGGAGUGGGUUGCCCCCCUCCGGUGAACUCCCGGAACCCAUUCGUCAUUCCCGGUACAUUCCCGGCAACUCCGAAAACCUUCCGGUAAUCAAAUGAGGUCAUCCUAUAUAUCAAUCUUCGUUUCCGGACCAUUCCGGAAACCCUCGUGACGUCCGUGAUCUCAUCCGGGUCUCCGAACAACAUUCCGUAACCAACCAUAUAACUCAAAUACGCAUAAAACAACGUCGAACCUUNNNNNNNNNNNNNNNNNNNNNNNNNNNNNNNNNNNNNNNNNNNNNNNNNNNNNNNNNNNNNNNNNNNNNNNNNNNNNNNNNNNNNNNNNNNNNNNNNNNNAAUAAUAACUAUACAUUUAUUAUUGCCUCUAGGGCAUAAUUCCAACAUAGAUGUCAUGCAAGUUUUUUUCCCUAAGCACGUAUGACUACAUACGGAAUACAUGCCUACAUUAGAUUGACGAAUGGGAGCUAGUUACUUCUCUCUCCGUGUUAUAACUGUUACAUGAUGAAUCACAUCUGACAUAAUCAUCCAUCACCGAUCCGAUGCCUACGAGUCUUUUACUACUGGUCCUUGCUACGUUACUCUGUUGCUACUGCUGUCACUGCUGCUACUGUUACUCCGUCACUACUGCUGUCACUGCUGCUACUGUUACUUUGUUGCUACUGAUUACAGUUGCUACUGCUGCUAUCAUACUACCUUGCUACUGAUACUUUGCUGCAGUUACUAAAUCUUUCAGGUGUGGUUGAAUUGACAACUCAACUGCUAAUACUUGAGAAUAUUCUUUCGCUUCCCCUUGAGCCGAAUCAAUAAAUUUGGGUUGAAUACUCUACCCUCGAAAACUGUUGCGAUCUCCUAUACUUGUGGGUUAUCAAGACCUUUUUCUGGCACUUUGCUGGGGAAGCACAUCUAUAUUCUCUGAGUCACUUGGGAUUUACGUCUGCUGGUCACUAUGAAGAAUCCGAUAGAUCCAAGAACUAAAGCCUUGCCCUCAACUACGAGGACAGGUAAAAAACUGCCAUCUAGCUCUGCACUUGAUUCACCUUCAGUUAUGAGUAAGUUUGCGACACCGCCCCCUGCUAGAAAUCUUGAUAUGUCGCAUGUGCUUGAUUUUGCUAGUUCUGCUGCCCAUGAUGCUUAUGAUGAUGCUAUGCUUGAUACUGCUUUGCCACUAGGUGCAUUCCUUGAUGUACAAAUUGCUAGAGUUGCUGCUAGAUGUGAUGAUACUUCUGAAACUGCUGAUACUAUUGAAGUAGAACCUGCUAUUUUGCCUGCUAGAACUAGCUCUUCUAGAAAUGAAUUGCCUGAUAUGUCUGAGCGUUAUGUUAUGGAGGGAGAGAUAGCUGAGGACUUUCUUGCGUGUAAGGAUAGCUAUGAUGUUGAUAAAUUACUGCUCAAGUGGAAAGAAAAAUGUAUGAACGCUAGGAUGAAAUAUGACCCGAAGUUUGCUACUUCGCCUAUCUUUGUUACCGAUAAGGAUUAUGAAUUCUCUGUCGACCCUGAGUUAAUCACUCUGGUCGAAUCUGAACCUUUUCACGGUUAUGAGUCUGAAACGGUUGUAGCCCAUCUUACCAAACUGCACAAUAUAGCCACCCUAUUCACGAGUGAGGAAAAGAUCCAUCACUACUAUAUCCUCAAGUUGUUUCCUUUCUCGCUAAAGGAUGAUGCUAAGACUUGGUUCACUUAUCUUUCUCCUGGUUGUGUGCGUAGCCCCCAGGAUAUGGUCUACUACUUCUUUGAAAAAUAUUUCCCUGCCCAUAAGAAGCAAGCUGCCUUGCAGGAAAUAUACAACUUUGCUCAAGCUGAAGAAGAGAGUCUCCCACAAGCUUGGGGGAGGCUCGUCCAACUACUGAAUGCUUUGCCUGAUCACCCUCUUGAUAAGAAUGAAAUAUUUGAUAUCUUCUAUAAUGGACUUACCGAUGCUUCCAGAGACCACCUAGAUACUUGUGUUGGUUGUGUUUUUAGGGAACGAACCGUAGAACAAGCUGAGAUCCUAUUGAAUAACAUCUUGUGCAAUGAGAAUGCUUGGACUAUUCCCGAACCACCUCCUAAGCCAACUCCGAAGAAAAGAGGUAUUCUAUUCCCCAGUCCUGAAGAUAUGCAAGAAGCUAAGAAAUCUAUGCGAGAGAAAGGCAUUAAAUCUGAAGAUGUCAAAAAUCUACCACCUAUCGAAGAGAUCCAUGGUCUUGAUAACCCGAUACAGGUAGUAGAAGUAAAUUCUCUGCGUAGGUUUGAUGAGAGUGAUAUUCCUUUUGAUAAACCUGCUAGCCUAUGCCUAGAUGAAUUUGAUAACUUUGUUGCCAAACAACAGAGUUUCAAUGAUUAUGUUAGCACACAAUUGGAACAAAAUGCUCGUAUGCUUAGUCAUUUAAGUGCUUGUGUGGACAAAAAUGUCAAUGAUCUUAAGCUCUUGAGUAAACAUGCCUCUAUGGUUACUACUCAGGUAGAACAAGUACUUAAGGCUCAUAAUGACUUGCUCAAUGAGUUGAAUGACAAUUAUGUUAGAGUCGUUACUAGAGGCGGUAGAAUGACUCAAGAACCUUUGUAUCCUGAGGGUCAUCCUAAGAGAACUGAAAAGAUUCUCAAGGAGUUAGCAUUGAUGCACCUAGUCAUCCUAGGAAGAAGAAGAAGGAUGAUAGGAACCUGCACGCUAGCAACCCUGUUGCUGCUACACCUGAGAGUCCAAACGAUGUCUCUGUCUCUGAUGCUGAAACAUAAUCUGGUGAUGAACAUGAGCCUAAUGAUAAUAUCGAUAGUGAUGUUCAUGAAGAUGCCCAACAUAGCAAUGAUAAGGAUGUGGAGAUUGAACCUGUUGAUCUUGAUAACCCAGAGCCUAAGAAUAGAAGAUACAAUAAGAAUGACUUUGCUGCUAGGAAGCAUGGUAAAGAAAGGGAACCAUGGGUUCAUAAACCUAUGCCCUUUCCUCCCAAACCAUCCAAGAAAAAGGAUGACGAGGAUUUUGAGCAAUUUUUUGAAAUGAUUAGACAUGUCUUUCUCCUAAUGCGUUUGACAGAUAUGCUCAAGAUGUCUCUGUAUGCUAAGUACAUGAAGGAUAUUGUGACUAAUAUGAGGAGGAUACCUGAGGUUGAGAUUUCCAUCAUGCUCGCUAAUUAUACCUUCAAGGGUGGAACUCCUAAGAAACUAGGUGAUCCCGGUGUGCCCACUAUACCUUGCUCCAUUAAAGGAAACUACGUUAGAACUGCUUUAUGCGACCUUGGGGCCAGUGUUAGUGUUAUGCCUCUCUCUCUUUAUCGUAGACUUGAACUAGAUAAGUUGACAGCCACUGAAAUCUCUCUGCAAAUGGCCGAUAAAUCAAAUGCUUUCCCUAUCGGCAUUUGCGAGGAUGUGCCUGUUGUGGUUGCCAACGUCACUAUCUUAACAGACUUUGUUAUCUUGGAUAUUCCCGCGGACAUGCCAUGGCGGUCAUCCUCGGAAGACCCUUUUUAAACACUGCAGGGGCUGUUAUAGAUUGCAACAAAGGCAAUGUCACUUUCCAUGUCAACGGUAAUGAGCAUACGGUGCACUUUUCGAAGAAACAAUAUCGAGUACAUUGCAUCAGUGCUAUCGAAAAAACUUCAUCGAUUCUUAUUGGGAGCUUUGAAUGCCCUAUUCCUCAUGUUAAGAUGAAGUAUGAUUUGCUUGUUGGGGAGAUACACAUCCCCAUUGAGGUGACCUAGUGACUAUUUGAAAAUUCUCCGGUCUCUUUUUCGAUUCGGAAAAGUUUAUCAAGGAGACUUGAUCAACCUCAUUGACAGAUUUCUUUCGAUGGACCAUGAGAUGGAUGAAUCGAGGAGUCACAAACCUCUAUUCCAAGCUUUCACCUUCGGUUGCUUAGAAUAAAAAUGACAGGUUUAGUUUAGUUUUCCCUGUUUUCUGUUUUAGCGUCCGGUAGAAAAGUACCCCGAAAAUAAAAGUUCUCCAAACGUCCUGAAAAUCAAGUAUGAUUUUUUCUGGAUUUUUUGAAAAAUACUGAGACGAAUAGCUAGUCUGGGGUUGCACCAGUGGGCCACAAGCCCUGGAGGCGCAGGAACCCCCUGGCCGCGCCUACCUGGCUUGUGGGUCCCACGUGCACCCCCUCCACUCAUUCUAGCUCCCAUCUGGUUCUCCUAACUCUAGAAAAAAAUCGUCUUGCAGCUCAAACCCGUGUUCUUGCUCCUCUUGCUGGGAUUUUCGAUCUCCUUGCUCAAAGCACCAUUCUCCGAACUAUUUUGGGAAAUUACUCCUUGGUAAGUGACUCCUCCAUUGUCCAAUUAGUUUUUGCUCUAGUGCCUUGCACUUCGCGUAUUUUUGCUGCCUUGGUGACCAUGUUAUUGAGCUUUGCAUGCUAAUUUUAGCUGGUCCCAAGUGGUUUUGAUGCGUAAUAUGGCCUCUAGGCACUUGUGGGAGUAGUUGCUACGAGUUUCGUUGAGCCUUGUUCACUUUUCCUUAGAAUCACUAAAAUUUCAGAAAUUUUCAGAGAUAGAAAAAGGAAAAGAUGAGGAGGUUCUUAAGAGGCUCUUCAAGCCGUGACCCCAAGGAUGAUGGAAGUGAGAAGAAGCCCAAGUAUCUGGUCCCUCGAGUCGCAGAAGUUCAAGCGUGCGAGUGGCCAAGCGGUGUGUUCUUACGCGCCGCCAGACUUUAUGAGGAAUUUUACUACUUGGUGGAGAACGCGGGCCUUACCGCCUUCGUUGAAGAUAAGUGUCCGCAAUACCUCCUCCUCACUAAUAUCUUCGUACAAAUCUUUAACUUCUAUCCGAGGAAGAAUCCUCCUAUGGUUGAGUUCAAACUUUAUGAUAUCCCCCAGCGCAUGUCACUCCAGGAUUUUUGCAAUGUCUGCAAAUUACCUUACAUUGGGGAUAUUCAUGAACCUCGUCCACGGGACUUGGAGGCUUUCAUCGGUACAAUUGUUGUAGGAGAGGAGAGAGGAGUGUCUUGCGCUAGAGCUAUUAGCAUUCAUUUUCCCGUGCUACGGUACUUCUCAUUAUUCGUGGGAAAAUGUUUGAUUGGUCGUGGGAAAGCUGGGUCACUUAGUUCCCCAGAUCUUGCGGUCUUGGGCGAAGCCCUUUAUAAUGAUAAAACUUAUAGCUUGGGCGCUAUAGUAGCUCAACGGUUGAACACGAACCAUUCUAAAGGCAUUGUCUAUGGAGGUAUCUAUGCUAGUCGUCUUGCUAGACACUUUAAGAUACCUAUUAGACUGGAGGAGGAAGAAGAGAUUCUUCUUCCCGAGAGAUAUCUAGAUUACGAUAGCAUGGUUCGCCAUGACUUUCUUGAUAGAGAUAUAAAUAGAAGGAUGAUCUAUAACCUGGUAUUUAGUCAGGGUACUCGUGAGACUAUUACUUUGCCUGCUCCUUAUUUGUUCAAUCUUCAUGCAUGUAGGUACAUUAUUAUGCCCUUGGACAUCUACGCAUAUUGGGGCUUGGCCCAACCACAGGUGCCCGUGCCCGAGCCACCAGUCGAGUACCAGACGCCGGUUUAUCAGUGGGAGCCAGAGGAGCUCACACAGCAUUGGCAUCCUCAGUCCACUCUGGAGUAUCCCGGAGCUAGUUAUUUCCCUCCUUGGGAGUAGCCCAACUUAGGCCAAAAGCCUAAGCUUGUGGGAGUACGUGUUUCUCACCGACUUUACAUUCUUGCUUAUGCUUUCACUUUGUUCGUCGGUGUUCACACUUUGCCAUUGUAUCAUCCAUGCUAGUUUAUUUCUUUUUCUCAUUUUCUUUUCGUGUGUCUGUCUAGUUUGAGAAAACCCAAAAAGAUUUUCUUUUUCUUCUCUUGCUUGUUGGGAGCUUUCCCGUGUAAAUAGUUUUCUUUUUCAUUGGGUCAAGGUAGAAGACCAUGGUUACAAUGUUUAAUGGCUCUCGCAUGCAUAUAUGUUUAUCUGUUAAAGAGCCAUAUUACUUUGUCUUCUCCUUUGUGUUUGCAUGCAGAUUCCAGCUUAGUCCAAUGCACAAGCACUCUUAUUAUUGUUCACAUCGUUCGGUCGUGAAAGUGAAAGGCAAUAAUGACGAUAUAUGAUGAAGUGACUGAGCCUGGAAAAGCUGGUAUGAACUCGAUCUAUUUUGUUUUUAUAAAUAUGACUAGCUCAUCGUGCCUGAUUCAGCUUUGUUGUGAGAGAAAGAUGUUUGCAACUUAGAGAUCAUAGUUGCUUAUGCCAUGCUUAUUUAGCUAGGAGCUUAUAAUGGUUUGUCUUGGAUGCCCACAUGAACUUUGAGAUGACUAUGAUGUAGUAUGAUAGGAUGGUAUCCUCCUUUGAAUGAUUCAAGUGGCUUGACUUGGCGCAUGUUCACGCAUGUAGUUGAAACAAAAUCACCAUAGCCUCUACGAUGUUCAUGUUCAUGGUGAUUUAUGUCCUACUCAUGCUUGCACUCAAUGUUAGUUAAUCUCGUUGCAUUUUGAUGACCGUUGUCGCUCUCUAGUUGGUCGCUUCCCAGUCUUUUGCUAGCCCUCACUUGUACUAAGCGGGAAUACUGCUUGUGCAUCCACUUCCAUAAACCCAAAGUUGUUCCAUAUGAGUCCACCAUACCUACCUAUAUGCGGUACCUACCUGCCGUUCCAAGUAAAUUUGCAUGUGCCAUUCUCUAAACCUUCAAGAAAUAAUAUGUUUUGCUUGCCCGAACCGCUCAUGUGGUGACAGGGGGCUAUCAAUAUCUUCCGUGCUAGGCGUGUUAUCCUCGAUAUGUGUUUAUUCACUAUCAUUCACGAGAAAGGGGCCGGUAAUUAGAAUGCCUAGUUCCAUGCUCAAAUCGAAAAGAUAAUUGCAAACAAAACUCUCCCUAGAUUGAUGUUGGUAUGGACGGCACCCAAGGAUUCGGCUAGUCGUGGAGUGUGAUUGAUCGGUGGUGGGGGAGUCAAAACUUUACUUUUCUGUUUGGGAACCGCCUAUAGCAUGUGUAGCGUGGAAGAUGAUGAGAACUCUUAGUCAUUGCGUUGACAAUGAAAGCAUGCCACCCAAAAUUAUUAUCUCUGUUUUCAAAGCUUGAGCUCUCGCACCUCUGCAAAUCAACGCUUCCCUCUGCGAAGGGCCUGUCUAUUUAUGUUCCUGUUGAGUCAUCCUCCUCUUAUAAAAGCACCAAUUAGAGAGCACCUCUCUCAUUUUUUAUGCUUUGCUUUUAACUGUGUUGAGUAUGACUCUGACUGGAUGUUCUUUGCCAUGAAUUACAAUGUUUAGUCAGCCCUUGGUCUUUGAAGGUGCUCUGCAUUUAUGUUUUGCGGUCUCAGAAAGAGCUAGCGAGAUACCAUCUGUUCGUACUGCUUCAUGAUUGUUUUGAUUGAAGUGUUGACGUUUGAGACUUAUUAUUAUUUGCUCGCUAGUUGAUUAUGUCGUUGAUAUGAGUUUAUCGUGAGACCUUGAUGUCAUUUGCUUAUGUGGUUUGUUUGUGAUCUUGCUGAAAUUCUGGUUAUGAGUUAGACAUAGUUGCAACCACAAGAUCAAACCGAGUUCGUCAAAUUUUUUCUUUUGUCCCUUUCAGUUUGUCAACUGAAUUGCUUGAGGACAAGUAAGGCUUUAAGCUUGGGGGAGUUGAUACGUCUCCGUUGUAUCUACUUUUCUGAACUCUUCUGCCCUUGUUUUGGACUCUAAUUUGCGUGAUUUGAAUGGAACUAACCCGGACUAACGUUGUUUUCAGCAGAAUUGCCAUGGUGUUGUUUUUGCGCAGAAAUAAAAGUUCUCGGAAUGACCUGAAAAUUUACGGAGAAUUUUUCUGGGAUUUAUGAAAAAUACUGGCGCAAGAAUUAGCGGAGGGAGUGGAGCCGUGAGCCCAUAAGCUCACCAGGCUCGGGCCCCCCUGGCCACGCAUGGCAGGCUUGUGGGGCCCACAAAGCUCCACCGCCUCUCAAUCCAGCUCUAUAUAGUCCGUUUCGUCCGGAAAAAAAUCAAGGAGAAGAGUUCAUCGCAUUUUACGAUACGGAGGCGCCGCCACCUCCUGUUCUUCAUCUGGAGGGCAGAUCUGGAGUCCGUUCUGGGCUCCGGAGAGGGGAGAUCGUCGCCAUCGUCAUCACCAACCUUCCUUCAUCGCCAAUUCCAUGAUGUUCUUCACCGUUCGUGAGUAAUCUUAUCGUAGGCUUGGUGUACGGUGAUGGGUUGGAUGAGAUCUAUCAUGUAAUCGAGUUAGUUUUGACGGGGAUCGAUCCUUAGUAUCCACUAUGUUCUGAGAUUGAUGUUGCUACUACUUUGCCAUGCUUAAUGCUUGUCACUAGGGCCCGGGUGCCAUGAUUUCAGAUCUGAACCUAUUAUGUUGUUGCCAAUAUAUAUGUGUUUUAGAUCCUAUCUUGCAAGUUGUAGUCACCUACUAUGUGUUAUGACCCGGCAACCCCGGAGUGACAAUAGCCGGAACCACUCCCGGAGAUGACCAUAGUAUGAGGAGUUCAUGUAUUCACAAAGUGUUAAUGCGUUGGUCCGGUUCUUUAUUAAAAGGAGAACCUUAAUAUCUCGUAGUUUCCAUUAGGACCCCGCUGCCACGGGAGGGAUGGACAAUAGAUGUCAUGCAAGUUUUUUCCCUAAGCAUGUAUGACUACAUACGGAAUACAUGCCUACAUUAGAUUGACGAACGGGAGCUAGUUACUUAUCUCUCCGUGUUAUAACUGUUACAUGAUGAAUCACAUCCGGCAUAAUCAUCCAUCACCGAUCCAAUGCCUACGAGUGUUUUACUACUGGUCCUUGCUACGUUACUCUGUUGCUACUGCUGUCACUACUGCUACUGUUACUCUGUCACCACUGAUGUCACUGCUGCUACUGUUACUUUGCUGCUACCGGUUACUGUUGGUACUGCUGCUAUCAUACUACCUUGCUACUGAUACUUUGUUGCAAAUACUAAAUCUUUUAGGUGUGGUUGAAUUGACAACUCAACUGCUAAUACUUGAGAAUAUUCUUUCGCUUCCCCUUGAGUCGAAUCAAUAAAUUUGGAUUGAAUACUCUACCCUCGAAAACUGUUGCGAUCCCCUAUACUUGUGGGUUAUCAAGCACCUCCGCCGGCUUGUUUUGCACGACCAUCGUUGACCUUGCAGGGAGGGGGAGUGGGUGGUGUGUAGCCGGUGUUGCAAAUCUCACCUAUGCAGCGGGAGGAACACCUGGUGCUGUAGACCUCGCCGCACCUGGCGACGAUGUCUGCUGCCACGCCGGCGAUGGAGUUCCGUUGCAGCAGGCGAGGCUAAGGGGAAGCUGCAUUGCAACAGGCCACAUCGAUGGCGAGCUGCAUGGCAGCACGAGAGGCUACGAGGACACUGUGAGGUCAUGCCAGUGGUAGAAGUUACGGGAAUGUUGCAUGCCAAAAAGCCACGCUGGCUGCGAAGCUAUGUUGCUAUGGACUAUGGGGACACUUCUGUCAUGCCCCCGGGGUGGAGCUGCGUUUUAGCAGACGGAUUAUGAUGUCGUUGCUGCCAUGCCCAAUGUGAGAGCUACGUUGCAAGAGUGGUCCAUUGCAACAGGGUGGCUGGAGACAACACUGCCAUGACCAACGACGAUGCAACUUCAAGCAGGGGCGGAGCCCAUGGGGGCGAGCAGGGGCCAGACCCCCCCCCNNNNNNNNNNNNNNNNNNNNNNNNNNNNNNNNNNNNNNNNNNNNNNNNNNNNNNNNNNCCCCCCCCCAUCGUUCGGCCACCCCCAUCGAUUUUCAGGGGGGCUGGAUGUAGAAGUUUUGUUAACUUGCGAUAAUUAGUACUAGAUCAUGGAAGUAAUUAUAUUGAUAUAAGUAGUCAAACACCAAGUUGGGAAAAGGCCCAAGCCUAGGAAGCAACUGACAUCGGCCCAUUAGAUGGAUGCGUAACUUUUGUAUUCUAGACCGAGUGCACCUGCACUACUCGAUGAUGUAUUAGUUGACUACCAGUAGUCGGCCCCGUGCGCUAGGGCAUCGUCAGCGUCUGGCGGCGACACAUGUGUUUGUUGAUUGUCCCCCCGUGCGCUAGGGCAUCGCCAGCAUCCGGCCACAAUGCGUGUAUUCGUCGUUUGUCACCCGUGUGUGCUAUGGGGAUCGCCUGCGGCGAGUCUAUGCGCCAAUUUCAUGAUAUCCAUGUGUUAGGCGCUUCAGCUUAUACCAUCAGAAUAACACUAUACCACUCGCGCCGGAUCUAAGGUAAUCAUAUUACGAUUUCAUGUCUUGGAUACCAUGUGUUAUUACUAUUGCUAAAUCUGUAUAUAAAACUGCUAGAUGCUAAAUACUGUUUGUUCAUCGGUUAUAAAUUAUACAUAUCGUCUAUACAUAACAGCCUCAAUAUCACAUAUUUUUAUAUAGAAACUGCCAAUCAAAUAUUUAGCGUAAAUAGAAAUUGCACAGCAAACUAGACAAUAUAAGAUUCUGAAUCUGUUACAUGCAUUUUUUUGUUGUGUUAGUGAUACAUCCAAACUAAUAAAAUUCUACAUGUUUUCUAAGUACAAAAUAUAUGUUAUCACGUGUUGGUCUUGUAUAGGCCCGGGCCCACAGUGGUGCAAACUGUGCGGCCCGUACAGGGCCCAAAAUUUUAGGGGGCCCAAAAAAUUUUAAGUAGGCCACGUACUAAAAAAAAACCUAUGGACUACUCACUACUCGACCAGUGGGCUGCUGGGAGCCAACGAGCCAGCGAGGCUCGAUGUCCCGCUGAGGCCAUCAAGGCAAGUAUCCAUCCAGCCAGAUUCUGCUUCCCCUAAUCACGCUGCUGCCGUUUUUUUGGAUCGUGGCAGCCUGCAGGUUGCCUCUUCGUCCGUUCGUCGCCUCGUCGUUCGUCUCCCCCUCGAGUCGCUCGUCCGCUCACAGGCUGGUCGUCGCCUCGUCGCUCGUCUCCUCCUCGAGUCCCUCGUCCAUUUGCAGGAUGCUCAUCGUGUCGUCGCUCGUCUCCUCGACGCCUCGUACUGUCAUACAAACUACAGACUACAGAGACUUUGCCUCCUCUCAAAAAUUUUAGAUUCGUGGACGUUUUCUUGUCCGAUUGAUCUUCAAGUUCUUUUUAUUCAUCGUCUAAUCGUCUUUAUAUUAUAUUUCAACAAUGCAGAUUUGAAUCAUCAUGGGAAAACAACAAUCUGAUGCCUAUAAACGCAAGAUAAAAACACAAGAACAAAAUUUAAUAAAUCUUAUAAAGAAGGUAUGGACAUAUUUGUUAAAAAAACACCAGAAGUAUCAUCUGGUAAUCGGUCUGUUGAUCCUUCUAGCCUUGCACUUGCAAUUUUUCCUUACAUUGAUUCAAGAUCUGCUCACACAGAGACAGAUAAUAUAGAGGUAGAGACAUAUAAUAUUGAGGCUGAUGAUUAUUUUCAAUAUGAUAUAUUUGACUCAAAAAACUGGAAUUCUCUUGAUUGUAAACAGAUUUAUAUCUUACCACAAAAUGAUCCAAAAAGAGACAAAUCAAUUAAGAAAGGUCCCAAAGAUAGACAUCGUAAAAGGUUUACUGCAGCCUUCUAUACUAGAUUCCUAUAUUUUCACACAGGGCCCCGGUUUUUGUCGGCCCGGCCCUGGUCUUGUAUGAUCAUUGUAUAAAAAAGUGUAUGAAAAUCUCUGGCAGGAGCUCGCCACCAUCAGGGUUAGUUUUCCUGCAUGUGUGUGGUGGGGUGGGCUGUAACUGGAUUUUCCUGCUCCUUUUUGUCGCAAGGCAAUGGGGGCGAAGCAGCCUCUCUAAUAUGUUGUGUAUCGAACGGUUAAGCCAACUUUAGAGUACGAUCCCAUUCGGUCCAGCUCUGUUUAUUUGGGUCAAAACAAACAAACCUCACUAUCCAGCGCGCAUCGUUCUGGACGCAUCUCGUCCGUUUUGUGUCCGGGACGACCCAUUUCCGACGCAAACAUGCGUCCAGUUUGGGUCCUGAUGGACAGCGAGCAGACGCGUUCGAGCCCACCUCUCGUCCGCGUCGGGGACGCAUGGCAGGCGGCCACCUACCUCCCACCCGCCCGUAUUUACUAUGCACGCCCGGUAGGCCCCACCUGUCAUCCACUCAGGCGGGCUAUCGUCGUCCUUCUUAAAUCGGGAAGCCGUGGACCGGCAUCGUACAACGCACGCGUCCACUCCACUGCCUCCUCGGGACCGACACCAAACCCGCGUGCCCGCUCCAAACCCUAGCUUCUCCCCCUCUCUCGAUCUCUCCGGCCGCCGACAGCAAUGGGAUGGUGGAGCACCGGCGGCAAGGGGAAGGGGGCGCACGACCACGAGGCUGGGUCCUCGUCUGGCCGCCGCAGCGCCGCAAGCGAGUCUUCUCCUCCGCGACGGCCUACUCAGGCACCCUUCUCCAUUGCCCCUCCGGACGCCCCGACGCGCUCCCGGCAGUACGUCCACGCGGAUGUGUGCCCUGACGACGAUGACGACAACGGCGGUCCCUGAAGACAUGACGGGCACAACAGCAGCGCGGGGCGGCCCCAUUUUUAUCUAUUUUUUUAAUUAUGUUAAUUAAGGAUUGUGGGUCGUGGGACCGUUAAAUUAUUGAUGUAUAAUUACUAAUGUUUGACUUUAUUUAUAUAUUUUUUUUGUUUUUUUUUGUUUUUCCAAUUUUUUAAUUCCGGAUAAUUUGAUGUGCGGCCACGCGUUGGACACAUCGACCCGGCCACGGACCGAUCCAGACAUGGGCAGGCCAAUUAUCGUCUCAAACGGAUAGAAUUGAGAUCAAACGGACAUUCGGAUGAGGUCACGCGCUGCAAUUGGCGUUAAGGAAGACGAAAUCGAGACAGAACAAGCGGCCAGCAAGCCGACUGAUUUUGGGACGCCUAGCAGCCGGCUACCAACAAAUACACAUGUGUGUCCUAUGAGCACAUCCGAAGGAAUGAACCAACGGAUCUUAAGAUUGAAAGUUCACCACAGACGCAAAUGUUGUAACAGUUCUCGUGCUCUAUUCCGUGAUGACCAUGGAACUAUGGAUGCAUUCGUCGUUUAAUUUAUUCCACUCCAUGGAGAAUAGCGGUUCANNNNNNUCCAUGGAGAAUAGCGGUUCAGCAGAUAACAUCGUUGUGGCACUCUCCAACGGCAGGUGCGUAGCUGCCAACAGGUAUGGAGCACACGUCUACCUCUAGGUAGCUAAGCUAGCUAGGCGAUGUACCCUAGCCUCUGGAGCAGCGCGGAGCGGAGGGCGCCGUCGCCGUCGUCGUCCUGUAGUCCAGCGGGCACGUCGAUGACGACGUCCUGCACCGUCACGCCCUCCAUGCGGUGCACGCACGCGUGCUGCACCUGCAGCUCUAGCGACCGGAGCGCACUCAUCAGCCGCGCCGGCGCGUGCCGGGCUCGUCCCGAGCUCAUCACGCGCACCGCCGCCGCGUCCUUCCCCACCAUCCGCACCUCCACCACAUCGUCGCCAGCCCCGGCGUGGCUGCCUCGGGACGAAGAAGCGGGCCCGUUCGACGCCUCCCACCUAGCGGCGGCCGCCUGCCGGCCCUCCUCCUCGAGCCGCGCGACGCGGGAGCGCAGCUCGGUGAUGUAGGCGACGGCGUCGGCGAGGAGUGAGGCCUUGUCCAUCCGGGACACGGUGGGCACGGCGGCGCGGAGGUCGCAGAAGCGUCGGUUCAGCUUGUCGCGGCGCUGGCGCUCGGCCUCCACGUGGCUGACGGUGAGACCAUCGGGCCGCGGCACGGGCUUCCGCCCACGCCGCUUUGUAGGCGUGGUCGUCGACGCCGGCGGUAGCUCGGAGUCCGGGGAGAGCGACGAGCUCCCGGCAGGCCACAAGAAAUCUACAUCCUCGCUCUUGGCCGGCACUGCGGUGUCGCCGAGCAGCCAUUGCUCGGGGACCUCGCAGGAGGCGAACUCGAGGAGCUGGUGGUGGGACCCUUCGGCGGUAGAGAACUGGGUAGGCGGCGAUGGCGGGAAGAACGGGGAGCACGGCGAUAGCAGCUCGUCCAUGGCCGGCACGCCGCUGUACCCUGUACGUCUCGCUAUGCUAACUGAAGAGCUCGAAGUGGCAAAUUAGCGGCCGGAGAUGUGUGGUGUGGUUUACUGUGGGCGAGUGUCUUAUACAGGUGGCAUAUUUGCAGUUGAGACCUUGCUUACAUGUAGGAGUAUGUGUCAUGUUAAAUGCAUGUAUCUGUCCUUCUCGAUUUUAAUUCCCUCUCGCGAAAAACAUGUCCCUUUGGGAUUAGAAGUACGAAAGAGAUUGGAAGUUUGGAACCAAUAGCUAAGGCUAUCUCCAAUGUAUCGAUGUGCUAAGCACAUUAAAAGACUUAGCAACUAAAACAUAUUGUUGCGAACGGACUAAAUCUGGGUCGUCAAUUAGCAAACCGUCGUUAGGACGUGAUUAGUCACUUAUUAGUCCAAAACGUCGUACGGACGCGUCCGUCCGUACAGGCGUCUUUUUGUACAGACACCUCUUCGCAUGCGUCCCAAACCUUGUAUAUAUAUUUCAGAUCAAUGAAAGAGAGACAGUGAUUCGCACAAUAUUUUGCUUUCGUUGUUUCACACGUUAUCAAGCACUGCUCUGCCAGAAAGAUAAAGAAGAAAUAGAUUUUACGGGAAAAUAAUCCAAUGAAAGAAGAAUUAUGUUUGGUGGACAGUUGUACCACUAACACAAUUUUAAGGGAAAUAAAAUAUUUCCAAACUCUAACUAAGAGAAAAGGGAAUAUUGUGACAAUCGCCGGUCGCGAUGCAUCAAUUAUUGGUUCAGGACGAGCCACACUUGUUCUACCUAUGGGUACUACGAUUGUAAUUGAGGAUGCACUCUUGUAUCCUGAAUCUACACGCACCCUUCUAAGUUUCAAAGACCUCAGAUCAAAUAAUUUUCAUGUGGAAACAAUUUCUGAAAAUAAUUCUGAAUAUUUGCUUUUAACAAAAAGCAAUGGGUUCUGAGAAACAAAUUCUUGAAAAAUUCCCCUCACUUUCAUCUGGAUUAUAUUACAGUUAUAUAAAACCCGUACCACAUGUUGCGUACAAAAUAAUUUUUCAAGACCUUGAUAAAUUCAAGACUUGGCAUGAUCGCCUAGGUCAUCCUGGCAUAGGGAUGAUGAGAAAAAUUAUUGACAAUUCUAUUGGUCACAGCCUUCCAACUAAAAAUUUUCCAAAAUCAUCAGAUUUUGUGUCCACCGCAUGUGCAACUCGAAAAUUAAUUAUAAGACCAUCUUAUCUUAAGGUAAAAAGUGAGUCACUUAACUUUCUUCAACGCAUUCAAGGAGAUAUAUGUGGUCCAAUUCAAUCACUAUCUGGACCUUUUAGAUAUUUCAUGAUGCUCAUAGAUGCAUCUACUAGAUGGUCAGAUGUAUGUCUAUUGUCCACACGAAAUCAUGCUUUUGCCAAGAUAAUUGCUCAAAUUAUCAAAUUAAGAGCAAAUCAUUCUGAAAAUAGGAUAAAAACAAUUCGAAUGGACAAUGCCGCUGAAUUCUCUUCACGAGCAUUCAAUGAAUACUGCAUGGCUAUGGGCAUUCAUUUAGAACAUUCUGUGCCUUAUGUCCAUACUCAAAAUGGUUUGGCUGAGUCUCUCAUCAAAAGAGUAAAAUUAGUUGCUCGACCACUAUUACAGAAUUGUAAUUUACCAGCAUCUUGUUGGGCACAUGCAGUAUUACACGCCGCAGAUCUGAUACAAAUCAGACCAACUGCAUAUCAUACAACCUCCCCACUGCAACAAGUACGUGGCACUCAGCCAAGUAUUUCCCAUCUGCGAAAAUUCGGUUGCGCAGUAUACGUACCGAUAUCACCACCGCAACGUACAUCCAUGGGCCCCCACAAAAAACUAGGGAUCUAUGUGGGUUAUAAUUCUCCGUCAAUUAUUAAAUAUCUUGAACCUCUUACAGGGGACCUGUUUACUGCCGGCUAAGCUGAUUCAAUUUUUGAUGAGGACCAUUUCCCGACAUUAGGGGGAGAAUCAAACCACAAAGAAUACCAGGAAAUAGAUUGGAAUGUAACAGGCAUUCAGUCCUUAGAUCCACGUACUAAAGAAUCUGAAACUGAAGUUCAGAGGAUCAUAGACUUGCAACACAUUGCAAAUAAUUUGCCAGAUGCAUUUACUGACCAUAAAGGUGUCACUAAAUCACAUAUUCCCGCUGUUAAUGCACCAGAACGAGUGGAGGUACCAACUAAAACCACUCAAACCCCAAAUGAGAGUAAGAGGGGGAUAAAUCUGGUUAGCCGGAAUAUAGCUUCUCAAAAGCCUCUGCGGAAACAGAAGAAACCAAAUCCUGUACCAGUAAAUGCAAUUCAACCUCAAGUUGAAGGACACCAACCAGAUGCUCAACAUCUUGAACCUAGCAUAAAUGCGCAUAAAAACAUAAUAGCUGGGACAUCGGAACACCAUGACUCUAUUGUUGUGGGAAAUCACAUAGAGUCUGAAGGUAUAAAAGAAAUUUCCAUAAACUAUAUAGAAUCAGGAGAAUCAUAUAAUCGAGAGACUACAAUUGUCGACAUAUAUUUUGCCUCUGAAAUUGCUGAAACCCUUCAACUGGAUCCAGAACCAAAGACCGUCAGGGAGUGCCUCAAGCGUCCUGAUUGGCCUAAAUGGAAGGAAGCAAUUGAGGCAGAACUGCACUCGCUCAACCAAAGAGAGGUGUUUUCCUCAGUAAUACCUACUCCUCAGAAUGUCUUCCCUGUGGGAGCAAAAUGGGUUUUGUCCGAAAAAGGAACGAAAACAAUGAGGUGGUGAGAUACAAAGCGAGGCUUGUAGCACAAGGGUUCACGCAGAGACCCGGCAUCGAUUAUGAUGAUACAUACUCUCCUGUUAUGAGUGGAAUAACGUUUCGAUACUUAAUAUCUAUGGCAGUACAAAUGAGUUUAUCUAUGCAGUUGAUAGAUGUAGUGACAGCAUACUUAUAUGGGUCACUCAAAUCGGACAUAUAUAUGAAAGUCUCUGAAAGACUUAAAAUGCCGAAUCCAAAAGCAAAUCGCAACGCAUGUUGUGUAAAAUUACAGAAGUCACUAUAUGGCUUAAAACAGUCGGGUAGAAUGUGGUAUAACCGACUAAGUGAGUUCCUUAUUCAGAAAGGCUACUCAAAUAAUGAUGAUUGCCCUUGUGUAUUUAUAAAGAAGUCCUCAAAUGGAUUUUGCAUCAUCUCAGUGUAUGUUGAUGACCUCAAUAUCAUUGGAAGUACAUCUGAUAUCGAAGAAGCACGCAAUCAUCUAAUGGCGGAAUUUGAGAUGAAAGAUUUGGGAAAAACCAAAUUCUGCUUAGGCUUACAGCUUGAGCACCUUCCCUCAGGAAUUUUAGUAUACCAACCUGCUUAUAUUCAAAAGGUUUUGGAAAAAUUUAAUAUGGAUAAAUCAUAUCCAACCAAAACACCCAUGGUUGUCAGAUCCCUUGAUAUGAAUAAAGAUCCUUUUAGACCUUGGGAUAAUGACGAAGAGAUAUUGGGACCUGAGUUCCCAUAUCUCAGUGCCAUUGGUGCGCUAAUGUACCUUGCAAAUUGCACGAGGCCUGAUAUUGCAUUUGCGGUAAAUUUACUAGCUAGACAUAGCGCUACUCCAACAAAACGUCAUUGGAUGGGAGUAAAGAAUAUCCUUACAUAUUUACAUGGCACAAAAAACCUUGGCUUAUUCUAUCACAAAAACCAAGGUAUGACUAUGGUAGGAUAUACUGACGCUGGCUAUCUAUAUGAUCCUCACAAUGCCAGGUCACAGACAGGUUUCGUAUUCUUAUAUGGUGGAACUGCUUUUUCGUGGAAGUCAACAAAACAGACUCUCGUAGCAACUUCCACUAAUCAUUCUGAAAUUAUUGCAUUAUUUGAAGCAUCAAAAGAAUGUGUAUGGCUUCGUAGGAUGAUUAACCACAUUCAAACUACAUGUGGUGUUGGUUCAUUAGGAUCACCAACUAUUAUUUAUGAAGAUAAUGCAGCUUGUAUUGCUCAAAUGCAAAUGGGUUAUAUAAAAAGCAAUAUCACAAAACACAUUUCUCCUAAAUUGUUCUAUCCUCAUGAAUUACAGAAAAAAUGGAGAAAUUGAUAUUUUGCAAACUAAAUCAUGUGACAGUCUAGCAGAUUUGUUCACAAAGUCUUUACCAAAUUCAACGUUCCAGAAAUACAUUCAUGGAAUUGGUAUGAGACGACUUCGUGAUUUGCAAAGUUCAGGGGGAGAAAUCUCCUGAAAAUAUAACCCUUUAAUUAUCAUCAGAUAAUGAAUAUUGUACUCUUUUCCUUUAUGAGUUUUUCCAAGAGGUUUCUCAUAAAAGGUUUUUAACGAGACAAUUAAAUACAAGCAUUGAUGCAUGCCAUAUCAUAUUUCUCCUUAUAUUUUUCCUACUAGGUUUUAAAGGAGUUUUUCAUGGCACAUCUCAUUGCACUCUUUUCAUUAUGAGUUUCUUUGAAAUUUUCUCUCAUAAUGUUUUUAAUGAGGCAAUAUCUUCAUUAAUAUCAUAUGCUAUACUUGCUAUUUUUCCUAUUAAGGUUUUUAAAGGAAAGUAUCUAAAGCAUAUUUAUUGUCCUCUAAAACUCACUAAUAAUUUUCUCCUUCUUUGAAGGUUUUUCUCAUAUGAGUUAUCAAGAGACAAUAAUCACUAUAUGUUGUAUUAUUUUCUCCUUAUAAUUUUUCCCAUUGGGUUUAAAAGGAGUUUUAACAACAUAUCUAUACAUUUCUCCUCAUAUUUUUUUCCCACAGGGUUUUUGGGGGAGAAUCUCAAGAAUUGACUGAUGGAUAUACAAGGAGUUUUCAAUAAUGGAUUACUCAAGAUGGCGUUGUACAAGGGGGAGUGUUGCGAACGGACUAAAUCUGGGCCGUCAAUUAGCAAACCGUCAUUAGGACGUGAUUAGUCAGUUAUUAGUCUAAAACGUCGUACGGAUGCGUCCGUCCGUACAAGCGCCUUUUUGUACAGACGCCUCUUCGCAUGCGUCCCAAACCUUGUAUAUAUAUUUCAGAUCAAUGAAAGAGAGACAGUGAUCCGCACAACAUUUUGCUUUCGUUGUUUCACACAUAUAAGGUUGUCCGUAAUGGGAGUAUCAUAGCUAGUAUCAUGCAUGCGAACUAAGCAAUUUUGAUGAAGUGGCAUAGAAUUAAAUGAAGAAAAAGAAGGUUGAGUAUCAUAUUAUGAUACUGUAUCAUAUUAAAUGAUGUGCUACUAUGUGGCUUGCAUGACAAUAAAUGAACUAUCUUAUGACACUAACAUAUGAUACUAUGCAUUACGGGUGUGGUAUCAUACACUAGUAUUAUAUGCAUAAUACUAGUAUAUGAUACUACCCAUUACAACCAGCCUAAUGCAUAGGUGUUUAACUUGUUGUUGCUAAGUAUCCUUCACUUAAUGAUUUAGGAACUAAAGUUAUUCAUACAUUGGCGUGUUUCUUUCAUUUAAGUGUUUUGUCUAAGUUCAUGCGCUUGGCAUUGUUUCUUCAUGAGGUUACUACACUCAUCUCUUUCCUUUUAAUUAUCUUGCACAUCACAUUUUCCAUCUACAUUGCAGCCUUAGCACCUAUACAAGGUGGAGCACCAGAUGUAGUCAUUUUGCUUUCCGAAGCAGAUGUAGUCAUUUAUAACUUGAUUUCGAUAUACAAAUGGAAAACAUGUAAGAGCAUCACCAACGACGAUCCGCAAACCGUCCGCAUAUGUCCUAAUUGUGUUGUUCGGAUCACGAAAGACAUCCAACGCGGGCCUGUAUCGGUCCGCAAGUCAGUUCGGACGCACUUUCUCCCGCAAACCGGAACCAAAUGGGAGACUUUGCUGGAGUACGAACACACGAAACUUCACUUUUUGCCCCCCUCCCCCGGCCCACCCAAAAGGAAGGCGUGCCCCCUCCCCCGGCCCACCCAAAAGGAAGGCGGAGCACGCGCUUUGUAGCAACCCGCACUGUUUCCGCACAAAAAUCGUCCACUCUCUUCUUCCAUCCCCUGCCGCUCUCCGACUAAUUCCCACUCUUUUGUCCCACCCUCUCCUUCCUUCCGUCGUCGAUGCAUGGAACCACCGGAGAUGGAGGCGUCGGAUGAUCCGAGCAUCACGCUCACCCAAAGAUGAACUCGGCUACGCGGUAGGAUCACCGCGUCAAAGCGAAGGCCGCAAAGGAGGAGAGGAUUAAGAAGCGAUUGGCCACCGGUGGGCUUGGUGGUGGCGUUGUGUGUGGCGGUCGUGAUGGUCAUGGAGGGCGUGGCAGACGUCGCCGGACGAGCACACCCAUGGUACAUACGGCACCGUGGAUGGAGCAUUAUAAGCCUCCAUACUACUACGCCGCCAAGCAUCUCGGAACCCUCUCCGAUAAGGUUCCUUUCAUCAUUGUCGUAAAUGGGAUGUCGUUCUUCUCCGAGUAUUGUUCAUUGCAGCUCGUGUGGGCGCGAACAAUGGUUGGGGAGCAGAUGGAUGACCGCACAUUGUUCGCUACAAUGCCUAGAGCGGAGGAGGGGGUGAAGUACUAUGAUAUGGACACGGAGAGGGUCAACAUGUUGGAAAUAUGCCCUAAAGGCAAUAAUAAAUUGGUUAUUAUUAUAUUUUCUUGUUCAUGAUAGUCGUUUAUUGUCCAUGCUAGAAUUGUAUUGAUUGGAAACUCAAAUACAUGUGUGGAUACAUAGACAACACACUUUCCCUAGUGAGCCUCUGAAGGACUAGCUCGUUGACCAAAGAUGGUCAAGGUUUCCUGAUCGUAGAAUGAGAUGUAGUUUGAUAACGGGAUCACAUCAUUAGGAGAAUGAUGUGAUGGACAAGACCCAAACUAUGAACGUAGCAUAUGAUCGUGUCGUUUAUUGCUACUGUUUUCUGCAUGUCAAAGUAUCUGUUCCUAUGACCAUGAGAUCAUGUAACUCACUGACACCGGAGGAAUGCCUUAUGUGUAUCAAACGUCGCAACGUAAUUGGGUGACUAUAAAGGUGCUCUACAGGUAUCUCCGAAGGUGUCUUUUGGGUUGGCAUGGAUCAAGACUGGGAUUUGUCACUCCCUAGACGUUGCCACCCUACCCUCCUCCCUUAAAAACUUCGGCCUCCACCAAAGGAAGCCGGUAGGCAAUCCCUGCCCAUUAGAUAGCAAACCCUGAUCUUCCCGCUCGUGAGACAAGAGAUCGACAUCCUGGAGCACGGCGUUGGCCCUAGAUGACGACCAUAUAAGAAGCGUAGUGUGGAUUACGGAGCGGCGACACGAGGACGAUGGUGGUCGGGUAGCCGGCGGUGGCCCGAGGAGGUGCCGAGGUUGCGAUGACCUCGUUCUUCGGGCAAGAGGCCAGUCAAGAAGGACAUGUUGUGUCUUGAAGUGAGAGAUUGGCGGUUGAUGAUGCGUAGUAGCAUGGUGGCUAGUAGGCGACCAAGGGGUAGAUGUCUGGUCGAGAUCAAGUCAUUGUGACGUUGUGUGAUGGUAGUGCUGGAGUUUGGUGAUUGGGGCGAGCGUUGAUUUCUUCUUCAUCGGAAGUGGCCUCUGUGAUCAUGAGGGAGAUGUAGAGGCUAGAUUUCGAGAUAGUGAUGUCCUUUCUGAGGCAUGCGGCGGUAUAGGACGCCCCCUCCACCUCUAGAGUCGGUUCGGUCUAUCUCCCUAGGUGCUGCACACGACGACUCUUGUGGAUGUGCUGAGUUAUGCAUGCCACCGCGAGGUGAUACGCACAUCGGCUCAUGCAGAGGCACCAAGUCAUGAUUCUGCGGGCAGGUGCUACACACUCUUGCUCCUAUAGACGCGACAAGUCAUGCAUGUGGCUGCUAUAACGAUGGUGCGAUAGUGAAGGGAGGCGAGACGAAGUGGUGCGUCUUGUCCUUCCGGUACCUUCUCUAGAGAUAACCGGGCAAGGGAUGAUGGUAGAGGCGGCUUCAACACCGAGUAUGCGCACUCCGAUGGAACAUAAGUCCCCUGAUUAGACUAUGUCAACAUGUGACUGCAUUGUGACCUUGCCAAAUAUGUUGGAUCGAAGCUCGGCUUAUGGGACGAAAUUCCGAGACCAAACUAUGUUUGGACUCAUCACUACCGGUGCAUGGAUGCCGCUUCCUUCGUGAAUGAUUAUCUUAGGAGUUGUGUAGUUUGCCUUUGUUCCUGUUUGUUUCCAUAGGGUUAGUGUUUGCUUAGUGUAUGUAAUGUCGUGAGGCAAGCGACCUUUCUUUUUUCUUUCCAAGUCAAAUUUGUUCGGUUGUUGGAGUUUGUUUUAUGAAUGAUAUAUGACAUGUGAUGCAAAACCUAGGGUUAUCCUCCUUUCCUAAAAAAUAUGCACACAUGUAUUAACAUGAUUUUCCGUUUGUCUCUUCUUGAGAGAAGUCUGUUUAUGUGGAGAAAUGUUCAUUGAGAGAUCCUUUAAACAUGUUCAUGUUAUUACACUUGAUAAAUCAUGUGCCGACUCUAAGUCCAUGAUUGGUUUGUUGACACAUGCCGAUAUUUGAAAAUAUUGAAAUGCCAAAUAUUGGCUAACGAUUGCUUAUUUACCCAUUUUUCCCGUCAGCCCCACAAAAAAGUUGCCAGUUUUUGAUAAACUUUGAUUUUUGCCACAUGUCAACAAACCAAUCAUGCUCUAAGUUGAUCGUACGCAUAAGGACUUAGACAUGACAUGGAACUAUACUUUGCACAUAGGUGUGCACUCCUUGUAGCCAAAAGGACAAAAAUGCAUAUACAUUUGGACACGUUACGUACGUGCUUCACGUGUGCGCCCUUUGGCCGGUGCAGUGAGCAUGCGCCCGUACACAGCCCUGAAAGCAUCCGCACGCAAGCGUCUAUGUAGGUGGAAAAGUCAGCGUUCUCUAUCUCCUUCAAAUAUCUGUUGUCACUUGUCAGUUUGUCACGUCCUAGCACCAUCCAUAUAUGGUAUGUGAAAACUUUAAACUAUUUUUUCUGUAUCUAAAUGAUUGUAAUUAAAGAAAACUAAUCUAAGUAUGCUAUUUAAUUACCCAUAAUUUUUCUUAAAGUUAAUCACCGAUAAAUCUUGAAGCUUAGGCCAUUUUCAAUGCAUUGGUGCUAAGAUGAGGUGCUAAGCAUAUUAAAUAGUUUAUCAAUUGAAGUCCACAAUGCAUAGUUGCUUAGUUUAUUGUACUACUAAAGUUUUGCAUAUUUAAUGCUUUUACAACUAAAGUUGUGCAUGCAUUGGUGCAUUUCCUUUAUUUAAUUGGUUUACCUAGUUUCACGCGCUUAACAUUGUUUUUUUCUGGGGUCACCACACUCAUCUCUCUCCUAUUAAUUAACAUGUCACAUCAGAUUUUUUGCCUAUGUGACAGCCUUAACACAUGUACAAGGUGGAGCAUUGGGAGUAGCCUUACCGAUGUGUUGUGCUGCUUUGCUUAGAGCAAGUACAAUAAGGUACAGUCAGCAGGCUGUAAGAAUUAAAAUACUAUAUUUUUGCUGAGUUGGAUGAGAGAGAAGAGGAGAGAGAAGGAAAGCGGGCUCUUCGUGAAGAGUCAGCUGUAGCACGUGCUCCUAGGUGAUUUGUGAGAAUGAAAGAUGGACCAUAUAUGAUAAAAAUAGUACUAUUUUAUAGCUAAUUAUUAUAAAAGCUAGCUAUAAGAUGAGCUAUAAGACUGCUUAUAGCCAGCAGUUGGCUAUACUAUUAAUCAUGCUCUUAGACGCGUAGGGAUAAGAAUGGACACGUUGGACGUUUUGCCAUGUCCGGGAGAGACUGGCCGACUGCAACGAGGAGAUUCGUUGACAUUUCAUUCCGCAAAAGAUAUUCCUUUGGCAUUUCUCCACAUAGAUGGGUGCCAGCAGGGCCAUAGCCCAGCCCGUGCACUCACGUACGUCAAGUGUGGGAAAUGGCCGAACGCAUGAUGCCGUUGCAGCCAACGGGGCGCAGAUAGAGGCCAGGGCAUGCAUGCCGCACUCCGGCGAGCUCGAAGGGACCGGACAAUUGGAGGAGGUCCAGGAGGGACACGUGUAGUAUGGUCCUACAACAGCGCGGCAGGCAAAGGGCCUGGCCUGGUCCUGGUCCUGGUCCAUCGUCCACGCGACGUAGGUCGUGGACCAACAACGUAGUACGACGCUCCGCCCCGGACGGACGUGUUAUCUUUACUAAAUGGCCCCUAAAGGAUUUUAUGUCGCACAUUGACCCUCCAAAAAACUUGUUUCGUCCUCUGAUCCUCACAUUCAUUUCCCGAUCUGCAUCAUAUGGUUCUCCAACGUGUUUAUAUUUUUUAAUUGUUCUAUGCUAUUAUGUUAUUAUUUUAGGAUACUUUUUAUAUUAUUAUUUACCAACUUAUAUUAUUUUUGAGCACUAACUUAUUGACCCGGUGUCUAGUGCCAGUUUCUGUUUUUUUUGUGUGUUUUUUGUUUCACAUAAAUUCCAUAUCGAGCGAAGUUAAAACGCGAUAAAAACUUACGGAGACUAUUUUGGAAUAUAUGUGAAUUUUGGGAGUUAGAAUCAACGCAAGACGAUCCUCAAGGGAGGCACAAGCCAAGAGGGCGCGGUCUGGGAGGGUCGCCCCUCAUGGCUCUGUGUCCACCCCUUAAGUCGGUCGGAGCUUUCUUUUGGCCGCAACAAAGAUAUUUUUUUAAUAAAAAUUCCCUCAAAAAUUAAUUGUGGUCGGAUUUUGGGAUAUCAGGUUAUUGAAGUAACGGUGAAGGGCCAGAAACAAGUCGUGCAAACAGGAGAGAAACACACACAGACACGCACACACACACACACACAUAGAGAGAGAGAGAGAUCCAAUCCCGGAGGGGCUGCUGCCCUCCGGGUCCCAUGGCGGCCUUGGACCAGAGGAGAAACCCUCCUCCCACCUAGGGAGGAGGCCAAGGAAGAAGAAGAAGAAGAAGGAGGAGGAGGGGGCUCUCUCCCCUCUCUCCCGAUGGCACCGGAGAGCUGCCGGGGUAACCCUCGUGACGGGGGUCCACACCAACAACUUCGCCGCCGUCACCACCAACUCUCUCCUCCUCUAUGCGAUGGUGUAAAAUCUCUCUUCCUUGUUGUAAUCUCUACUUGAACAUGGUGCUUAAUGCUAUAUAUUAUUAUCCAAUGAUGUGUGGCUAUCCUAUGAUGUUUGAGUAGAUUCCUUUUUGUCCUACGGGUUAAUUGUGAUAUGAUGUUAUUGAUAUGAAUCGUGUGUUGAUAUGAUGCUAUCCUAAGGUGUUUUCCGUUAGGCGCACACUUGAAAGAUUCACGCUGGAGGGUUUGCAAUAUAUUCUUGAUUCGCUUAUAGUGGGUAGCUAGAGUGACAAAAUCUUACACCUGAGUAAGGAAGUUGUGCGCAUGUGGAAGUAAAGAGGACUUGAUGUUUAAUGCUAUGGUUGGGUUUACCUUAAUGGUUUCUAGUAGUUGUGGAUGCUUGUUAGAGGCCCAAUUGUAAGUGCAAAUGAUCCAAGUACGGAAAGUGUGCUAGCGUAUGCCUCUCCCUCAUUGCAUAUGAUAUGUAUCUAUUAUGUUAUAUUCAAUUGCCUAUUGACAAUCUUCCUAUUGCGUUGUAGAGAAAAUCUGUCUACUAAAUAGCCCCUUACUUUUAUUCACUUGCUCUUUUUUUUCUUGCAAAACUAUCUAUUUCACCUAGUAAGUACUUCUAGUCUCCUUCCCGAAAAAUAGGUUCAUACUUGUUCUAGAUAAAGUAAGCGUUAGCGUGCGUAGAAUUGUAUCAGUGGUCGAUAGAACUUGAGAGAAUAUUAAUUCUACCUUUAGCUCCUUAUUGAGCUCGGCACUUACUUAUCGAAAAAGACUACAAACGAUCCCUUACACUUGUGGGUUAUCAAGACCCUUUUCUGGGGUCAUUGUCGGUGAGAAAUAGCGUAGUGGUCGAUAUUCUCGUGUGCUUGUUUUCUUUAUCACAAAGUAAUUUUUAUUUUCUGUUAUUGAUUGUUUUAUAUCUUUAGUUAUGGACAUGGAACACAAAACACCCAAAAAAAUAGUUAUACUUGCUACUCAUGGAGAUGGGGAACCUCCUAAAAUUCUCGAUGCUAGUUAUGUGAAACACAUUAAUUACUGCUUUGAUAAUACUGAGAAAUCCUCAUUCAACUUGAUAAUUGGAGACACGUUGGAUCAGCGUGAGUACUUUAGGGAUUAUCAUUUGUCUCAAAAAGGAAAACACUUAUGGGAUCAAAUUAAAAUGUUGCGUUGGUAUGUUUGGGAUUUAUGCGUGAUAAGUGAUUAUACUUGUUGCUCUAAAAGCAAGGGUCUAAACCUUCCCUUUCAAUGUAAAUUUAAUGAUAAUAGAACCAUAGACUCUUAUGCUAAUGGUAUAUAUGAUUACUAUGAUGUGAACAAAAUAAAAGAAUUUGUUGCCUUUAAGGGUGCAUAUUAAAUUGCUUCUUUGAUUGGAAAGUAUGAUGAUAUUCCUUAUAAAUCUGAAAAUUUUGACAUACUUAAAUAUUGCUAUGAGAAUUAUGAAUAAAAUGUUGGUAUUAAUGAAUUUCUUGAAAGAAUGACCGUUGCCUUGGAAUAGAUUAACAUUUUGCAGGAAUCUAUGGAAGAAGAAAUUGUUGAAUCUCUGAGCUCAUUAGAUGAAAAAGAUGACGAGGAGAGCGAAGAGAGGGAGGGUUGCAGCACCCAAUGCCACAGCACGGCCUCUCCCUCUCCCUAUAGAUCGUCUCUUCCUCUAGAUAUUCCGGUAGUGCUUGGCGAAGCCCUGUCGGGACAGCAACAUCACCAUCACCGUCAUAUCGUCGCGCUGCCAGGGGACUCAUCUACCACUCCGCCCUCGCUUUCUGGAUCGAGAAGGAGAAUACGUCAUCGGGUUGUACGUGUGCUGAAUGCGGAGGUGCCGUCAGUUCGAAACUUGAUCGGGAGUUUGCGGGACAGAUCGUGAUAGGAUCGCGAAGACGUUCGACUACAUCAACCGUGUUUCUUAACGCUUUCGCUCAGCGAUCUACAAGGGUAUGUAGAUUCAAUCUCUCCUCUUGUAGAUGUGCGUCUCCUAGAUUGAUCUUGGUAAGCGUAGGAAUUUUUUUGUUUCCUAUGCAACGUUCCCCAACACUUCUAUCUGUGUUAACAUGGGAAAUCUCACAAACACAUUAGUCCCUCAACCACGUUUGUCUUCAAUACUCCAAAACCAACAAGUGGUGGAACUAGAUGCACUUACGAUCUCCCCCUUUUUGGUCACUGGUGACAAACUGGCUGAAGUUUUCAACGGGGAUAAGAAUAUGUGAAGAUAAAUACUUGGAGAUUAUGAGAGCUCUCCCUCAAGAUGUUCUUAUGAAGGUUUUUCUUUGAAUGCAAAAGCACAUGGUAGGUUGUAGUUAGUGGAUAUCUCCUCCUAUAUCUUGGAAUCCAUUCACUAUGCAUUUUAAAGGUUUCAUGAAGAUUCUGUAAUGCAUAAUGAAAAAUAGGCAUCUGCUGAAUGACUUCAGACGCAUAUGAUAAGAUAUGGAAUAGCGCCAAAGAUACGAUAAACAUAGAAUAUGAAGACGUCCAUCAAGACUUAAGUUUUACAACCCAAAAGUGCAAUUGUUCAGAACAAGAGUUCUAAACUUAACAAAAUAGCAGCACCCAACCCUUAUAGACCCAUUCGAAUACUAUCAAUCCAAUGCUUCUCCCCCUUUGUCAUGGGAUGACCAAAAAGGGCGAAGACAUUGGGAACUACUCGUCCCCAGCUUGUGAAUACGUUGGUGCAGCAGGGUCAUCAAAGGUUGGUGCAGGUUCGCCUGGUUUAGUGUCGAUGCGAUCUGUUGGUGCAACAGGGGAAGUACAUCAUCAGUGUCAUUGUUUGCAAGAUUGGUAUGACCGGAUACUGCUGAAGAAGAGUAGUAACUUUAUUCGAUGGAUGGUGUCUUGCAUCAUUUCUCCGUACGAGGAGGAGGGGCACAAAAUUUGAAGUAUUUUUCAUAGCCAUCCUCACGAAGAUCUUCCUCCGGAGACAUGAGAGUCAAUUUCUUCCAAGAAUGCCUACAAGUUUCAUGUGCAACAAAGAUAUUCUUGGUGGAGAGGUUGCGAAUGCGAUUGAUAUCUGUUGCCAUAGAGUGCAUUUGUCUUCGCGUCACUCAUGGUGACAAUCCUACUUUUGUAUGAGCGAAACAAGAAGCUCUUGAUUAGUCAUAGCAUGUUCCCGUCUGGGUUGGGGAUGUUGAGGCAGAGUGCUAGCAGUGGCUUCAGUUGAGGUGGCACUUGGUUGUGGUUGACGGAAUGUGCCAAUCAGUCUUGCCUUGACAGGAUCACAAGGAAUGUGAAGCCCUUCAAUAUGUGUGGUGCCACUAGUGCCUUCAAUAAUGGGAUUCUUGCCCUUGGAUGGAUAAAUGUCUUUGUGUCUGACUUCCACAUCCAGAAGAUAUAUUCCAUGAUUAUGAGCGGAGGGUAGAAACCUUGUAUUUGUUAUGCGCUUAAUGAAGUGCAUGAUCCAUGGUGCAUAGAUCUUGAGUUCAGAGAUUGAUGCUAUUGGCAGCCAGGGUUCUCAAAAAUAAGUCUUGAAGAUUGAACCUGAUGCCAUAGACGACAUUGUAGAUCAACGUCUUCAAUGCCCCUUAAACCUUGCUUGAAGAAUAAUGUCAUUUGAUUGGCCAUAUGGUGUGACAAAGAAUAUGGUAGAUAGUCUUUGGUAGAUAUUGAAGAUCAUCAACAAAGAAUGUUGUGGGCAAGUCCGCAUCUGGGUCUAAAGGUGAAAGGACGUGGAUGUCGCCUAGAGGGGGGGUGAAUAGGCGCUUUAAAAUAAUUAAGGUUUAGGCUUGAACAAAUGCGGAAUAAAACUAACGUUUAAUAUGUCAAGCACAAAACCUCAAACAACUAGGCUCACCUAUGUGCACCAACAACUUAUGCUAAGCAAGAUAAACAACUAAGUGAUAGCAAGAUCUAUGACAAGAGACAAUAUGGCUAUCACAAAGUAAAGUGCAUAAGUAAAGGGUUCGGGUAAGAGAUAACCGAGGCACUCGGAGACGAUGAUGUAUCCCGAAGUUCACACCCUUGCGGAUGCUAAUCUCCGUUGGAGCGGUGUGGAGGCACAAUGCUCCCCAAGAUGCCACUAAGGCCACCGUAAUCUCCUCACGCCCUCGCACAAUGCAAGAUCCCGUGAUUCCACUAAGGGACCCUUGAGGGCGGUCACCGAACCCGUACAAAUUGCAAACCUUGGGGGCGGUCACCGAACCCGUACACGUGGCAACCCUUGGGGGCGGUUACCGGUACCCGUACAAAUUGCUCGGGGCAAUCUCCACAACCUAAUUGGAGACCCCGACGCUUGCCCGGAGCUUCACACCACAAUGAUUGAGCUUCGAGACACCACCAAGCUUCUAGGACACCAAAGCAUCCACGAAGAACAAUAUCUAUGGUACUAAGUACCAAAGGUAAUAAGCUUCUCAAACUUCACUUCCACGUAUCACCGUGGAGAACUCAAACCGAUGCAACCAAUGCAAUGGCAAGAACACACGAAGUGGUCAAGUCCCUCACACUCAAAUCCCUCCACAACAACGAAAGCUAUGGAGAAAUAUGAGAGGAAGAACAAGGAGCUCACAAAGAACUCCAAGAUCUAGAUCCAAGGGGUUCCCCUCACAUAGAGGAGAAAGUGAUUGGUGGAGAUGUGGAUCUAGAUCUCCUCUCUCUUUUCCCUCAAGAACAAGCAAGAAUCAUUGGAGGGAUUGAGAGUAAGCAAGCUCUAAGAAUGUCAACAAUGGAGGUAGAACAAGAGCUCAACGGAUGGAUAAGGCCAAGGGGCAAGAAGACCCCCUUUAUAUAGUGGGGGAAGGAAUCAGACCGUUACCCCCACUUACAACCCGAGUCCAGCGGUACUACCGCUGACCCUGCAGAGGUACUACCGCUGAGCCCAUGGUAGCGCAAAGAUACUACCGGGCCAAUCACCGCCAAGAAAGUCUUCGCAAAAAGGUCCGACGAAGUACAGCCGCUAGGAAGGCCGUACUAAGCUCCUGGAGCGGUACUACCGCUGACCAGGGGCGGUACUACCGCCAGCACAGCGGUACUACCGCCAGCUCUAGCGGUACUACCGCCAGCUCUAGCGGUACUACCGCUAGGGCCAGCGGUACUACCGCUCGCCACUGAAACAACCAUAACUUUCGCAUACGAGCUCCGAAUCGAGCAAACCCAAGCUUGUUGAAUUAAGACCAUGCUGAUAUGAAAAUGCCAAUGAUCUAGAGAUGUGAGACCUCUAUAAAUGAAGAACCGGCAAAAACUCCAACAUCGAAAACAUCAUAGUAGUUGCAUAUGGACUCCGUUUUUGAUGAACUCGAGCUUGUCAUGAAGAUGACCAUAAGCUCUAAAACUCACAAAGAGAAACACCAAAUAAGAACCAAGAAGUAUGAUGCAAGGAUGCAAAUGGUUUGAGCUCUCAACGAACGAUACGAUCAAGCUAAUCACUUGAGAGCCCCCUUGACAGUACAUCAUUCUAUCCUAAACAGAAAACCUAUCAAGGGAAAACCUAUACCUUGCACCUCAAUCUCUUGAGCUAGAUGAUGAUGAUCUUGGCUUCCUCAAGAUGGACCACCUUUCUUGAUUGCGUUGGCUUGAUGAAGACUAGGUUAUUGCUCCCCCAUACUCACUAUGGAUGAGCCACUCUUCAACAUACCUUCACAAGUCCAUUGCCACCACAAUGGACGGCAAGCUUCAAGCACGAUAUAUUCGUGUUGAUCCUCUUGAACUUGCACACCGCAAUCUUGAUGACGAUCACCACUUGACGUCAUCCUUCAUGGGUUGUAUGAGAUCUUCAUUUUGACACAAGCCCAUGGAAACACACCUAACCCACACAUAGAACUCUCACGAAGACCAUGGGUUAGUACACAAACACGUAAUGGAUAAUGCUUACCAUACCAUGGGAUCACUUGAUCCCUCUCGGUACAUCUUGUACGCUUUGUGUGUUGAUCAUCUUGAUUUACUCUUUGUCUGAGAUCUUGAUCAACCUUGUGUCUCUAUGACCAUUCUUUGGAUAAUACCUUGAAUACCACCUUGGUCAUCAUAUAAACUCCUUGAACCCAACAGAUGGACUUCAAUAAGUGCCUAUGGACAAAUCCUAUAAAUAUAACUUAAGGCAACCAUUAGUCCAUAGGAAUUGUCAUCAAUUACCAAAACCACAUAUGGAGAUAUAUGCUCUAACAAAAGGCUUCAUAAGUGUCAAAAUUUCAGACAUGUUAGGCUCACGCAUUUGAAAGAUGCUUCUUAUGGCUUCUUCAUAGGUGGGAGAUUUUGGAUCAAGAUCUUAGCCUGAUGCAGCAAGUGGAGUGGUGGCAAAGAAUUACAUAGCAAGAGCUUUCACAUGCCCAUCAUGGAUCAUGAAAUCCAUAACCCAUGUCUUCAGAUCUCAUCCAUAGCCAAAGAUGUGGAGAGUUGCAUAAAAUUGAAGAAUUGGUUCUUAAUUCCAAUCUUCAUGAUCAACAGCAAACGACAACAAUCCAACAUCUCAAAGACAAUUGAAGGCCUGGUCAAAACAAGGAAGACCACUCAUGGCUUCCAUGCUGAGAUGCUUGGGGGGAUCCUUUUUGGUCAUAUAGCACACAUGUAUAAUAGGUACGUUGAGGUACACUCCAGAAGUGAUCAGAUUGAAUCUUUAGACGCGUAUAAGGAUUCUUUUUAGAAUCAAGGAAAGUGUUGUCGAGCCGGAAUUCCCUCACGCUAAAGACAAGAGGACGUGUUGUUCCUAGUUGUCAAAGACUUGGAAGCCUAGGCAUUGGAUUCAUAACUUUUGGGCGACGAAAGAUGUUUAAUUCAUAUUGUGGACCCAUUCUGUUGGGUGGUGAAACAAGCUUGGGCCAUUUUGUUGGCACCAUCUCUCCCGCCCUAUUGCGAUCCAUGACAAUAUUGUCAGCAUUGUCGUCGGUCAAUGGCGUAGCACGCACAGGAGAACCAUCAGGGGAUGGAGCAUUGGCUUCUCCAUCAGUAAUCGGUGCUUCUAGAGGUGCAACGGUGUCAUCAGCAGCAAUGUCUUCACAUGCACUCGCUUCGAUCUAAGGUUGUUCACGAGCAACAUGUUCAAGUAUGAGAACUUCAUCGACUGAUGCAGUCAGAGUCACACGCACUUCAUCUUCUGGAAUGAUUUACAUUGAAGAUAUAGGUGGCCUUGGUCCUUUGUGAAUCCUUUUGAGAGGCGAUGCAUGUUCAGUUGUUUCAACUUCCAUGGGAGCAAAUGGGAAUUUAGGAGAUCUUGCCACUAGAGUUGGAAAUGGACUAGGCAGAGUGCUAGGAUUGGCUUCAGGCACGUUUCACCUUAGUGGAGUGCCAAUGUCCACAAAUUCACUGCCUUCAUGCAUUGGCGAUGAUACCAUUGGUGCAUCACGUUGAGGCACAUCAGUUUCUAUUUCAACAUUGUCUUCGGCAGAAGCAACGUUUUCAGCAGGNNNNNNNNNNNNNNNNNNNNNNNNNNNNAGCAGGAUCACCUGCAUUGUCUUCGGUUGCGGUGGUUUCAGCAGCUGGUGCAUCAUCUGUUGUUUGAGCCUUUAUGGUAACAGACUCAUGAAGAACAACUUGCCUCUCGACAUUUUCCUAGGGAUUUUAUCUCAACAAAUUUAAAUAAUCUCUAAAAUAAAUUCUCUUAUGCCACCGAGUAAACAAUUUGAUUAGGGACUAGUAGCGAAGGGAAUUAAAUCAAUAUAAAUUUGUGUUUAAAAGAUAUUAGCAAUCUAGGGUUUUGAGCAAAUUCAAAAUCUACUAUGCAAAUUUUAAAACUUCUGAAUCUAUGCAAAACUUCAUGUUAUUUGUGACAUGUUGCCAAAAGAAUCAACUAAAAACAAUCAAAAACUUAAAAGAUAUUAGCAAAACAAAGUCAUGAACUCCUCUCGAUUUGAAAUAAAGCAAAUAAAACAAAACAAGAAUUAAGUAUCGGCCAGGGGUGAUGUGGCACAUUCCUAUUGUGGCAGCGAAGUGUGCGCGAGAAAGAACACAGCGGCUAACUGAACACUAGCGUGUACCGGUUCGUGAGUUUAAGUGAUCUAAUCUAGAUCGUUCAUUGCAGAUCUGACGGUGGACACGAGAGAGAAGCUUACAACGGCGACGAUGGAGUUCUCCAGCGAGGCAGAUGGCUUGGGGUUGACGGCGAUGGUGCUCCAAUGGUCUUCCGGCAAUGGUGUCAGCUCCAAUCGAUGCACGCGAAGACGAUGGUGAGGUUGGUGGCAUCGGACGGUGUCGGGGCAGACUGCGGCGAGCGGCACGAGCUCAACGGGCUUCGGGCAUGGCAAAAACUAUGACGAGAUGUUGGGGUGGCAGUGGAGCAUGGAGGAAGGGUUUUAGGGAGGAAUCGGGUGCGGGAGGUCGGGGCUUUAUAGGAGAGGCAUUUGGUGGGGUCAAACGGAACGGGAGCGGCGAGAUGGAUCAGAUCCGGAGAUACGUCGGAAAGGGAAGGUGAGGUCGGGUAAAGGAAGGCGCUGACCGAGGGGGGUUCGGGUCGGGCAGGUGGGGUCGGUGCGCGAGAGGUAGGUGACCGAUUCGUUCGCGAUUCGGAUCCGAUCAGAGAGAAAAUGAAAAAUAAAGCAAAGAAAGUAUAUAUAAUAUAUACCUAUUAUAUAUCAACAAGUUCAGAAAAAAUAGCUCUACAACAUGAACAUAUUUUCAAGAAUUUUUGAAAUACUUAAUAUUUUUUUCCAAAAUUCAAAAAUGUCGUUGAUCCAAAGAUCAAAUAUUUUCCAAACAUUUUUCUGAGUUUGUAAAUUCAAAUGAAAUCAAAUUUGCCCCUGGUUUUGAGUGUGAUGUUUCUCCUCUCUUUAUUUUUAAUAUGAUCAUGUGCAUUUGAAUUUAUUCCAAUUCAAAAAUUGAAAUGGAUCGAAUUUGCAAAUGGAAAUACUCCAAAUGGAAACUUUUAAGAACUUUCAAAUCCCAUUUCAAAUUCUUCCAUUGAAGAAGUCGUGUCAUAUUCUCUCUAUGAUUUUAAAUUUGAAUUGGAUUUGAAUUCAAAAGCAAGGAAGAAAGUUUUGGGAAAGUCAUUUUAUCCCCUCUCUUCUAUUUUCCAAAAGUUUUCAAAUUCACUCAGUUUCACACAAUAAUUCAGACAAUCAAUCAAUAUAGUUCAUUUAAUAUGACAUUCCAAAAUUUAGAAUUUUGGGACGUUACACGCAAUCCUUCAAUGUUUUGCACCCAGAUGUCUCCUCAUUUCGCUUAGUGCUACAGAUAUAAAUGGUUGGUGGAACAAGAUCUCCGGGAAGUGGAAACGCAAAACUGGCCCAUGAUGAUAACUCGGUGGCGGCUUGCAUUGCUUAAAACCACUGGAAAGGGAGGAAUCACGGAAUUUUGAGAGGAAGGGGGUAAACCAUCCUUGGUUUGUGAAGCAUCAUAAUUUUUCUUGAAAGGAUUUAUCUGCUUGAUCUACUCCCUUUAACAGUGCGUUAUCCAAGAUGGGAUUUAUUUUCCAAGCGAAUGAGAUAAUUGUCCCCGGUUUGCGUAGCAUGAUGAAAUUUUUUUAGACACACGAAGCAUAAUGAUCUAAGCCUCCUGGACAAGCCCGUUGGAGACAUGGCCCUUAAUCUUCGUGCAGUCCAGACCCAGUUGCACCUUUGCAACAUCUGUUUUACACUGUUUCCCUCUUCUUAAUCGGGAAGCAGAACAUUUGCUGCGCUUGUGAAAAAAUUAUAUCCGGAUCACUACAUGGGUAGUGGUUCAGCAAGAUCCACCUUCAAUUUCACUGACUGAUAAAUAUGCUAGGACAAAAGAAACUGCUUACUGUUCCUCGUGAAGAAACGAUGUAGUUUAUGGAGUAUGUACGAGUCUUCCCAGAUUUUGCGUUUCCAUACAUAUAUUACGACCAAAAGGGUGCAACACGGCCACUUUUAUAACCGGAUGAGCACUUGUCCGUUGUCACCAAGUUCCCAUCGAUCUUUCGUACCUGGACCCGAGUGGCCUGGACGCUGCAGCUGAAGAACACUGUACCGAGUUUCAGACGGUGCCUCUGAGUCGAACAUUGUGUGGACCUGGCACGGCGCCUCAUCCCAUCAGACAAGGAGGCACCCGUAUCUUUCCGCAUUGUACAUACGAAUUGUAAGGCAGAAGCUGUGCUGGUGCUGGUGCUGGUGCUGCUCUAGCUCUACCCUGUGCACAAAGCCAUGCUACAGUGACAGAAUUCCUCUGCGCAUCAAGCAUUCCUGNNNNNNNNNNNNNNNNNNNNNNNNUCAAGCAUUCCUGCACGGCCAAGGUUUUAAAUUAUGUACUCUCACCAUCAUGGCCCAUGAAUUGGUUGUUCGGUUCGCCCGACAAACAAACCAACCAACAAGACGUAGUACUUGCUGGUCAGACAGAAACGGGCGUGUCCAUUAAAUCCUCUCGGAAAAGGAGUAUUUUUGAAGAAAAAAAAAGGUAAGCAACUCGCACGGGGUGAACUGAAGAUAACACUGGCAAGAGUUAGAGUAGCAACGAACUGACAAGGAAAAACAGACAAGGAUUCAGUACAACAGCAAGAGUUCCGCGUGGUAAAAAGGUCUCAGAAGUCUCAUGCUACAGUAGGCAAGUUGUGCUAGGUUUCCAUGGAACACUUGCCACAGAAGAGAUUUGAUUCUAGAUCUUACCCUCCCAGAGGCACUCAGGGGAGGGGCCGCCGUUGUUGCGGUUGUUUCCAGAGGCGGCGCGCGCUAGGAGAUCACCAAGGUGGGGCGGUGGCUGGAGGCCCAUGGCGGAAGCACGCUCCCAGCGCUGAAGCCUGUUCACACCGAUGCAUGGGCCAAACUUCAUGUCCAUGUCAAACUGCCGCAGCUGCUCCUCUUGCUCACUGAAAUCAUCUGCAGCAUCAUAAGCAAGAGUUAUUGUUUGCAAACAUAAAGCACUUGUGAGUUUAAACUGUAUGCAUAACAAUCUCUCCAGCGGGUACCUUUGAGGUCAAAGGAUCCGUGAGAAAUUAGUGCUGCUGUCUGAGCCUUAUUCGAGGCCCCAACAGAGGCCCCUCCAGUAUAAUUCUGUGGUUUCUUCUUAGAAGAUGCUGAAGUUUUGCCGGCACCUCCUUUCUUCUUCUGCCGGUAGAAAUCUUUCACGCCAGUAGAAGCCAUUCUUGUCUAUUAUUCAGUCCUACCUGUGUUUUCCUGUCAAAGACCCCCAACGGAAACUUAAAAUCACUUCUGCUGUAGCUUUUGUGUUUCAUUUGCAUUUUAUUCAUUUCACCACAAAGAAUGCUAUGAGCUAUAAUAAGUACGAUGUGAACAUGACAACAGCAGAAACCUUUCAUGGUUUGUUCAUAGGUCUUACAUAGCCAAGUCCUUAUUCCCGAACACUAACGACCCAAUUUAAUAGAAGGAAUCUGAUAGCUGACGUUGUUCUAUCUACGAGAAUAUCAGUUUUUCUGUGACGACUUGUAAACGGCAUACAGUAUGAUUUAAGACUACGAUAAACUAGGUGCGAAACAGUUACUGCAAGAAGCAGCAACUACCAAGUAAUAUUUGCACAUAGGUUGUAAGACAUUAACCCAGCCAGUUCAAGAGUAAAUAGUCCGUUUGCCUGCCAACGUCAGAACAAAUGGAGCAAUCAUCUGACAAAAACAUGGAGCAUAAAUAAAACAGCAAGCAGGCAUGAAGAGAAGACAUAAAGCAUCAUUGUUCCCCAUCAGCAUAUAGUAUACCGACGACAACCAAACUACAAAAGGCCUACCUAUCUCUGUCAUUUCAAGGUCUAUUAAGCAGUGAGUUUAAGACACUGAAAUGCAUUGAUACAAGAGACACAUCUUGGUUCUUGAAACUCUGUAAAACAAAAACUCAUACUACUAACUAGUUAUGCCCAUGGUCAGCCACCGAACCCGAUGCUCCAAAACCAGAAUUGGCACUCUAGUGGAGAUGUCAUUUGUUCUACUUCCAUCACCCCCUGGGCUUAAAUACACAUAAUGUGCUCUUCUCUUAAGAACACCCCACCCCCCCCCCNNNNNNNNNNNNNNNNNNNNNNNNNNNNNNNNAAGAACCCCCCCCCCCCCCCCCCCUCCCUCCCUCUGGAAAAUCGGCCAAAAAGAGAGGCAAAACGAUACUAAUAAAACACAAUGAUAGCGGCUACUCCCCUUGCAAAUCUGAGGCUGUACCUCCAACUCCAGGCGGUCGCUCAACCAUUACAGUGUACAAAACCUAUCCCAAUCCCUUCCUGGUAAAGAAAUGUAUCCCCUAGACCUAGAAUCUCCCUCCCUCGAACUUGCCGCUGCGGUACAAAAUUAGGCGGUGAACGGCUGGGUUCUACGCAGGGAGGAACUCGGAAGUUGAUUGGAUGGAGCGGAGGGCGUACCAGGGGAGGCGGCGGAGCGGACCGAGCGGAGAGCCGGAGAACGGCGGCGAGGUCAGGUCGGUAGCGAAUCAGGUCUUCGCCUCUUUCGCGUUUGACUACGACGAUACUACAGUACUACUUUGUAUCGUGGCGUAAGAUAUGUAACGUAAACAUGCUGGCCCAGCGACGGCCCAUCAAGUCAGUGGGCGCUUAUAAACCAGACGUAGGGCAACCCAUCAAGUCGGGAAUUCCUACCUGCCGCUCGCUGCGGCAGGGGGUCGCUCCCAAGCACACGCAGGCGUCCUACUGGGCCUGCCCAUCUUUUUUUCUAAAGAAAAACGAUAAUUUCCUUUUUCAUUUCUUUUUUACUGUUUCUUCUUUCCUUUACUGCUUUUCCGCACCUUUUUUGGCUCCUUUUUCUUCCCGUUUCCUUUUUUAUUUUUGUAUCAAAACGAACAAAUGUUCAAUUUCUCAAUCUUUUUUUGAAAUACUAAAUGAUUUUUAAAUCAGAGAACAAAAAAUAAGGAGCUUUAUUUUUUGAAAAGUCAUGAACAAAUUUGGAGACGCGGACAAUUUUCUAAAGCAUGAACAUUUUUUGAAUCUUGAUAAAGUUUUUUGAAACAGAGAACAAUUUUGAAAAAACACAAACAAAUUGAAAGCACGACAUUUUUUGAAUUUUUAGAAGAAACAAAUUAAAGCACAAACAUUUUUUGAAUCUUGAGAACAAAAUUUUCAAAAAUAUAACAAUUUUGACAAACCCCAAACAAAUUUGAAAGCGCAAAUAAAGUUUUCAAGCACAAACAUCUUUUGAAUUUCUAGAACAAAUUUUGAAAUCAAAAACAAAAAUGAAAAAUCGUGAACAUAUUUGAAAGCGUGAAUAAAUUUUUUAAAGCAUGCCCAUUAUUUGAAUUUUGAGAUCAAAAUUUUGAAAUGAAGAACAAUUUUGAAAAACUCCGAACAAAUUUGGAAGCGCGAACAAUAUUUUCAAGCACAAACAUUUCCUGAAUCUUGAGAACAAAAUUUUGAAAUGGAGAACAUAUUUGAAAAACCCCGAACAAAUUUGGAAGCGCGAACAAUAUUUUCAAGCACAAACAUUUCCUGAAUCUUGAGAACAAAAUUUUGAAAUGGAGAACAUAUUUGAAAAACCCCGAACAAAUUUGGAAGCGCGAACAAAUUUUUAAAGCACGAACAUUGUUUGAAUUUUGAGGAGUUUCGAAACCAAUAACAAUUCUCAAAAAUCCUGAACUAAUUUGAAAGCGCAGACAAUUUUUUAAAGCACGAACAUUUUUUGAAUAUUAAUAACAAAUUUGAAUCUCAAGAAGAAAAUUUGAAGAAGUUUUCAAGUUGUGUACAAAUUUUGAGAAAAGAGAAACAUUCUCCAUAAAACAGGAACAUUUUUAUAAAAAAGUGAAAACAAUAACAUUUUCUGAAAACACAGACCAAUUUAAGAAAAAAUGAACUUUUUAAAAAAAACGAGCAAUUUUUUUUAAUACGAGAACAACUUUUGAAACACGAACACUUUUAAAAAUAUGAACACAUUUUGAAAGCAAGACGAAUUUUUGAAGCGCAAACAAUUAAAUAUAAAUAUUGAAAACGGGAACGUUUUUUGAAAUUCAAAACAAAUAUUAGAAAAUGUCAAACACAAAUAUAGGAAAAGGAAAAAAGGAAUAAAAGUGAAUGAAAUAAUGAAUACCAAAACAAAUAACAUUUUCUAAAAUUCGAAUAAUUGUUCUGAAAAUGUCGAACAUUUUUUUCAAAUCGCGAAAAAAAAUAGAAUUUAGAAAUGUUUUUGAAAAAUGGAAUUUUUUUACAAUUCCGAUUUUUUCUAUAAAAUUAAGAACAUUUUCUGAAUUUCAACAACAAUUAUCAAACAUGAACUUACUUUAAAAAAUAACCAUAGAAAAAAUGAGAAACAGAAAAAAGGACAAAAAAAGGGGGAAACGAAACAGAAAAAAGGACAAAAAAAAAAGCAAAAGAGGAACUGCCUGCAGAGGGAGAUGGGCCUCAAUGUGGUGAUUAAAGUAAUUAUAUUUCCAUUCCUCAAUGUGGUGAUUGAAAUAAUUAUAUUUCCAUUCCUUUGCUCACUUUUUUCCAACUGUUACAAUUAUCCUUGAUACCUAUAGAAAAGAUACAUUGGUCUAAAGAGUUUUGUGCAUUGUAAUAUUUGCACACAAUGUGUCUUCGUACCCACAGUAUACUAGGAUAUGAUUCCUGACUUGUUCACAUGCCACAAAUCUAAUUUUGAUUGUUUACAAUUAUCGGUGUUAAUGAUGCUUGUUCUUGUAAUUGACAUAAAGAAAGAAAAAUAUUAGUGUAGAUUCAUUGAUCUUAGAGUUCAAGAUUUAUGUUAGAAAUUGAAUGUGUCCUCGUUAAGAGGAGUUAAUCGUGUCCUUGUUGGGUUCGACACUCUUACUCAUCGAAAGGACUACGAUAGAUCCCCUGUAAUUAUGGGUCAUCAGGGACCCACAUGAACGUGGGUAGGCCCCACACCCCUAGUCAAGGUGCACCAAGAUCCCCCCUUAGAAGGAAUAAGAUCAUAUCCCGAAGGGAUAAGAUCAAGAUCCCUAAAAAAGGGGGAUAACAAUCGGUGGGGAAGGGAAAGGAUGGGACUUCUUUCCUCCCACAUUUGCCAACGCCCCAAUGGACUUGGAGGGCAAGAAACCGACCCCCUCCACCCCUAUAUAUAGUGGGAAGGCGCAUGGGAGCUUAACCCUAGCCCCUGGCGCAGCCCUCCCCCUCCUACACCUCCUCCUGCUCCAUAGUGCUUAGCAAAGCUGUGCCGGAGAACCACGAGCUCUACCGCCACCACACCGUCGUGCUGCCGGAGUUCUCCCACAACUUCUCCUCUCCCCUUGUUGGAUGAAGAAGGAGGAGACGUCCCCGGGUUGUACAUGUGUUGAACGCGGAGGCGCCGUUCGUUUGACGCUUGGAUCGGAUCUUCUGCGAUUUGGAUCAUCAUGAGUACAACUCCAUCAACAGCGUUCUUUGCAACGCUUCCGCUUAGCGAUCUUCAAGGGUAUAAAGAUGCACUCCCUCUCUCUCGUUGCUAGCAUCUCCUAGAUUGAUCUUGGUGACACAUAGGAUUUUUUUUGAAUUAUUACUACGUUCCCCAACAACUACCGCCAAAGAGUAGUAGUAAAAAACUACUACCACUCUUCCUACGGUACUAACGCUGGCACUAGCGGUACUACCGCUGUAAGUGCAUCUAGUGCGCCUUAGUGAUUUUGGUGGUUUGAAGACUUAUAGGUUAAGUAUCUAAUGUGUUUACGAGUGUACACAGGAUCUAUAAGUCACUGAGGAGUUUGAAAUAUUUGAGGAAUAUCGACCCCUAAAAAUGUAUAUCUUCGGUUGAAGAAAUUGGUCUAAAGCUGAAAAAUUGAAUCGCGAAGAAUCCGCGAUGAAAUUGAUAUUCCUCAUGAAGAUAUUGAAAUUGAGGAAUUCGGUGUGUCCUAAAGAAAAUCAUUCUGAAGACUUUGAAGCAUGAGGAUUUACUCUUUCUGUUUUAUUUUCUUCACACUUGAGUAAUAGGAACACCGUACUGUUAAAGGGGGUCGAAGUUACACUCUGGAAUGAAUUUCUUCAUGAUGCUCAACCCAAGCCUAAUCCUACCAAAAGCCUCAAGUGAGGAAUACGAGUGACAUGAGGACUCUCACAGUUGAGGGUUCCGACCGUUUCGAUAGCCACGCCACAUCAUUGGUCUUAUCCACACCAACGGUCAUAUUAUUUAAGGGCAUUAGUGUCAAAUCAUGUCAGGAUGCUCCCAGGCUAUAAAUAGCCGCCCCCACAACCAUUAGCUGGUUGGCUGCUCUGUUAGAAACUGACACUUGUCAUAAGAGCAACCCAAUUCCUCAGAGUCUUCGAGAGAAAUUUAUCAGUGAGGAAAUACCCCAAACACCAAACCACAAACUUAGAACCAAGUGAUUGAGCAUCACUGAAGAAGUUGUUCGUGUGUGGUACUGAAGCCUUUUACCUUUGAGGACUGUGCAUCCUCCAAACGGUUAGGCGUCAUGGUCUAGAGCAAUCGAGCAGUCAAUUGUGGAUCGCCGGGUGACCAAGUUUGUGAGGGUUUGGAAGUCUGCCCUGAAGACUUACCACGAGUGUUGGGUGAGGGCUGUGUGUUCUUAGCCCAAGGAGAAUACGGUAGGGACUGUGUGUCCCGGGACUGUGUGUCUUUUGGUUUCAAUACCAAACCGCUCCAAACCAGAUGUACGACUGUCAUAGCAGUUGGAACUCGGUCAUCAACUACUGUCUUCGCUGUGAAACGGAUUCUAAUUCCUCAACCCUUUACAUUCCUCAGAUUAUGUGUUGAUGACUUUCACUGUGACUGUUUGAAUAAUUUGCUGAAGACUUUCUCUGAAAUUCCUCAACCCCAAAUUCUUCAAACUAGUUAAUCCUCAUCUAUUUUCUGCCUGCCUGCUCACUGUGCAAUCUGUUUUCACAUUCCUCACACUGAAAAACUAUUGUUGUGAAACUUUGCACUUCUGAUCCUUUACUGUUUCCAAUGUAAGUUAGUCAUUAGUGAGGAAUUUCGUCAAAAGGAAUUUCCUGAGUAAUGAAAUUCUAAAAAUCUCCUAUUCACCCCCCUCUAGUCGAUAUAACGCACUUUCAACCGCUGGACACAGAAACUGCCAUAACUUUCGCAUAUGAGCUUCGAAUCAAAUGAACUGCAAGCACUGGGAGCUCGAGACAUUACUGAUCACGAAGUUGUGAAGAAACUGCUAAGAUCUUUGGAUUCUUCAUUUGAUACUUUAGUACUGAUGAUUCAAGAAAGACCAGACUACAAGAUGCUUGAUCCAGCUGAUAUACUCGAAAGACUCAAUACUCAUGAAUUCCAUGUAGAAGAAAAGAAAGAUCUAUAUGGACCAAGCUAUUCUAGACCACGUGCACUGAAGACUAGAGCAAUUUCCUCAUCUGAGGAAGAAAAUUCGGAUGAUAGCAUUGGUGACCCUGAAGAAUUUGGACAGGAGCUUGCAAUGCUCGUGAGGAAAUUCCAGAGGUUUACACGACGUGGUCAGUUCGGUAAAUCUUCAAGAAGAGACAUGAGGAAAUCAGAAUCUUCAUCUGAGGACUACAAGAAAAGAACCUGCCACAAAUGCAAGAAAUCAGGUCAUUACAUUGCUGAAUGUCCCCGUUGGGGAAAGGAAUCAAAGAAGAAGAAAUACAAGGAUGACAGUUCUGAUGACUCGUAGAAGAAGAAGAAAUCUUCAAAAUCCUCAUCUUCAAAGCCCUCAUCGCACAAGAAGACUAGUUUCAGAAAGGCUCGGGCACUUAUUGGCAAGGAAAUGGAUUCCGAGGCAGAAUCAGAGGAAUGUGAUGAAGAAGAGGGUUCUGAUGAAGACUCAGAAUCCGGACAGGCUAGUCUUGCACUUGCAACCACUUUCGUGAGCAAGUCAAUCUUCAACCUUGAAGAAGAUGACAACACCAUCCACAGUGAUGACUAUGCUGAUGACUUUGCUCCAACCUAUUGCUUCAUGGCAAAAGGUUCAAAGGUACCGAAUGAUGCUUCCUCCUCUGAUUCAAGUGACUCUGAACCUAAUGAUUAUAAAAAACCCAGUUACAGUAAACUUGCUAUCAUUGCCACUAAACAACAAACUGCCCUGGAAAAGCUUCAGAAACUGCUAGAUAGAAGUGAUGAUCUGUUGAAUGAUGAAAUGAAUCUUACCCAAAUCCUCACUGAAGAUGUGAAAAGUCUUCAGUCUAGAUUUGAUAAUCUUCAAGAUCGUUAUGAUACCCUCCUCGCUGAUCAUGAAAAACUUUCCUAUGAAUUUAUUCAAAGGAAGCUUGAUCUAGAGAAGUUGAGGAUUUCUCAUGAUGAUCUUCGUAUAGAAAAUGAUUCAUUUCUAGCUCAACAGAUCAGCGCUGCUCAAGCUGAAUUCAUUCCUCCAUGUCUUAAAUGCAUUGAAUGCGAAACUGCUAAUUCUUCACCAGAAUCAUCAAAUGCUUCUAUUGCUACAAAUUCUUCAACUGCACCUGUAGUGUCACUUGAGGAAAACACAAAUGUUACUGAUGAAAAUGCAGGGUUGAAGGAAUUGUAUGUGACAGGCAUAUACAAAAGCCUCAAAGGACAUCAAACCCUUUGUGAUGUUCUCAAAAAGCAGAUCUUGAACAGGAACCCGAGGAAAGAAGGAAUUGCCUUUGAGAGGAAAUUAAAUGCACAUGGAUCUUAUUGGAAACCUGAGCAGUAUCCAAAAACCUCAUGGGUUGCUGCUACUGGGCCUCCUUUUGAUCCAUCCAAUCUAACUGGCUUUUCAUGUGAAUUAUCCUAUUCCUCACAUGAGUCAUUUGACUCCAACUAUAAACUGUUCAAAUAUCAAUCUGGUGAAGUAUUUGCUCGAUAUGUUGGAACUAACUGCAGGAAUGGCCCUCCUUUGAGGAAAAUCUGGGUUCCCAAAAGUUGUCUUGAAAAUCUUCAGGUGAAUGUCCUCAUGACACCACCAAUGAAGAAUCUGAACCCCAGAUCAAAAUCCUCAGGAGGACCAAAGUCUUCAAGAGGAUCAAAAUCCUCAACUGAUCAAAAUUAUGCUCAUUCCCGUGCUAAUACUUCUAACAUGCAGGGAAACUACAAGGAAUAUGAAUAUGAGCGUUACUCUUCAAAUCAUUAUGUUCGUAAGUCCUCAAACCAGUUCUCUGCAUAUUCAUAUGAGUACUUUAACCCCCCUACUGUUAAGAGAAGUGCAUUAGCUUCAAUGCCACCUUUUUCAUAUGGUACUCGCAGGAUGAUGAAUGCUUUACCACCCCUUCAGAUGUGGAUGGUGAAGAAAUCGAACUAAUCACUUCUGCAGGUCAGGUCUCCACUUGAAAAUCACCAUCUGAAGAAUUUGCUGGAGACCUGAGGAAAUGCUUGAUAGGACGCAAGCUAAUAUUGAUGAAAUAGAAAUAUUUCACACGUCUUUUUUAAUUCUGUUAUGAUGAAAUUCUUAUCUUAUGAAAUUGAUAUCAUAUUCUUCAAAUCUGAAGUGUAUGAGAUGGUAAGCUGUACUAAUUCAUCUACAGGAUGACAAACCCAAGAAUACUGUGUGGGUUCUUGAUAGUGGCUGCACCCAUCACAUGACUGGUGAUAAAAGCUUGCUGAUGAAUAUGCCACUAACUCCAUCACCUCUGAAGCAAAUCACAUAUGCUGACAAAGGUAAAAGCAAGGUAUUGGGACUUGGCAAAGUGGCUAUUUCCAAGGAUAGGCAUAUGGACAAAGUGAUGCUUGUUGAAUCCCUUGGUUUUAACCUCAUGUCAGUCUCGAUGCUUUGUGAUCUUGAUAUGAUUGUUAUCUUUGGUAGAUAUAGAUGUGUAGUCUUCAUGGAAUCUGACAGAUCCAAAGUCUUCGAAGGUGUAAGAAGAGGGGAUUUGUGCAUUGUUGAUUUCUCUACAAGUCCUCAACCAGCCACUUGCUUACUAGCAAAGACCUCAGAAGGAUGGGUGUGGCACCGAAGACUAGGUCAUGCAGGCAUGAGGAAUUUGCACACGCUUGCGAAGAAGAAGCAUGUCAUCGGCAUCGAAUCAGUCAAAUUCCUCAAGAAUCAUCUCUGCGGUGCAUGUGAAUCUGGGAAAAUGACCAGAUCCAAGAAUCCCUCGAAGACUAUCAUGACCACUACACGUCCCUUAGAAUUGCUUCAUAUGGAUCUAUUUGGACCUACUCACUAUGCCACACUAACCAAUGCAGCAUCUUUAUAUGGCUUCGUCAUAGUUGAUGAUUAUUCCAGAUAUACAUGGGUGCAUAUCAUCAUAUAUAAAACUGAAGUGCAGGAAAUCUUCGAACGAUUUUCUUCAAGGGCCUCGACGAACUUUGGCAUCAAGAUCAAACAUAUCAGGAGUGAUAAUGGAAUAGGGUUCAAAAACACUGGUCUCGAUGAUUAUCUUGAUGAACUUGGUAUUACUCACGAAUUAUCUGCUCCUUAUAUUCCUCAGCAGAACGGUGUCGUCGAGAGGAAGAACAGGACUCUGGUUGAGAUGGCAAGAACUAUGCUUGAAGAAUAUCAGACUCCUCGUCGCUUUUGGCCUGAAGCAAUCAACACUGCAUGCCAUAUCAUCAACAGGGUAUAUCUUCACAAAUUCCUCAAGAAAACCUCAUAUGAACUCAUCACUGAUAAGAAACCCAAUGUAAGUUAUUUCAAAGUCUUCGGUGCAAAAUGUUGGAUUAGAGAUCCUCACCAUAGCUCAAAAUUUGCACCUAAGGCACAUGAGGGUUUUAUGCUCGGUUAUGGAAAGGACUCGCACACCUACAGAGUCUUCAACAACUAUCACAACAAAGUUGUUGAGACUGUAGAUGUGCGGUUCGAUGAAACUAAUGGCUCGCAAAGAGAGCAAUUGCCUUGUGAUCCAGAUAAGUUGUCUCCUGAGGAAGCAAUAAAGCUCAAGCCUACUGAAGACAUUGUUCCCACUGAGGAAAUUGAUGAAGAAACCAUCCCCAUCACUGAUGAAAAUCAAGAAGAUGCUCUUGAGGAAAUUGCUCCAGAACCUCUUCCUCAGCCCAGACGAAAUCCUCAACCAGCUCAUCCGAGGAUUGCAAAUGAAGUAGAACUUGACAAAAUCCUCAACGACAUCAACGCGCCAGGUCCUCUCACUCGCUCAAAAGCUUCACACUUAGUUAACUUUUGUGGGCAUUUUUCCUUUGUAUCUAUCACAAAACCCUCAAAAGUUGUUGAGGCUUUCUUGGAACCGGAGUGGAUCCAAGCUAUGCAAGACGAACUUCUUCAAUUCAAGCUGAAUGACGUAUGGGAGCUAGUCAAACGACCAGAUCCUCGCAAGCACAACAUCAUCGGAACAAAGUGGAUUUUCCGAAACAAGCAAGAUGAGGAUGGUCAAGUGGUGAGGAAUAAGGCAUGACUCGUAGCCCAAGGCUACAUCCAGGUUGAAGGAAUAGAUUUCGAUGAAACUUCUGCACCUGUUGCUAGACUUGAAGCUAUUCGAAUACUACUUGCUUAUGCUAAUCAUCAUAACAUCAUCUUAUAUCAAAUGGAUGUGAAAAGUGCAUUCCUCAAUGGUAAGCUUGAGGAAGAAGUAUAUGUUGCUCAACCCCCAGGUUUUGAGGAUUCAAAGAAUCCAGACAAAGUAUUCAGACUCAAAAAGGCGCUCUAUGGUCUCAAGCAAGCCCCUCGGGCAUGGUAUGACACAUUGAAGGAAUUCCUCAUGAAGAAAGGCUUCAAACCUGGUUCACUCGAUCCAACUCUUUUCACUAAAUCCUAUGAUAAUGAGCUAUUUGUGUGCCAAAUAUAUGUCGAUGAUAUCAUAUUUGGCUGUACUGACAAACGAUACAGUGAUGAAUUUGCUUACAUGAUGAGUGAAAAAUAUCAGAUGUCUAUGAUGGGGGAGCUGAAAUUCUUCUUAGGUCUUCAAAUUCGUCAACAACGCAAUGGAAUCUUCAUAUCACAGGAGAAAUACCUCAAGGAUGUUCUGAGGAAAUUCGACAUGCAUGAAUGCAAAGGUGCCAAGACUCCAAUGCCUACAAACGGACACCUCGGCACUGAUGAAAAUGGUAAAGAAUUCGAUAAACAGGUAUAUCGCUCUAUGAUUGGCACUUUAUUGUAUCUGUGUGCAUCUAGGCCAGAUAUAAUGCUUAGUGUUUGCAUGUGUGCACGUUUUCAAGCAAAAUCGAAGGAAUCACACCAUAAGGUUGUGAAAGCAUAUUCUUCGAUACUUAGCUCACACACCAACACUAGGAUUAUGGUAUCCCAAGGGCUCAAAUCUUCAUCUGGUAGGGUAUUCUGAUUCUGACUAUGCUGGUGAUCAUGUGGAUCGCAAGUCAACUUCUGGUACAUGUCAUUUCCUCCGAAGAUCACUAGUUUGCUAGUCCUUAAAGAAGCAGAAUUGUGUAUCACUCUCCACUGCCGAAGCUGAGUACAUUGCUGCUGGUUCAUGCUGUGCUCAAUUACUAUGGAUGAAGCAAACCCUCAAGGACUACGGCAUCAACAUGAAGAAUGUGCUUCUCUACUGCGACAAUGAGAGUGCAAUCAAGAUUGCAUACAACCCAGUACAACACUCGAAGACCAAGCACAUCCAGAUUUGUCAUCAUUUUCUUCGGGACCAUGUCCUCAAGGGCAAUAUCCUCAUCGACCAUGUGAAGACUGAUGAUCAACCGGCAGAUAUCUUCACUAAGCCCUUGGAUGAUAAAAGGUUUUGCAAGUUGCGGUGUGAGCUAAAUAUCUUAGAAUCUUCAAAUGUUUUGUAAAAACAUGCACACAUCCUAACACUUAUGCAAAAUUGAUGACUUAGAUGUGCAACACAUGAUGAAUCGAUUUUCUUCAACUAAUGAAGAAUAUCACUCUGAAUGUGGAGAAAUCAACGAAGAAAUUGAUUCUCACGGCCCUACGACAAUUGUACGCGGCGUCUGUAAUCAACAUUCUUAUAUGGUGGGUCACGCCACCGCCCAACGUGAAAUUCCUCAAGUUGAUUUUCUUCAAAGUUCCAUUUCCUCAAAACUUGUUUUUCUUCAAAAACACUUGAUGACUUUCGUUUAACUACAUAGACUGUGAUUUCAAGUCCUCAACAGCAUUCACUUAUAGCUAUUUCUUCAAGUUGAUAUUUCAUCUAAGUGAAUGUGAUCGGACCCUACUUUCCCUCUAUGCUAUUCUCAUCCAGUCUAUUCGAUUCUUCAUAUGCGUUCUGCUUGAAACUUUGUUCAAAAUCCUCACUGCGUCCUUGUCAGCUGAUGAUUUUGUAACUAAAAUCCUCAACUCUUCAAAAAUGUUUCUUUAAUGCACAGUAACCGAACCCCACUUCCCACGUUCGGAUAACCACGAUCUCCACUAUCUCCACCGCCUUGCUCGGGAGCUACACGUGUCCUGCGGAGACGUAGAGGCAGGGGUUGUUUGGUCCGAAUUCUUCGCGCCGACAGUAACUGCCUGGCUAUAAAUAUGUCCUUAUACCCCUCGGCAAACACUUCUUCGCUCCAUUGCUCUCCUGCUAUAGCAAAAGCCCCGAACCCUAGCGCCACCGGUGGAAGUCUCAUCGCCGGCAAAGAAGAGCUUCACUGCCUCGACUUCUCCGUCGCCGGAACCACGCCGGAGUCGGACCAUCUUCGUCCGCCGCCGCCGUAGACGUCCUCUGCUGCCGGGUUAGGGCGCAUUGGACACGCACCGAAGAGCUUCUCUCUGCAACUCUUCUCUGUUCUUCGUGCGCGCCAUCUAGGGUAAAUAAAAACCCUAUUUUUACAGCAAGUUAGAUCUACUAUUUUACAUCUCAGAUGUGAAAUCUAUUUUUCCUCAAGAAUCCAUAUGCAUCUGAUUCCUCAAACACUGCCUAUCACCACACUGUUGAUGAACUUCACUAAGCAUCUAAGAUUUUCACGAGAUUCCUCAAUUGUGUGAAUUUUUGGAUCUGUACAACUCUGGAACCCAAGAACGGUAUGCUUAGGCAAAUUCCUCAACCACUGGUUAAAUGUUAGAAUUAUGCCCUAGAGGCAAUAAUAAAUAUAGUUAUUAUUAUAAUUCNNNNNNNNNNNNNNNNNNNNNNNNNNNNNNNNNNNNNNNNNNNNNNNNNNNNNNNNNNNNNNNNNNNNNNNNNNNNNNNNNNNNNNNNNNNNNNNNNNNNUAAAGUGAAUGCAGCUGUUUCUAAUGCAUAACCCCAAAACGAUAACGACAAAUCAGUAAGAGACAUCAUAGAUCGCACCAUUUCUAAUAAAGUACGAUUACGACGUUCGGACACACCAUUACGCUGUGGUGUUCCAGGCGGUGUUAACUGCGAAACAAUUCCACAUUGUCUUAAGUGAGUACCAAACUCGAAACUCAGAUACUCACCCCCACGAUCAGACCGUAGGAACUUGAUCUUCUUGUUACGAUGAUUUUCCACUUCACUCUGAAAUUGCUUGAACUUUUCAAAUGUUUCAGACUUGUGCUUCAUCAAGUAGACAUAACCAUAUCUACUCAAAUCGUCAGUGAAGGUGAGAAAAUAACGAUAUCCGCCGCGUGCCUCCACGCUCAUCGGACCACACACAUCGGUAUGUAUGAUUUCCAAUAAGUCACUUGCACGCUCCAUUGUUCCGGAGAACGGAGCUUUAGUCAUCUUGCCCAUGAGGCAUGGUUCGCAAGUGUCAAGUGAAUCAAAGUCAAGUGACUCCAAAAGUCCAUUAGCAUGGAGUUUCUUCAUGCGCUUUACACCAAUAUGACCCAAGCGGCAGUGCCACAAAAAUAUGGCGCUAUCAUUGUUUACUCUAACUCUUUUGGUCUCAAUGUUAUGUAUAUGUGUAUCGCUAUCGAGAUUCAAUAUGAACAAUCCUCUCACAUUCGGUGCAUGACCAUAAAAGAUGUUACUCAUAGAAAUAGAACAACCAUUAUUCUCAGACUUAAAAGAGUAACCGUCUCGCAAUAAACAAGAUCCAGAUAUAAUGUUCAUGCUCAACGCAGGCACUAAAUAACAAUGAUUUAGGUUCAUCACUAAUCCCGAUGGUAGGUGAAGUGACAUGGUGCCGACGGCGAUUGCAUCAACCUUGGAACCGUUUCCUACGCGCAUCGUCACUUCGUCUUUCGCCAGCCUCCGUCUAUUCAUCAGUUCCUGCUUCGAGUUGCAAAUGUGAGCAACAGAACCGGUAUCGAAUACCCAGGCACUACUACGAGAGCUGGUUAAGUACACAUCAAUAACAUGUAUAUCAAAUAUACCUGAUUUUUCUUUGCCCGCCUUCUUAUCUGCCAGAUACUUGGGGCAAUUGCGCUUCCAGUGACCCAUACCCUUGCAAUAGAAGCACUCUGUUUCAGGCUUAGGUCCAGCCUUGGGUUUCUUCGGCGGAUUGGCAACAGGCUUGCCGCUCUUCUUCGAAUUGCCCUUCUUGCCUUUGCCGUUUCUCUUGAAACUAGUGGUCUUGCUCACCAUCAACACUUGAUGUUCUUUACGGAGUUCAGACUCUGCGACUUUCAGCAUCGCAAACAACUCGCCGGGAGACUUUUUCAUCCCUUGCAUGUUGUAGUUCAACACGAAGCUUUUAUAGCUUGGCGGUAGUGAUUGGAGGAUUCUGUCAGUGAUAGCUUCUUGCGGGAGUUCAAUCCCCAGUUCAGCUAGACGGUUUGAGUACCCAGACAUUUUGAGCACAUGUUCACUNNNNNNNNNNNNNNNNNNNNNNNNNNNNNNNNNNNNNNNNNNNNNNNNNNNNNNNNNNNNNNNNNNNNNNNNNNNNNNNNNNNNNNNNNNNNNNNNNNNNGCCGCCAGGAUAGCCGAUUCUCUCUAGCGGACUGAUUCAGAGGCUCGUAGAGGAAUCGAGCAGAUCCGCGCCUUGUUGCUUAUGGUGCAAUAGCAAAAUUCGGCGAUCUCCCAGUCGCACAACAGGAUCCACAACAGUUCUGUUCAAGCGAACACGCAUCGGUCGGUUUUCAGUCCCGACUCUCACCAGCGAUGCAGAGGGGGCAGCCGUUCCAAGGACCCGAGUCGGAAUACGCUUCCCAUUUGGUCUCAUCCCGAAGAUCGUCGCCGUUCGCGUACUCCUCCAUGGUGUGGGCCUUACGGGCCCCGGCAUUACGAUGAUCGUCGUUCGGGCGGUGGCGCGCAUGAUCCAAGGCCUGAUGCAAGAGGGUACAUCACCCAGACGAAGGUCGACAAAAGUCGAGCCCACCGUGAUGGUCAGGAUAGAGACCAUCCGAGUGGAAGCAGGACCGUUGUUUCUGGCCCCGAGUGCUUCAGUCGGGCCAUCCGCUCAGCUGACAUCCCUCCCAACUUCUGAUUGGUGACGGGAAUCAGCAAAUUCACAGGAGAGUCCAAACCAGAAACUUGGUUGGACGACUACAGAGUGGCGGUCCAGAUCGGUGGCCGAGAUGACCAUGUCGCCAUGAAAUAUCUCCCACUGAUGCUCGACGGUUCGGUGCGAGCUUGGCUAAACUAGUUAGCUCCGUCAAGGAUCUACAGUUGGGCAGAUCUGGCCCGAGUCUUCAUAAGGACCUUUCAGGGAAUGUGCAAACGCCCUGCUGGUCUCGUGGAGCUUCAUCACUGUGUCCAGAAGCAAAACGAGCCCUUGCGCGAUUUCAUCCAGCACUGGACGACCCUCUACCACAAGGUGGAGAAUGUCACAGAGCACCAAGCAGUCUGUGCCUUCAAGGUAGGCGUUCAAUACAGAGAUCUGUACCUGAAGUUUGGUCGGACAGGCGACAUCUCCAUGAGCAAGAUGAUGGAGAUAGCCACGCGCUAUGAAAUGGCGAAGAGGAGGACCACAUAUGUAGCGGCAAGCAUAAGUCAGUCGCCGAUGGAGAUGGGAACAACUGUUGGAAGCAGAAGCAGAAUUCUCAAUCCACUCCGCAGGCAUAGGCAGCAGCCGUCACAAAUGCCAAGUUCAAAGGCAAGGGGAAAGCACAAUACGCCCCCAAGAAGAGGCAAUCAGGAAAUUCCAUCCUAGAUCAACCGUGUCCAAUCCACACGAAGACAGAUGAAGAAGGCAAUGUCAUAUUGUCGAAGCAUACCACUCGGCAGUGUCGCCUCCUGAUCCAAGGAUUCGGCGAAGGACAACCGAGUGAGAAGGACACCGAGCAGGAUGAUGAGGACAAGGAGGAUCCGUUCCCCCUAGUCCAUGCAACAUUGAUGAUUUUUGUUGAUGUGGAAAGCAAAAGUCGACUGAAGCUGGUCAACAGGGAGGUAAACAUGGCAACCCCAUCCACUCCCACGUUCCUCAAGUGGUCACAGACUGUGAUCACCUUUGAUCAGUCAGACCACCCAGCACACGUACCCACCCCAGGGAGGCAGGCUCUGGUCAUCGACUCGGUGGUGGAAGGAGUUAGGCUGCGCAAAUUCCUCAUGGACGGCGGCAGCGGCUUNNNNNNNNNNNNNNNNNNNNNNNNNNNNNNNNNNNNNNNNNNNNNNNNNNNNNNNNNNNNNNNNNNNNNNNNNNNNNNNNNNNNNNNNNNNNNNNNNNNNACGCACACACUACAUGUACUAUGUUCGUUUCGUUUCAUUUUCUUUGUUSCGMRAARGGGUUAGGUUUUGGGAAGUUUGGGGUACCGUUGGGGUCGUUAGUUCGAGGAUGUAGGUGGGCAACGGGUASGCACACGGCAUGCACACAGGAGAUGCGGUCACUGAUCACGUAAGCUACUUGGUGAGUUUCUUGCACGAGGCCGAUGAUUUUCUUGAAGAAAAACUCAACGACCGAUGACGAGAGCUAGGGAGCGAGUGCGACACCAUACAACCGCGCAACUUCUGUAUGAUGCAAACCUUGACCUUUCGAAUCAUCUAGUUGCCUUCCCCGCCAAAAUUCUAGUUAAAUUUGGUGCGAUCACCCUCGGAGUGUGAAAAAACGGGUUCGGUUUGGUCCUAUGUUCAAACUGAAAAUGGUUGGAUGCAGAGAAGCAGCCAGGGAUUGGAUGGUUGGAUCAUCUCUAACAGAUUCCUUAAAAAUGGUUAAAUUUCAUAAGAAAUAACGUACAGUUGUCAACAAACAUCUCAAGUAACUAUUUUCAAACCGAAUAGUAGCCCGUAAAAGUGGUUAAAUCCGUAAACCCCUGAGCAUCCACCCCAUGACUCCUUUAUUUCCAUAUUUGGAGGCAGAACUGAGGAUACCUUAAAAACCGGUCAACGUUACUCCCUCCCUCCGUCCACAAAUAAGUGUACAUAUAGAUUUUUACUUAGUUAAAUUUUUUAAAAUUUGAUCAAUUUUAUAGAAAAUAGUAGCAACAUAUAUGGCAUAAAAAUGAUAUAUUUAAAAACUUCAUGUAAAGACGAAUCUAUUGAUACUUAUUUGAUGUCAUAAAUGCUAACACUUUUCUCAAUAAAGUUAGUCAAAGUUUAACUAGUUUGACUGACAGAAAAGGAAAAAGUACACUUAUUACCGGACGGAGGGAGUAUAUGAUAAAGGAUUUUGUCGUGCGCACACGGGCUCCGAUGACCUUUCACCAUGAAACUCGCCAACUCGAGCAGCUACGGACUAGCUAGCUACGCUAGAUCGAUUUGUAUUUGGCUGCUUCGUGUGCUGUUCGUCGGCUUUUUAGAGCGAGCUAGUUGAUCGUGGAUAUGAACGAGAUGAAGAAGAAGACUGAGACAAAUAUAAGCAAAUAUUCAGUUUUAUAGUUUAAGUUUGAGAGGUUUGUUCGACCGCAACUCAAAUCGAUUCUUAAAAUGCGUUUUUUUCUGAAUUGAAAACCGCGCUUCAGUUUCACGAUUUAAGGGUUCUGCUGGAGGUGCUCUUAGGAGGGUGUCCGUGCCCCGGGCUAUCACUCAUCAAACCUCGGGUAAUGGGCAUCAUUUAAAAAAAUAAGAGACGACAUUCUGGUGUGAGUGCACGCAUGCAUGAGUCUACAUUGUAACAUGUGUUUAAAAAAGGAUUUUGUUUUAGAGGAUUUGAUGCUUAUGAUCACCUAGUCAAGGAAAUGAGUUAAGAAACUCGGUAACUGGUUUCUUGUAAUCGGUGUUUUCCAUGUUGAUAAUUUUCUUCGUCGAAAAUUAAGAUAAUUUGGAAACAAAAAUAGGAAAAGAGUUUCUUUUGUUGAAAACUAAGAUAAUUUGAAAUGAAAACUAGGAAAAGGUGAUUUAAAAUAUAAAAAAUAUAUGUGACCAAAAACAAGAAACCGGUUGUGUAUAAAACUGCAAGCUUACACAAGGAAUUUUGACUUGAAAUUUAUCGGGAAACAUCCAUAAUCACAUAAGAACUCUAAAAUGUUUAGACAAAUGUGAAAUAUUCCACAUAAGGAUUCGAAAACUUUUGAGAACUUUUAGAAGUAAAAAAAUGUUUAUAUCUAGUCCCAUGUUCAAACUAAAAAUGGUAUGAUACUAUACAUUGGACAAAUGAAGUAGAAAAGUAAGGAAAAAAGGAAGUGUUGUAAAUAAAUAGUCGAAAACUUAAGUGAUUCGAAGGAAAACAAUGAAAAGUAAUGUUAAAAACUUACGGAUAUACAAAAGAAAAAAAGAAACCAAUUGUGAAAAAGGUAUACAUUCAUAGAAACAUGAUAUUUCAAAAUUGAAAUUGUCUUGGAACAUCUAUAACAUCAAAAAUUCUGAAAUACCGUUAUAGUGUAAAAAAACUGUCUGCAUGGAUUGUUUUUGUCUAGUUCACCUCUGUUUUUAGAAUAAAUGUGUCUGUUAGGCAUAAAAUUCAUAGGAGAUAUUAGCAUUUCUUUAAUAUUUUUAGCUCCUUGUUUGUUUUCAAGUUUCUUGUUUUCCCUACUUAUUUUUGCUAAGUGUAUGUCUUUUGCGUGAAUAAGUGGAUGCAACCUCGUCAUAAAAAACAUUACUUGGGUAAUUAACCAACUUCUAGACAAUUUGACAAUUUUUUAUGCUUUCAAAAACAAGAAURGCCAAUACAGAGUUAAGAUAUGACGAGGUUAUUUGGGUAAUUGACCAACUUUUAGACAAUUAUUUAUGUUCUCGGAAACAAGAAGUUGAGAUAUCAAACGGUUAUUUGGGUAAUUGACCAACUUUUAGACAAUUAGUUUGACCCACAAAAUAAUCGCCAAAAUAAGGGUUUGCACGGAAAAUGUUGCCACACAAGACCCUGCAAACGCGUCCGACCCGCAAACUUUUUUGACGGGCGCGGCAAAAUCCCCUCCCGACCCACGAAAACACAGGUUUCCGCCUCGCCUAUAGGAUGCCCUGCAUUCGAGGGAAGCGGUUAGCGGGACGGACAUUUCAGCCCACGCCCUUUCCCCACCCCCUUCCGCUGCCGCGCCGCCAUUAGUUCCCCCUAUCCCCCGUCGGUGAUUCUGCCGAAUCUACCGGGUGAAUCGCGCCGCUGGGCACCACUGUCCUCUUCCGCCAAGCCGCUACAUCGACUCCCCCGGAUCCGCCAAUCCACGGCGGCGGGAGAGCCACCGCCGGAGAUGGACUUGAGCCUGUGCGAGAAGUUUCCGCUCGAGGAUUCAUCCGAUUCGGACGACCCAGAUGUUGAGACGAUGUUCUCAUAUUUUGCCAGCAUAGUUUGGUGAUGGCCCUCGCCGUGAAGGAGCACGAAGACGAGCACCGAAAGAGGCGGCGUGGAUCAACUAUUAGUCGUCUUUGCAUUCCUCGAAAUAGCCAUCUCGGCAACGAGAUGCUGAUGCGAGACUACUUCGCCGCCAAUCCAACAUACCCGCCGCACCUCUUCGGGAGAAGGUACCGUAUGUGCAGAUCCAUGUUUGUUAAAAAAAGUUAAGCUUGCGAGGCUAAUUGUCGAUAUUUUACUCAAAGAAGGAAUGUCGCGGGCUUGAAGGGAUUUAGUGCAUAUCAGAAAAUCUCGGCAGCUAUGCGGGUAAUUUCAUACGGCGUUCCGGCUGACUAUACCGAUGAGUACCUUCGCAUUGGGGAAGACAGUACAAUUGAGUCGGUGCGUAGGUUUGCCAAAAUGAUUGUCCGUGUCUUUGAUCCUGAAUAUCUUUGGGCACCGAACGAGGAAGACACAAAAAAUUGAUGACAUUUAACGAAAGAAGAGGAUGGCUCGCAUGCUAGGAAGCAUAGAUUGUAUGCAUUGGACUUGAAAAAAUUGUCCAAAAGCAUGGCAAGGAAUGUACCGUGGCAAGUCUCGUGAUGCAACAAUUGUGCUAGAGGUCGUACCUUCACAUGAUUUAUGGAAUUGGCCUUGAUUUUUUGGUAUGCCGGGUACUCUAAAUGAUAUAUAUCAAUGUGUUGCAACGGUCUCAUUUGCUUGCUAGGCUUGCUAGUGGUGAUGCUCCAGCUUGCAAAUACACUAUCAAUGGGCAUGAAUACACAAAAGGAUACUAUCUUGCAUAUGGUAUAUACCCUUCUUGGUGCACAUUUGUGAAGAGCAUCAAAGACCCCCAAAGUAGAAAGGAGUCUGAAUUCGCAAGGGCACAAGAGGCAGCCUGAAAAGACAUUGAAAGAGCAUGUGGGGUUUUGCAAUCUAGGUUUGCCAUUGUUCGUGGUCCUGCUCGAUUUUGGGACAAACGAUCCUUAAAAAACAUCAUGACAUGUUGUGUUAUUCUUCAUAAUAUGAUUCUCGAAUAUGAGAGAGGCAUGAACUUGGAGUUCUUCUAUGCAAUGUGGACAGUCGUGUCAAACCAGCUAGAGACCCUAACCGAAUUAGAGCUUUUCUUUAGACCUACAGUGUAAUGACCCAGAUGUAACCCUUGCCUUUUGUGGAACCCUUUCCUAUUUUGGGUCAUGAUGGCAAUGCUAUAAGAGUAUCAUUUCAUGCGGUCAUUUCAUGUCAUCACUUUUGGAUCAUGCCAUUCAUUGCAUUCAUGUUUUCUCCUUUGUGUUGAUGUUGUUGCUUGAUCCUUCAUUAGUGGAGUGUGUUGUGUUUGAUGUGGUGAUGUCUUCAAAACAUUGUUGCUUUCAACUAGGUUUCAAAAACCCCUUCUUCUUUAUUUAUUCGAGCUCAUGUUUAACUUGCUCAAAAUCUAUUUUAGAAAUGUUGUUCAUUUUGUAGUUUUACCUUGUGGAUGAGGGAUACUGUUUUGGGGUUUUUAAAACUUAAAUGAAUGGGAGUUUAAAUACAAAAACAGCAUAGAUUUUCUGUUUUUGCAUUUAAAUUACUUGCUCUAAAAAUCUGGUUUUUAUUUUUUUUAAAUAGGGCAUAAUUCCCUUAUGCCCUGUGUGCUUUAGUUUUUAUUUUUCCAAACACUCUGGAGCACUGGGCUUUUUGCUUUCUGCUUGGUUUAAAUAAAAUAGGAAAAACCCUUGUUUUAUUUUUUUCCUAUCAUGCGCUAGAUAGGAGUGGGCUUCCUUUUCUCUCCCUGGGCCGCCUCCUUUUCUCCCGAGCCAGGCCCACCCGGCGACCCUCUUCUUCCUCCUCGCUGUCGUCACUGUGUACGACGCCACCUCCACCACUGAUCUUCCUCCCCCUUCGAUCUGGUGGCUCCAAGCAUGCCUCCCGAGGUCAUAUAAGGAGCCGGUGCCUCCCUGCGUCUAGGGUUCUAUUUUCCCCUCCUCUUCUCCCUCUAGCGCCGCCAGGAACAUAGCAGAGCAUCCCCAUCGCCAUGGAGACCUCCGGCCCGAGCUCGACGCCGGCGUAGCCUCGACCUCGCCUCCUCCCCGAAGCUGCCGGGAGCAAGAGGACUGAUGUCCCAUAAGCGUAUGGGAUCGCAACAGUUUUCGAGGGUAGAGUAUUCAACCCAAAUUUAUUGAUUCGMCAAGACGGGAAGCGAAAGAAUAUUCUCAAGUAUUAGCAGUUGAAUGUGUCAGAUUCAACCACACCUGAAAGAUUAGUGUCUGCAAGCAAAGUAUCAGUAGCAAGGUAGUAUGAUAGCAACGGUGCCAGAAACGAUCUGUUGACGGCAGACUAUUCCUAACUGUUGUAUCAAUGGCGCUAGCACGUUGACGGGGGAUUAUUCUUUAGAAGAAUGCUUCCCCGGCUACGGCUCCAACAAAGUCUUGCAACAAGUAACAGCGGAGUAGCAAGGAACAGCAGUAGCAGCAUCAACAAAGUAACAAGUAACAGCAGUAGCAAAGUGGCCCAAUCCCUUUGUAGCAAGGGACAAGCCUAGGCAAAGUAACGUAGCGAGGACCAGUAGUAAAAGACUCGUACGCAGUGGAUCGGUGAUGGAUGAGUAUGACGGAUGUGAUUCAUCAUGUAAUAGCUAUAACACGGAGAGAUAUGUAACUAGCUCCCUUUCAUCAAUCUAAUGUAGGCAUGUAUUCCAUAUGUAGUCAUACGUGCUUAGGGAAAAGAACUUGCAUGACAUCUAUUUUCCAUCCCUCCCGUGGCAGCGGGGUCCUAAUGGAAACUACGGGAUAUUAAGGUUCUCCUUUUAAUAAAGAACCGGACCAACGCAUUAACACGCAGUGAAUACAUGAACUCCUCAUACUAUGGUCAUCUCCGGGAGUGGUUCCGGCUAUUGUCACUCCGGGGUUGCCGGGUCAUAACACAUAGUAGGUGACUACAACUUGCAAGAUAGGAUCUAAAACACACAUAUAUUGGCGACAACAUAAUAGGUUAAGAUCUGAAAUCAUGACACUCGGGUCCUAGUGACAAGCAUUAAGCAUUGCCAAGUAGUAGCAACAUCAAUCUAGAACAUAGUGGAUACUAGGGAUCAAUCCCCGUCAAGAACUAACUCGAUUACAUGAUAGAUCUCAUCCAACUCAUCACCUUCCAGCAAGCCUACGAUGAGAUUACUCACGAACGAUGAAGAGCAUCAUGGAAUUGUCGAUGGAGAAAGGUUGAUGAUGACGAUGGCGACGAUUUCCCCUCUCCGGAGCCCGAAACGGACUCCAGAUCUCCUCCAGAUGAAGAACAAGAUGUGGCGGCGCCUCUGUAUCGCAAAACGCGAUGAAACCUUCUCUUUGAUUUUUUCCAGGCGAAACGGAAGAUAUAGAGCUGAGUUUGGGGGCGGUGGUGCCACGUGGGCCCCACAAGCCUGCACGGUGAGGCCUAGGGGGGUGGCCACGACCUGUGGACUUGUGGCCCACUCGCACGCCCCCUCAGGUGGAUUUUUGCGCAUGUAGUUUUCUUUUAUUCCAGAAAAAAUCUCCGUAAAUUUUCAGGACAUUCCGAGAACUUCUAUUUCUGCACAAAAACAACACCAUGGCAAUUCUGCUGAAAACAGCGUCAGUCCGGGUUAGUUCCAUUCAAAACAAGCAAAUUAGAGUCCAAAACAAGGGCAAAAGAGUUCGGAAAAGUAGAUACGACGGAGACGUAUCAAGGACCCAGGAGGGGUUCCAUUUUUGCUCAGAGCGGGAGCAGGGUCUUCUUCCACGACGUCCACGACGGCCGGCGUCCUCGUCAACUCCGGCGGCCUCUCCGUGCAGCAACACGUCGUCGGGCCUUCUUCCUCCACGGCGUCUCCCUCUCCUCGGCACCCUAGGUGACGCGCGGUUCCCUUCUCCUUCGUUUUCCCCUUGUAGCCGAGGCCCCGCCGUCGGUAGCCAUGUCCGCCGGCGAGCUGCUCGUGCAUGCGGUGCGUCUGUAGUGGUAACACCAGGAGUAGUUACAGGUUCAGCAGCNNNNNNNNNNNNNNNNNNNNNNNNNNNNNNNNNNNNNNNNNNNNNNNNNNNNNNNNNNNNNNNNNNNNNNNNNNNNNNNNNNNNNNNNNNNNNNNNNNNNCCUUUUGGGGCAUCGCCCUCAAAAUAGGAAAGGGCCGUAUCUUAGUCGUUACAUACAGGGAGAUUGAAAAUGCAAACACCGAGUGCCAACUUCAGAAGGAUCUCAUUGAGCACCAUUGACAAAGGGCUGGGCAUUAACUCAUUCUAUUUUUCCAUUCAUUUUCAUUUCAUUCAUGUGUGAUUUGUAUACGGGACAAGUUUUGUAUUCAUGUGUGACAUUCAUUUAGUUUGCUACGGUGAUUUGAAUAAUUAUUGUACUUUAGAUGAUUACUGUAUUUGUAAUAUUGGCAUUUUACUUAUAUUGCACAUGAUGAGUAAUUCUAAUUUACGGGGUAUCCGGGUUGUGGGUCGACGCGGUGGCGCCCAAGCAGACCCCGCAUUGACGAUCCGUAUAAUAGCAUCUUCUGUGAAUAUCCUUUUAUACGUAUCCAUUUUGGAGGGUCUACCUCUAUCCACGCCCGCGUCGAUCCGCAAAAACCGUUUUUCAUGAACUGUAAAAUAUUUUUUGCGGAUCGGCAUUAUACGAGGUCUUCUGGAGAUGCUCUUAGCGCAUCCUCAAAGCGAACCCUCAAAGCUUUGGUACACCGUGUCCGAACCAGUUUUGCUAACCUUUAUAAUUUAAUGGGACUUUAAACGUCUGCAGAUUAGUGUGGACCCCGAUUUUUGACAAAUUUAAAACAGAAUUGAGGAAGCUAUGGUGAAGUCGCGACAUGCAAUUGACCAAUAAAAAGCCCCUUCACGGUCCUCCUCUAUUUUCUCUCUAGUCACAUGCAUGACCACCCUCCUCCUCUCAACCGAACACAACAACACAAUAUCCCACUACAUGCAUAGUCCUCUUCUACUCUCUCUCUCUCUCUCUCUUCUUUCAUAUUAGUAAUUAUAAAUAAAAWUAAAACAACUAWUGCUAAAAACUAACUUAKUUGCGGUCGGUUACCGGUUUAGGGGUCUAGUGUUAGGAAAUCGUACCCUUAAGUAAAACGAAAUUAGNNNNNNNNNNNNNNNNNNNNNNNNNNNNNNNNNNNNNNNNNNNNNNNNNNNNNNNNNNNNNNNNNNNNNNNNNNNNNNNNNNNNNNNNNNNNNNNNNNNNCGGGUUUGGGGGGGUUCCGGGGGGGUAGGGGGUCGGGUAGGGGCCGGGAAGGGAAGGGAGGACCGGGACGGGUACGGUACGUUAGUGUAGUGGUGUGGUGUGGUGGUGURGGGGGGGGGGGSGCGGACGGCGCGACCGCACGUUGUGGUGUGGUGACGCACACACUAUGGGGGGUUCGUGCUCUGAUCUGCGGCUUGGAUACGUAAGGGGCUUGCGUUGGCGUGGCCUGGAGCGCAAGCAAGAGCCUGGAAGCGGCGGGGAAAAGGGGGCGAUGCGUAGCGGGGCCGUUGACCUUGGGGCUUGGCGCGCGCCUUCGGUGGUGCCCUCUCUGGUCUGGUGCAGUGGGUGGGCUGGCGCGCGCCGUCUUCCUCCGUGCGGUUUUCUAGAGCGCGUGCGAUGACGGUGACGGUGACGGUGACGGUCAUCCAACACGUGCAUCAAACAUCCGCGAACUGAUGAGAAUGCACCAAUUAACCCGUGGUUAGAUGGAUAGAAAGGCAGUGGUAUUACAGUCCAUCAGGCUUGAAGUCUUGAUACUCGUAUUUCUGAAUUUAUUCGGUAUUUUUUAUGACGCGUAUUUAAUGGAAGAAGACGUGACACUUGCUCUAUACUUUGUUAAAAAAAGAAGAAUUGAUAAGGCGUAUGAAAUCUCACAAACCAAAAACAAAACGAUAGACAAUCCAGAUGUAUCACGUGGACGUCCGACAUCUUUGCCCACAAUAAACCCUCUUUCUCGUUCCGCUUUCGCUAGAAGUAAGAACCAGUAAUAUAUUAUGAUUUCUACGUUUCAAGCCUUUCUUAGCUAUUUUAUUAUUCAACUAACAAUGUUCUUAUUUUCUUGGAUCAUAUGUGUAAGUGCAUCUAGUGCCAUCCUUUGUUGGUUUUGGAGUAUUGAAGACAAGCGUGAUUGAGGGAUUUAAUGUGUUUGUGAGAGUUCACAGGAUAACACGGAUAAAAAUCCAUGAAGAUUUGGUUUAACCAUCGAAGACGACCCCUAAAAAUAUCUGAAGACACUGAAGAUGGUUGAAGGCAACAAUAGGUGCGCGAAGAUAUAUGCAUGAAGCUAAUGAAACGUGAAGACGAAGUCUUUUGGUAGUUCCUUUUUUUCUUUCCUUAGUCAUAUGAACCAAUAUAUUGUUAAGUGGGGUCUAAGUGAUUGAAGUCAGAAUCUGACGUGAUGCUCAACCCAAACACCUAUGUCUUCGAGUGAAUACAAUAAGAAGAAAUCUCUUUCAGAGUUGGUUGAGUCAACAUUGCUUGUACCCCAAGUAAUGUUGCCAUGUGAGUCGUUGAAAUCCGACCACUGUGACAUGUGUCGGUUGGCCAUUGACCCAGGAUAAUUUCGGUCAUAUCAUGUCGGGUUGCCUGUUGGCUAUAAAUAACCCAUCGCCUCCAUCAUAAGUUGGUGGCUACUCAGAGUUAUUAUACAAUUAUUGUCGUUUUGGAGCGUCCCACUUCUAAGACAUUAAGAGCGAGAGCUAUCGUGCAAGGAUAAACCCAAACACCUAGAGCCAGAGUGUUUGGAGCAUCAUCGAAGUCAUUCUGUUCUAAGAGAACUAAAGAUUUAUUACCCUUAAAGACUGUGAUCUUCUAGCCUGUUAGUCGUCGUGGUCUAGAGCAUCCAAGAGUUACUCUGGAUUAUCGGGUGAUCGAGUUUUUGAAGGUUUCAAAAGUCUACCUUGAAGAUUUACCAGAGUGAUUGGGCGAGGUCUAAGAGACCUUGGCUCAAGGGGAAUAAGGUGAAGAUGAGGUCUUUAUAGUUAAAUCUCAGCCUCCCCAACCAGACGUACAGUUGUCACAACAACUGGAACUGGUCCACAAAUCUUGUGUCUUCGUCAAGCAGUUGGUUCUAUCUUUUCACUCCUUUACAUACUAUUUAGUAUUGUGAAGCCAUUGCUUGCUUAUUCUUGUAUGAAGACAUUCACCAAAGACAUUCAUCUGAUUUGCAUUUGUCUUCAUACUGCUCAAGUUUAUCUUUGAUUCACUUUUGUUUGCAUGAUGAAUGUGCCAUACUUGCCUGAAUGUCUCCGUAUCAUUACAUGCAUUGCCUAGCUCCUUGACUGUAAUCCCUAACUGAUCCUAAGUCAUUUUUGCUCACUUCGAAGACAUUUACUGGCUCAACUAGGCUUAGGGUUUUGGUUUGGAACUGGGGAUUUUAAAGCGGCGGGACGAUUUGAGCAAUUUCUUUCUCUUGUAGCUACCUAGGACAACCACUUCUAAGGAAUGGAGCGGGGUAGGUGAAGACAUGCAUGUUCAUGAUCGACAUAAAUUUCCAUCCGUAAAGUUAUGAGCUUUUGAAUAUGGUACAGUGGGAGGAAGUUUCAGCCACAUACAAAGAAGGUUAGCCUAACUCCCGCCGUUAGAAAUCAUUUGUUAUAUUAGGUGUGAUUCAAACACUUGAUUUUUUAUUUUGGAUGUGAUUAAGACACUGCCAUAGUUCUACGACUGUGAGUGCCAUUUUAAUUGAUAUCAAUAGCAAUACAUUAUAAAAGUUGUUUGGAUCACAUGGUAGGAAUUCACAAGAUGACUAUAAAACAUAACAUUUAGAGACUUGGUGCAAAAAACAUUUUUCACAAACUCUUUUAACUUGAAGGCAUAUUGACAGUAAGAAAACUAUAUGCUACAUGAUUUGAGAUGACAUAAAAAUUUACAGCAUGGUAGUAGACACGAUGCACUUCAUUUUAUUCAACAUGAGCAAAGGUGUUAGAGCAUAUUUAUCCAUAUGUGGUUUUGGUAAUUGAUGACAAUCUCUAUUGUCCAUAACGCUUUUGUGUACUAACCCAUGGUCUUCAUGAGAGUUCUAUGUGGGAUUAGGUGUGUUCCCAUGGGUUUGCGUUAAGAGGAAGAUCUCAUUCAACCUAUGAAGGAUGACAUCAAGUGGUGAUCGUCAUCAAUAUUGCGGUGUGCAAGUUCAAGUGGAGCAUCACGAAGAUAUCAUGCUUGAAGCUUGUCGUCCAUUCUGGUGGCAAUGGACUUGUAAGAUGUGCUGAAGAGUGGCUCACCCAUAGUGAGUAUGGGGAGCAAUCAACUAGUCUUCAUCAAACCAACACAAUCGACGAAGGUGGUCCAUCUUGAGGAAGCCAAGAUCAUCGUCAUCUAGCUCAAGAGGACUAGGUGCAAGGUACGGGUUUGCCCUUGAUAGGUUUAUCUAUUUUAGGAUAGAUUACCAUAUGUCAAGGGGGGCUCUUAAGUGAGUAGCUUGAUCGUAUCGUUCGUUGAGAGCUCAAACCAUUUGCAUCCUUGCAUUAUAUUUGUUUGUUCUUGUUUCGUGUUUCUCUUUGUGAGUUUUAGAGCUUAUGGUCAUCUUCAGGACAAGCUCGAGUUCAUCGAAAACGGACUCCAUAUGCAUCUUCUAUGAUGUUUUCGAUGUUGGAAGUUUUUGUCGGUUCUUCAUUCAUAGAGGUCUCACAUCUCUAUAACAUUGGCAUUUUCACAACUGCAUGUUCUUAAGAUUUCCAACAAGCUUGAUAGCUCUUGUCGUCCAGAAUCCACUGUUUUGAUAGCUCUUGUCGUUCUGAAUCCAACAAGCUUGAGUUUGCUCGAUUCGAAGCUCAUAUGCGAAAGUUAUGGCAGUUUUUGUGUCCAGCGGUUGAAAGUGCAUUAUAUCGACUAGAGGGGGGUGAAUAGGAGAUUUUUAGAAUUUCAUCACUGAGGAAAUUCCUUUUGAGGAAAUCCCUCACUGAUGACUAACUUACAGCGGAAACAGUAAAGGAUCAGAAGUGCAAAGUUUCACAACAGCAGUUUUUCAGUGUGAGGAAUGUGAAAACAGAUUGCACAGUGAGCAGGCAUGCAGAAAACAGAUGAGGAUUAACUAGCGUGAAGAAUUUGGGGUUGAGGAAUUUCAGAGAAAGUCUUCAGCAAAUUCUUCAAACAGUCACAGUGAAAGUCAUCAACACAUAAUCUGAGAAAUGUAAAGGGUUGAGGAAUUAGAACCCGUUUCACAGCGAAGACAGUAGUUGAUGACCGAGUUCCAACUGCUGUGACAGUCGUACAUCUGGUUUGGAGUGGCUUGGUAUUGAAACCAAAAGACACACAGUCCCUACCGUAUUCUCCUUGGGCUAAGAACACACAGUCCUCACCCAACACUCGUGGUAAGUCUUCAGGGCAGACUUCCAAACCCUCACAAACUUGGUCACCCGGCGAUCCACAAUUGACUGCUGGAUUGCUCUAGACCAUGAUGCCUAACCGUCUCGAGGAUGCACAGUCCUCAAAGGUAAAAGGCUUCAGUCCCACACAGGAACAACUUCUUCAGUGAUGCUCAAUCACUUGGUUCUAAGUUUGUGGUUUGGUGUUUGGGGUAUUUCCUCACUGAUAAAUUUCUCUCGAAGACUCUGAGGAAUUGGGUUGCUCUUAUGACAAGUGUCAGUUUCUAACGGAGCAGCCAACCAGCUAAUGGUUGUGGGGGCGGCUAUUUAUAGCCUGGGAGCAUCCCGACAUGAUUUGACACUAAUGCCCUUAAAUAAUAUGACCGUUGGUGUGGAUAAGACCAAUGAUGUGGCGUGGCUAUCGAAACGGUCGGAACCCUCAACUGUGAGAGUCCUCAUGUCACUCGUAUUCCUCACUUGAGGCUUUUGGUAGGAUUAGGCUUGGGUUGAGCAUCAUGAGGAAAUUCAUUCCAGAGUGUAACUUCCACCCCCUUUAACAGUAUGGUGUUCCUAUUACUCAAGUGUGAAGAAAAUAAAACAGAAAGAGUAAAUCUUCAUGCUUCAAAGUCUUCAGAAUGAUUUUCUUCAGGACACACCGAAUUCCUCAAUUUCAAUAUCUUCAUGAGGAAUAUCAAUUUCAUCGCGGAUUCUUUGCGAUUCAAUUCUUCAGCUUUAGACCAAUUUCUUCAACCGAAGAUAUACAUUUUUAGGGGUCGAUAUUCCUCAAAUAUUUCAAACUCCUCAGUGACUUAUAGAUCCUGUGUACACUCAUAAACACAUUAGAUACUUAACCUAUAAGUCUUCAAACCACCAAAAUCACUAAGGGGCACUAGAUGCACUUACAGCGGUAGUACCGCUAGUGCCAGCGUUAGUACCGUAGGCACAGUGGUAGUAGUUUUUUAUACUACUCUUUGGCGGUAGUUGAUAGGAAUACCAUGAAUGAUGUUGAAGAGGAUAUUCUUCAUGAGGCCUACACCAUCUUCUUCAUCAUCGUGUCCCUUGAUUGGUGCAAGGACGCUGCAGAGGAUUCUGUAAACAGAUCUUGGUUCAUACUUGAGUUCGUGGACAGGAAGGUUUUUCUCGGUGGUUGCCCUUUAGCCAAAGGCUUCAUGAGGACUUCCAUCAUCCUGUUGGGCAGCUCACGCUCACCAUAAAGCUUCACAACCUCCUCUCAGGGAAUUGAUACUGGCAAUUCACGCAGUAGCUCAGUAGCAGGAGCCUUGUAGUGAGUGUUUUGUGUCAUCCAGUCAAACACCCAGGUGUUAAUGUCUUCAGGAUCGCCAGAUAUGUGAAGAGUGGCAUAAAACUGAAGAAUGAGCUCACUGUUCCAAUCAGAGAUGUCUGAGCACAUUGGUAGCAGUCCAGCUUCAUGAAGAACAUUGAGGACUGGAACCAGGCAUGGAAUUGCUUCAAGUUCAACAUGAGGAAUAUGCUUGUGCUGGAAUAUCUUAUUUCUUCCACACAGCACAGAGGCAUAGUAAUUCAGCUGUGUCCUCGUCCAAAACUUCAGAUGUCUGAUUUGAGGCUUGUCAUAGGGAUUUUCUCCAAUGAAGUACAUGUGUUCUUCAAAGAAGUUCUCCUUUUGAAACUUUGGACGCUUGGAGAAUGGCUGAUGCUGCAUUGGCUGAAGAUUUUGCUGAGGAACUGGAGGGGAGACAACAAUUGCAGUCUCGGGGUUGAGCACGACGAAAGCAUUGUCUUGGUCAAGUGCAUUUUCCUCAACAUUGUCCUCAGGGUGAGGAAUUUCAUCAGCUUGGGCUUCAGGCUGAGGAGCUUGCUCAUGUUGUGCUUCAUGUUGAGGAAUGGGAUCUGGCUGGGCAUCAGGCUGAGGAAUUUCAUCAACUGGAGCAUCCUGUUGAGGGUUCUGCUCCGGAGAAGGAAUAGGUUCAUUCUGAGCCUCAGUGUGUAGAUCUUGUUCAGGUGGAGGAGUUGGUCAGCCUGUUCCUCAUCUUGAGGAUUUUUCUCAGGACUUUGAAUUUCAUCAGCUUGAGGAAUUUCACUUUGCUCUUCCUCAGCUUGCGUGGUGACAGAGACAGUUUCAUCAGCUGGUGCAGCUGAUCCUUGUACAGUGUCUUCCUGAGGAAUGGAGUGCUGAGGACUGUCGUCAAUACGAAUUUCUUCGUCAGUAUGUUCCUCAGAUGCAGCAUCCUUCAUUUCCUCAUCUGGCCCUUUCUCUUGGUCUUCAAAGGUGACCAUUUCAUAAGAUGGAGCGACGUUGAGGGGCACAGGGUCCAGUGGAGCAUUAUCUUCAAGCGCUUUGAGGCGCUUGGCCUCAGUGUUUUCUUCUGCUGAGGAGGCCUUUCUCUUUUUGGCUUCCUUCUCCGCGGCCCUCGUCUUCUUCACGUCUGAUGCAGACGGAGUCAUCUUCUACACCUUUGAAGCUUUUGGUGAAGGGGUUCUCUUGACAAAUUCAUCAGCUGGCUUUGAGGAACCAGCUGGAGUAGAGUCAUCAGCUUGCUUUGAUGCAGCAGCUGGAUCAGGGGCAGUCUCACCAGCUGUAGUAGAUUCAUCAGCUGGAUUUUCCAUGGUGAUUUCUUCAAUAGCCGGUACAUCCACACGGCUUUCUUGGGGUAUUUCCUUAGCUUGAGGAGUUUCAUCAGCUUGAGGAGAUUCAUAGGCUGGCUCUUCAAUCAGAGGCUGAGGAGUUGGUACUAGAGGGGCAGCCUUCUUGUUGUAGUCGUCAACAACUUUAGUGGCAAAUUUGAUGAAACUGCUUUUGAGACUCUGACGACCAGAUAGCUUGGAGUACUUAUCUGUCAAAGUCUUCAACUCGGCCUGUGUUGACACCAGUGCAUCAGGCGUCAAGUUGAGGAGAUUCUGCUUGAGGAAUUUCUCCUUUUUGAGCUUAGCAACCUUGGCCUGCUUGGCUUGCUGCUCCUUCCACUUGGCCUCAUUGAUGAAUGUGGCCACCAUGUGGCUGAUGCCAGGGGAAGUUUCAAAUCAUCAAGCGGAGUGUUAGGGUCCUCAUACCAGAUGUUUAUGUAGUCUAGGAGGACCUUGGGGUCCAUGGCCAGAGGAAUGGCGCUACCAGAAGCUUGAGCUACCCUCUCCUGCUUGUUUCUGAUUAUAGCUUGCAGGGUUUCAUCAUCAUAUUCAUCACUACCCUCUGAUGCAGACGGGACUGUGAUGAUUUUACUGGGGCUUGGUUGUGUUCCUCUUUCAGCAGACACCUGAGUCUUCAUAGGAGGUGGUGCAGACUUUGUCUCCGAGCUGGUUGCAGUUGGGAGUGAGGACCUGGAGGUAGCGGGCAGUGGCUUCAUGACCGGCUUCAGUUCUGGUUUUGAAACCUGUGGUGGUGCUGAGGAUUUUGGCGCUGAGGGUUUUGUAACUGUUGCCUGAGAUGGUUUCUCUUGAGGCUUUGGAGCCUUUGGUUUUGACGGCACAGACUUUGGUUGAGGAAUUGCUGAACCAGAGGUCUCAGCGGCAGAGGAAGUAGUUGCAGUUGAAGCAGUAGCUGAGGAUUCAUUGAAUUUCCUCACCGCAGCAUCUGCCUGCUUCUUAAUCUUAGCCAAGUGCUUGUCCUUUUCAUCAGGAUAGUCAUCAAGGGUCUUGAGGCUUGAGGGAUGUGCUACUUGAUGAGCCUCAAGUGGAGCCCGUUUGCCAGGAGGCUUCAGAGCGAAUUUCUUCGCAUACUUGGCAGUGACGAAUAUGUAUUCCUUCCACUCCUUUGCCCAUAGGCGUUCUAUCUUCUGAAGCCGAAUCUUUCUCUUUGCCAUUGUUUCAGAUUCAUCAGGUGUGCAAUAGUCUAAGUAAAUAUCCUCAGGGAUAUCCAAGGCUGUAUUCUGCUCAAGUUUCUUGCCUCCCUUUUGUUUCCUGUCAUCCUCCAUUUUCUUCAGCUGAGGAUUUUGCUGAUGAUAUUGAACUCUUGAGGAUUCUAAUGAGACUUGAAGAUUUUCUUCAAGAAACGCUGCAAAUGAGUUAAUGUGAUGAGAACCGAGAGAUUCAUCAGCUGACAUGUGUGUACCUGUGAACAAAGUAUAGUUGCGAGGAAUUUGGAGAGGUCAUAUGCUUUCUCAGAUUUGAAGAAAAUGAAAAAGUUUGACACUUGAGGAAUUUAAUGUUGGGGAACGUCGCAUGGGAAACAAAAAUUUUCCUACGCGCACGAAGACCUAUCAUGGUGAUGUCCAUCUACGAGAGGGGAUGAGUGAUCUACGUACCCUUGUAGACCGUACAGCAGAAGCGUUAGUGAACGCGGUUGAUUUAGUGGAACGUCCUCACGUCCUUCGAUCCGCCCCGCGAACAAUCCCGCGAUCAGUCCCACGAUCUAGUACCGAACGGACAGCACCUCCGCGUUCAGCACACGUACAGCUCGACGAUGAUCUCGGCCUUCUUGAUCCAACAAGAGAGACGGAGAGGUAGAAGAAUUCUCCGGCAGCAUGACGGCGCUCCGGAGGUUGGUGAUGACCUUGUCUCGGCAGGGCUCUGCCCGAGCUCCGCAGAAACGCGAUCUAGAGGAAAAACCGUGGAGGUAUGUGGUCGAGCUGCCGUGGAAAAGUCGUCUCAAAUCAGCCCUAAAACCUCCGUAUAUAUAGAAGGGAGAGGGGGGGCCUUGCCUUGGGGCUCAAGGAGCCCCAAGGGGGUCGGCCGAGCCAAGGGGGGAAGGUCUCCCCCCCUAAACCGAGUUGGACUUGGUUUGGUGGGUGGGAGUCCUUCCUUCCCUUCCCACCUCCUUCUUUUUUUUCUUUCUCUUUGAUUUUUCUUCCAAUGCGCAUAGGGCCCUUUUGGGCUGUCCCACCAGCCCACUAAGGGCUGGUGCGCCACCCUCAAGGCCUAUGGGCUUCCCCGGGGUGGGUUGCCCCCCCCGGUGAACUCCCGGAACCCAUUCGUCAUUCCCGGUACAUUCCCGGUAACUCCGAAAACCUUCCGGUAAUCAAAUGAGGUCAUCCUAUAUAUCAAUCUUCGUUUCCGGACCAUUCCGGAAACCCUCGUGACGUCCGUGAUCUCAUCCGGGACUCCGAACAACAUUCGGUAACCAACCAUAUAACUCAAAUACGCAUAAAACAACGUCGAACCUUAAUUGUGCAGACCCUGCGGGUUCGAGAACUAUGUAUACAUGACCCGAGAGACUUCUCGGUCAAUAUCCAAUAGCGGGACCUGGAUGCCCAUAUUGGAUCCUACAUAUUCUACGAAGAUCUCAUCGUUUGAACCUCAGUGCCAAGGAUUCAUAUAAUCCCGUAUGUCAUUCCCUUUGUCCUUCGGUAUGUUACUUGCCCGAGAUUCGAUCGUCAGUAUCCGUAUACCUAUUUCAAUUUCGUUUACCGACAAGUCUCUUUACUCGUUCCGUAAUACAAGAUCGCGCAACUUACACUAAGUCACAUUGCUUGCAAGGCUUGUGUGUGAUGUUGUAUUACCGAGUAGGCCCCGAGAUACCUCUCCGUCACAUGGAGUGACAAAUCCCAGUCUUGAUCCAUACUAACUCAACGAACACCUUCGGAGAUACCUGUAGAGCAUCUUUAUAGUCACCCAGUUACGUUGCGACGUUUGAUACACACAAAGCAUUCCUCCGGUGUAAGUGAGUUAUAUGAUCUCAUGGUCAUAGGAACAAAUACUUGACACGCAGAAAACAGUAGCAACAAAAUGACACGAUCAACAUGCUACGUCUAUUAGUUUGGGUCUAGUCCAUCACGUGAUUCUCCUAAUGACGUGAUCCAGUUAUCAAGCAACAACACCUUGUUCAUAAUCAGAAGACACUGACUAUCUUUGAUCAACUGGCUAGCCAACUAGAGGCUUGCUAGGGACAGUGUUUUGUCUAUGUAUCCACACAUGUAAAUGAGUCUUCAUUCAAUACAAUUAUAGCAUGGAUAAUAAACGAUUAUCUUGAUACAGGAAUUAUAAUAAUAACUAUAUUUAUUAUUGCCUCUAGGGCAUAAUUCCAACAGUCUCCCACUUGCACUAGAGUCAAUAAUCUAGCCCUCACAUCAUCAUGCGAAUUACAUUGUAAUAAAUCUAACACCCAUACAGUUCUGGUGUUGAUCAUGCUUAGCCCGUGGAAGAGGUUUAGUCAGCGGGUCUGCUACAUUCAGAUCUGUGUGCACUUUGCAUAUAUUUACGUCCUCCCCUUUGACGUAGUCGCGGAUGAGGUCGAAGCGUCGUUUGAUGUGUCUGGACUUCUUGUGAAACCGUGGUUCCUUUGCUAAGGCAAUGGCACCCGUGUUGUCACAGAACAAGGUUAUUGGAUUCAAUGCGCUCGGCACCACUCCAAGAUCCGUCAUGAAUUGCUUCAUCCAGACACCCUCCUUAGCCGCCUCCGAGGCAGCCAUGUACUCCGCUUCACAUGUAGAAUCUGCUACGACGCUUUGCUUGGAACUGCACCAGCUUACCGCACCCCCAUUAAGAAUAAAUACGUAUCCGGUUUGCGACUUAGAGUCGUCCGGAUCUGUGUCAAAGCUUGCAUCGACGUAACCUUUUACGGCGAGCUCUUCGUCACCUCCAUACACGAGAAACAUCUCCUUAGUCCUUUUCAGGUACUUCAGGAUAUUCUUGACCGCUGUCCAGUGAUCCACUCCUGGAUUACUCUGGAACCUACCUGCCAUACUUAUGGCCAGGCUAACGUCCGGUCUAGUGCACAGCAUUGCAUACAUGAUAGAACCUAUGGAUGAAGCAUAGGGGACGGAGCGCAUAUGCUCUCUAUCUUCAUCAGUUGCUGGGCACUAAGUCUUACUCAAUCUCGUACCUUGUAAAACUGGCAAGAACCCUUUCUUGGACUGUUCCAUUUUGAACCUCUUCAAAACUUUAUCAAGGUAUGUGCUUUGUGAAAGUCCUAUCAGGCGUUUUGAUCUAUCCCUAUAGAUCUUAAUGCCUAGAAUGUAAGCAGCUUCUCCUAGGUCCUUCAUAGAGAAACUUUUAUUCAAGUAAUCCUUUAUGCUCUCCAAAAACUCCACGUUAUUUCCAAUCAGCAAUAUGUCAUCCACAUAUAAUAUUAGAAACGCCACAGAGCUCCCACUCACUUUCUUGUAAAUACAAGAUUCUCCAACCACUUGUAUAAACCCAAAUGCUUUGAUCACCUCAUCAAAGCGUUUGUUCCAACUCCGAGAUGCUUGCACCAGUCCAUAAAUGGAUUGCUGGAGCUUGCACACCUUGUUAGCAUUCUUAGGAUUGACAAAACCUUCGGGUUGCAUCAUAUACAAUUCUUCCUUAAGGAAACCGUUAAGGAACGCCGUUUUGACAUCCAUCUGCCAGAUUUCAUAAUCGAAAAAUGCAGCUAUUGCUAACAUGAUUCUGACGGACUUAAGCAUCGCUACGGGUGAGAAUGUCUCAUCGUAGUCAACUCCUUGAACUUGUGAAAAACCCUUUGCCACAAGUCGAGCUUUAUAAACGGUCACAUUGCCGUCAGCGUCUGUUUUCCUCUUAAAGAUCCAUUUGUUCUGAAUAGCCUUGCGGCCCUCAGGCAGUACCUCCAAAGUCCACACUUUGUUCUCAUACAUGGAUCCUAUCUCGAACUUCAUGGCUUCUAGCCAUUUGUUGGAAUCUGGGCCCACCAUUGCUUCUUCAUAAUUUGCAGGUUCAUUGUUGUCCAACAACAUGAUUGACAAGACGGGAUUACCGUACCACUCUAGAGCAGCACGUGGUCUCGUCGACCUGCGUGGUUCGACAGAAACUUGAACCGGAGUUUCAUGAUCAUCAUCAUUAACUUCCUCCUCAACCGGCGUCGCAACGACAGAGGUUUCCCCUUGCCCUGCGCCACCAUCCAGAGGGAUGAGAGGUUCGAUAACCUCAUCAAGCUCUAUCUUCCUCCCACUCAAUUCUCUCGAGAGAAACUCCUUCUCGAGAAAAGCUCUGUUUUUAGCAACAAACACUUUGCCCUCGGAUUUGAGAUAGAAGGUGUACCCAACUGUCUCUUUUGGGUAACCUAUGAAGACGCACUUUUCCGCUUUGGGUUCCAGCUUUUCAGGCUGAAGCUUUUUGACAUAAGCAUCACAUCCCCAAACUUUAAGAAACGACAACUUUGGCCUUUUGCCAUACCACAGUUCGUAUGGUGUCGUCUCAACGGAUUUUGAUGGUGCCCUAUUUAAAGUGAAUGCAGCUGUUUCUAAUGCAUAACCCCAAAACGAUAACGGCAAAUCGGUAAGAGACAUUAUAGAUCGAACCAUCUCUAAUAAAGUACGAUUAUGACGUUCGAACACACCAUUACGCUGUGGUGUUCCAGGCGGUGUCAACUGUGAAACAAUUCCACAUUUUCUUAAGUGAGCACCAAACUCGAAACUCAGAUAUUCACCUGUUGGAGAACGUCGCACGGGAAACAAAAAUUUUCCUACGCGCACGAAGACCUAUCAUGGUGAUGUCCAUCUAUGAGAGGGGAUGAAUGAUCUAUGUACCCUUGUAGACCGUACAGCAGAAGCGUUAGAGAACGCGGUUGAUGUAGUGGAACGUCCUCACGUCCCUCGAUCCGCCCCGCGAACAAUCCUGCGAUCAGUCCCACGAUCUAGUACCGAACGGACGGCACCUCCGCGUUCAGCACACGUACAGCUCGACGAUGAUCUCGGCCUUCUUGAUCCAGCAAGAGAGACGGAGAGGUAGAAGAGUUCUCCGGCAGCGUGACGGCGCUCCGAAGGUUGGUGAUGACCUUGUCUCAGCAGGGCUCCGCCCGAGCUCCGCAGAAACGCGAUCUAGAGGAAAAAUCGUGGAGGUAUGUGGUCGGGCUGCCGUGGAAAAGUCGUCUCAAAUCAGCCCUAAAACCUCCAUAUAUAUAGGUGGGAGGGAGGGGACCUUGCCUUGGGGCUCAAGGAGCCCCAAGGGGGUCGGCCGAGUCCAAGGGGGGAGGACUCCCCCCCAAACCGAGUUGGACUUGGUUUGGUGGGAGGGAGUCCCCCUUCCUUCCCACCUCCUCCUUUUUUUUUCUUUCUCUUCGAUUUUUAUCUCUAUGGCGCAUAGGGCACUUGUGGACUGUCCCACCAGCCCACUAAGGGCUGGUGUGCCUCCCUCAAGGCCUAUGGGCUUCCCCGGGGUGGGUUGCCCCCCCCGGUGAACUCCCGGAACCCAUUCGUCAUUCCCGGCACAUUCCCGGUAACUCCAAAAACCUUCCGGUAAUCAAAUGAGGUCAUCCUAUAUAUCAAUCUUCGUUUUCGGACCAUUUCGGAAACCCUCGUGACGUCCGUGAUCUCAUCUGGGACUCCGAACAACAUUCGGUAACCAACCAUAUAACUCAAAUACGCAUAAAACAACGUCGAACCUUAAGUGUGCAGACCCUGCGGGUUCGAGAACUAUGUAGACAUGACCCGAGAGACUCCUCGGUCAAUAUCCAAUAGCGGGACCUGGAUGCCCAUAUUGGAUCCUACAUAUUCUACGAAGAUCUUAUCGUUUGAACCUCAGUGCCAAGGAUUCAUAUAAUCCCGUAUGUCAUUCCCUUUGUCCUUCGGUAUGUUACUUGCCCGAGAUUCGAUCGUCAGUAUCCGUAUACCUAUUUCAAUCUCGUUUACCGGCAAGUCUCUUUACUCGUUCCGUAAUACAAGAUCCCGCAACUUACACUAAGUUACAUUGCUUGCAAGGCUUGUGUGUGAUGUUGUAUUACCGAGUGGGCCCUGAGAUACCUCUCCGUCACACGGAGUGACAAAUCCCAGUCUUGAUCCAUACUAACUCAACUAACACCUUCGGAGAUACCUGUAGAGCAUAUUUAUAGUCACCCAGUUACGUUGCGACGUUUGAUACACACAAAGUAUUCCUCCGGUGUCAGUGAGUUAUAUGAUCUCAUGGUCAUAGGAAUAAAUACUUGACACGCAGAAAACAGUAGCAACAAAAUGACACGAUCAACAUGCUACGUCUAUUAGUUUGGGUCUAGUCCAUCACGUGAUUCUCCUAAUGACGUGAUCCAGUUAUCAAGCAACAACACCUUGUUCAUAAUCAGAAGACACUGACUAUCAUAGAUCAACUGGCUAGCCAACUAGAGGCAUGCUAGGGACGGUGUUUUGUCUAUGUAUCCACACAUGUAAAUGAGUCUUCAUUCAAUACAAUUAUAGCAUGGAUAAUAAACGAUUAUCUUGAUACAGGAAUUAUAAUAAUAACUAUAUUUAUCAUUGCCUCUAGGGCAUAAUUCCAACAGUCUCCCACUUGCACUAGAGUCAAUAAUCUAGCCCUCACAUCACUAUGUGAAUUACAUUGUAAUAAAUCUAACACCCAUACAGUUCUGGUGUCGAUCAUGUUUUGGCCGUGGAAGAGGUUUAGUCAGCGGGUCUGCUACAUUCAGAUCCGUGUGCACUUUGCAUAUAUUUACGUCCUCUUCCUCGACGUAGUCGCGGAUGAGGUUGAAGCGUCGUUUGAUGUGUCUGGUCUUCUUGUGAAACCGUGGUUCCUUUGCUAAGGCAAUGGCACCCGUGUUGUCAGAGAACAAGGUUAUUGGAUCCAGUGCGCUUGGCACCACUCCAAGAUCCGUCAUGAACUGCUUCAUCCAGACACCCUCCUUAGCCGCCUCCGAGGCAGCCAUGUACUCCGCUUCACAUGUAGAAUCUGCUACGACGCUUUGCUUGGAACUGCACCAGCUUACCGCACCCCCAUUAAGAAUAAAUACGUAUCCGGUUUGCGACUUAGAGUCGUCCGGAUCUGUGUCAAAGCUUGCAUCGACGUAACCUUUUACGGCGAGCUCUUCGUCACCUCCAUACACGAGAAACAUCUCCUUAGUCCUUUUCAGGUACUUCAGGAUAUUCUUGACCGCUGUCCGGUGAUCCACUGCUGGAUUACUCUGGAACCUACCUGUCAUACUUAUGGCCAGGCUAACAUCCGGUCUAGUGCACAGCAUUGCAUACAUGAUAGAACCUAUGGCUGAAGCAUAGGGGACGGAGCGCAUAUGCUCUCUAUCUUCAUCAGUUGCUGGGCACUGAGUCUUACUCAAUCUCGUACCUUGCAGAACUGGCAAGAACCCUUUCUUGGACUGUUCCAUUUUGAACCUCUUCAAAACUUUAUCAAGGUAUGUGCUUUGUGAAAGUCCUAUCAGGCGUUUUGAUCUAUCCCUAUAGAUCUUAAUGCCUAGAAUGUAAGCAGCUUCUCCUAGGUCCUUCAUAGAGAAACUUUUAUUCAAGUAACCUUUUAUGCUCUCCAAUAACUCUACGUUAUUUCCAAUCAGCAAUAUGUCAUCCACAUAUAAUAUUAGAAACGCCACAGAGCUCCCACUCACUUUCUUGUAAAUACAAGAUUCUCCAACCACUUGUAUAAACCCAAAUGCUUUGAUCACCUCAUCAAAGCGUUUGUUCCAAAUCCGAGAUGCUUGCACCAGUCCGUAAAUAGGAUCGCUGGAGCUUGCACACUUUGUUAGCAUUCUUAGGAUCGACAAAACCUUCGGGUUGCAUCAUAUACAACUCUUCCUUAAGGAAACCGUUAAGGAACGCCGUUUUGACAUCCAUUUGCCAGAUUUCAUAAUCGAAAAAUGCAGCUAUUGCUAACAUGAUUCUGACGGACUUAAGCAUCGCUAGGGUGAGAAUGUCUCAUCGUAGUCAACUCCUUGAACAUGUGAAAAACCCUUUGCCACAAGUCGAGCUUUAUAAACGGUCACAUUGCCGUCAGCGUCUGUUUUCCUCUUAAAGAUCUAUUUGUUCUGAAUAGCCUUGCGGCCCUCAGGAAGUACCUCCAAAGUCCACACUUUGUUCUCAUACAUGGAUCCUAUCUCAGACUUCAUGGCUUCUAGCCAUUUGUUGGAAUCUGGGCCCACCAUUGCUUCUUCAUAAUUUGCAGGUUCAUUGUUGUCUAACAACAUGAUUGAUAAGACGGGAUUACCGUACCACUCUGGAGCAGCACGUGAUCUCGUCGACCUGCGUGGUUCAACAAAAACUUGAACUGGAGUUUCAUGAUCAUCGUCAUUAACUUCCUCCUCAACCGGCGUCGCAACGACAGAGGUUUCCCCUUGCCCUGCGCCACCAUCCAGAGGGAUGAGAGGUUCGACAACCUCGUCAAGUUCUAUCUUCCUCCCACUCAAUUCUCUCGAGAGAAACUCCUUCUCGAGAAAAGCUCUGUUUUUAGCAACAAACACUUUGCCCUCGGAUUUGAGAUAGAAGGUGUACCCAACUGUCUCUUUUGGGUAACCUAUGAAGACGCACUUUUCCGCUUUGGGUUCCAGCUUUUCAGGCUGAAGCUUUUUGACAUAAGCAUCACAUCCUCAAACUUUAAGAAACGACAACUUUGGCCUUUUGCCAUACCACAGUUCGUAUGGUGUCGUCUCAACGGAUUUUGAUGGUGCCCUAUUUAAAGUGAAUGCAGCUGUUUCUAAUGCAUAACCCCAAAAUGAUAACGACAAAUCAGUAAGAGACAUCAUAGAUCGCACCAUCUCUAAUAAAGUAUGAUUACGACGUUCGGACACACCAUUACGCUGUGGUGUUCCAGGCGGUGUUAACUAUGAAACAAUUCCACAUUUUCUUAAGUGAUCACCAAACUCGAAACUCAGAUAUUCACCCCCACGAUCAGACCGUAGGAACUUGAUCUUCUUGUUACGAUGAUUUUCAACUUCACUCUGAAAUUGCUUGAACUUUUCAAAUGUUUCAGACUUGUGCUUCAUCAAGUAGACAUAACCAUAUCUACUCAAAUCGUCAGUGAAGGUGAGAAAAUAACGAUAUCCGCCGCGUGCCUCCACGCUCAUCGGACCACACACAUCGGUAUGUAUGAUUUCCAACAAGUCACUUGCAUGCUCCAUUGUUCCGGAGAACGGAGUCUUAGUCAUCUUGCCCAUGAGGCAUGGUUUGCACGUGUCAAGUGAAUCAAAGUCAAGUGACUCCAAAAGUCCAUCGGCAUGGAGUUUCUUCAUGCGCUUUACACCAAUAUGACCUAAGCGGCAGUGCCACAAAAAUGUGGCGCUAUCAUUGUUAACUCUAACUCUUUUGGUCUCAAUGUUAUGUAUGUGUGUAUCGCUAUCAAGAUUCAAUAUGAACAAUCAUCUCACAUUGGGUGCAUGACCAUAAAAGAUGUUACUCAUAGAAAUAGAACAACCAUUAUUCUGUGACUUAAAAGAGUAACCGUCUCGCAAUAAACAAGAUCCAGAUAUAAUGUUCAUGCUCAACACAGGCACUAAAUAACAAUGAUUCAAGUUCAUAACUAAUCCUGAUGGUAACUGAAGUGAAACUGUGCCGACGGCGAUUGCAUCAACCUUGGAACCAUUUCCUACGCGCAUCGUCACUUCAUCUUUCGCCAGCCUUCGUCUAUUCCGCAGUUCCUGUUUCGAGUUGCAAAUAUGAGCAACAGAACCGGUAUCGAAUACCAAUGCACUACUACGAGAGCCGGUUAAGUACACAUCAAUAACAUGUAUAUCAAAUAUACCUGAUUUUUCUUUGCCCGCCUUCUUAUCUGCCAGAUACUUGGGGCAAUUGCGCUUCCAGUGACCCAUACCCUUGCAAUAGUAACACUCCGUUUCAGGCUUAGGUCCAGCUUUGGGUUUCUUCGUCGGAUUGGCAACAGGCUUGCCGCUCUUCUUUGAAUUACCCUUCUUGCCUUUGCCGUUUCUCUUGAAACUAGUGGUCUUAUUCAUCAUCAACACUUGAUGCUCUUUACGGAGUUCAGACUCUGCGACUUUCAGCAUCGCAAACAACUCGCCAGGAGACUUGUUCAUCCCUUGCAUGUUGUAGUUCAACACAAAGCCUUUAUAGCUUGGCGGCAGUGAUUGAAGGAUUCUAUCAGUGAUAGCCUCUUGCGGGAGUUCAAUCCCCAGCUCAGCUAGACGGUUUGAGUACCCAGACAUUUUGAGCACAUGUUCACUGACAGACGAGUUCUCCUCCAUCUUGCAAGCAUAGAAUUUAUCGGAGGUCUCAUACCUCUCGAUCCGGGCGUUCUUCUGAAAGAUAAACUUCAACUCCUGGAACAUCUCAAAUGCUCUAUGACGCUCAAAGCGACGUUGAAGUCCCGGUUCUAAGCCAUACAAGACUGCACAUUGAACUACUGAGUAGUCCUGCUUACGUGAUAACCAAGUGUUCUUAACAUCCUGAUCAGCCGUAGCGGGUGGUUCAUCUCCUAGCGCAGCAUUAAGAACAUAAUCCUUCUUCCCAGCUUGUAAGAUUAGCUUAAGAUUACGAGCCCAGUCUACAAAGUUGCUUCCAUCAUCUUUCAACUUAGCUUUCUCUAGGAACGUAUUAAAAUUCAGGGUGACUAUCACGUGAGCCAUGAUCUACAACACAAAUAUAUUCAAAGUGGACUUAGACUAUGUUCAAGAUAAUUAGAGUUUAACUUAAUCAAAUUAUUCGCUAAACUCCCACUCAAAAAGUACAUCUCUCUAGUCAUUUGAGUGGUUCAUGAUCCACUUACACUAGCUCAAGUCCGAUCAUCACGUGAGUUGAGCAUAGUUUUAGUGGUAAGCAUCCCUAUGCUAAUCAUAUCAUCUAUAUGAUUCAUGAUCGACCUUUCGGUCUCAUGUGUUCCGAGGCCAUGUCUGCACAUGCUAGGCUCGUCAAGCUUAACCCGAGUGUUCCGCGUGCGCAACUGUUUUGCACCCGUUGUAUGUGAACGUUGAGUCUAUCACACCCGAUCAUCACGUGGUGUCUCGAAACGACGAACUGUAGCAACGGUGCACAGUCGGGGAGAACACAAUUUCGUCUUGAAAUUUUAGUGAGAGAUCACCUCAUAAUGCUACCGUCGUUCUAAGCAAAAUAAGGUGCAUAAAAGGAUUAACAUCGCAUGCAAUUCAUAAGUGACAUGAUAUGGCCAUCAUCACGUGCUCCUUGAUCUCCAUCACCAAAGCACCGGCACGAUCUUCUUGUCACCGGCGCCACACCAUGAUCUCCAUCAAUGUGUCGCCAUCGGGGUUGUCGUGCUACUCAUGCUAUUACUACUAAAGCUACAUCCUAGCAAAAUAGUAAACGCAUCUGCAAGCACAAACGUUAGUAUAAAGACAACCCUAUGGCUCCUGCCGGUUGCCGUACCAGACGUGCAAGUCGAUAUUAUCUAUUACAACAUGAUCAUCUCAUACAUCCAAUAUAUCACAUCACAUCGUUGGCCAUAUCACAUCACAAGCAUACCCUGCAAAAACAAGUUAGACGUCCUCUAAUUUUGUUGUUGCAUGUUUUACGUGGUGACCAUGGGUAUCUAGUAGGAUCGCAUCUUACUUACGCAAACACCACAACGGAGAUAUAUGAGUUGCUAUUUAACCUCAUCCAAGGACCUCCUCUGUCAAAUCCGAUUCAACUAAAGUUGGAGAAACCGACACUUGCCAGUCAUCUUUGAGCAACGGGGUUACUCGUAGCGAUGAAACCAGUCUCUCGUAAGCGUACGAGUAAUGCCGGUCCAAGCCGCUUCAAUCCAACAAUACCGCGGAAUCAAGAAAAGACUAAGGAGGGCAGCAAAAUGCACAUCACCGCCCACAAAAACUUUUGUGUUCUACUCGAGAAGACAUCUACGCAUGAACCUAGCUCUGAUACCACUGUUGGGGAACGUCGCAUGGGAAACAAAAAUUUUCCUACGCGCACGAAGACCUAUCAUGGUGAUGUCCAUCUACGAGAGGGGAUGAGUGAUCUACGUACCCUUGUAGACCGUACAGCAGAAGCGUUAGUGAACACGGUUGAUGUAGUGGAACGUCCUCACGUCCCUCGAUCCGCCCCGCGAACAAUCCCGCGAUCAGUCCCACAAUCUAGUACCGAACGGACGGCACCUCCGCGUUCAACACACGUACAGCUCGACGAUGAUCUCGGCCUUCUUGAUCCAGCAAGAGAGACGGAGAGGUGGAAGAGUUAUCCGGCAGCGUGACGGCGCUCCGGAGGUUGGUGAUGACCUUGUCUCAGCAGGGCUCCGCCCGAGCUCCGCAGAAACACGAUCUAGAGGAAAACCCGUGGAGGUAUGUGGUCGGGCUGCCGUGGAAAAGUCGUCUCAAAUCAGCCCUAAAACCUCCGUAUAUAUAGGUGGGAGAGGGGAGGGGGGGCUUGCCUUGGGGCUCAAGGAGCCCCAAGGGGGUCGGCCGAGCCAAGGGGGGAAGGUCUCCCCACCCCAAACCGAGUUGGACUUGGUUUGGUGGGUGGGAGUCCUUCCUUCCCUUCCCACCUCCUUCUUUUUUUUCUUUCUCUUUGAUUUUUCUUCCAAUGCGCAUAGGGCCCUUUUGGGCUGUCCCACCAGCCCACUAAGGGCUGGUGCACCACCCUCAAGGCCUAUGGGCUUCCCCGGGGUGGGUUCGCCCCCCCCGGUGAACUCCCGGAACCCAUUCGUCAUUCCCGGUACAUUCCCGGUAACUCCGAAAACUUUUCAGUAAUCAAAUGAGGUCAUCCUAUAUAUCAAUCUUCGUUUCCGGACCAUUCCGGAAACCCUCAUGAUGUCCGUGAUCUCAUCUGGGACUCCGAACAACAUUCGGUAACCAACCAUAUAACUCAAAUACGCAUAAAACAACGUCGAACCUUAAGUGUGCAGACCCUGCGGGUUCGAGAACUAUGUAGACAUGACCCGAGAGACUCCUCGGUCAAUAUCCAAUAGCGGGACCUGGAUGCCCAUAUUGGAUCCUACAUAUUCUACGAAGAUCUUAUCGUUUGAACCUCAGUGUCAAGGAUUCAUAUAAUCUCGUAUGUCAUUCCCUUUGUCCUUCGGUAUGUUACUUGCCCGAGAUUCGAUCGUCAGUAUCCGCAUACCUAUUUCAAUCUCGUUUACCGGCAAGUCUCUUUACUCGUUCCGUAAUACAAGAUCCCGCAACUUACACUAAGUCACAUUGCUUGCAAGGCUUAUGUGUGAUGUUGUAUUACCGAGUGGGCCCCGAGAUACCUGUUCGUCACACGGAGUGACAAAUCCCAGUCUUGAUCCAUACUAACUCAACGAACACCUUCGGAGAUACCUGUAGAGCAUCUUUAUAGUCACCCAGUUACGUUGCGACGUUUGAUACACACAAAGUAUUCCUCCGGUGUUAGUGAGUUAUAUGAUCUCAUGGUCAUAGGAACAAAUACUUGACACGCAGAAAACAGUAGCAACAAAAUGACACGAUCAACAUGCCACGUCUAUUAGUUUGGGUCUAGUCCAUCACGUGAUUCUCCUAAUGACGUGAUCCAGUUAUCAAGCAACAACACCUUGUUCAUAAUCAGAAGACACUGACUAUCUUUGAUCAACUGGCUAGCCAACUAGAGGCUUGCUAGGGACAGUGUUUUGUCUAUGUAUCCACACAUGUAAAUGAGUCUUCAUUCAAUACAAUUAUAGCAUGGAUAAUAAACGAUUAUCUUGAUACAGNNNNNNNNNNNNNNNNNNNNNNNNNNNNNNNNNNNNNNNNNNNNNNNNNNNNNNNNNNNNNNNNNNNNNNNNNNNNNNNNNNNNNNNNNNNNNNNNNNNNGAACCCCAACCCUACNCCSACCACCACCACACCACACCACACGCACGCGUCGGCGCCGCGCCCCCCCCCACCCCCCCCACCACACACACACAUCAUAAAGCUCCUCCCGGUCUCUCUCCGCCCAUCCACCCCGCCCCCAAAACAAUCGCGCCCGUGAGUCGUGGCUGCUGCUACCAAUCUGCCCAGCAGAGCCGGCUCUCGACACGCUCGCUCGCGCCGCGUUCGUUGCAUGCGCCGGGCCGCCGCCGCCACCAGCAGGGUCAGGAUCCACAUGGCGGCGGAGGAGGUCAGGCAGGCGUCCGCGGCCGCCACGGCGGCCGAGGCGGUGCCGGCCCCCGCGGGCUCCCGCUGGGCGCGGGCCUGGCCGGCCGCGCUGCGCUGGAUCCCCACCUCCACCGACCGCAUCAUCGCCGCCGAGAAGCGCCUCCUCUCCGUCCUCAAGUCAGUGCCCCCAUAUCCCCUACCCCUGUUCCUCUCCUCGGACCACGAUUACUUGUUUUCGUCCACGAUUACCACUUGUACCAUCUGCACGAUUAGUUGUUCCGCCUCUUCACUCCGCCAUCCCACGAUCCGUAACAGCUGAUUGACCUCCUCAUAGGGCCCAAUUUUGGGGUUGCUGGACGACUUGUAGGGCUGUAAUCCGCUCAUCCCCCCACCACGGUUCACUGGUUUCCGAGCGUCGGGCGAGGGCGAGUGCCAAAGCUGUCUGCUUGUGCUCAAAACCAUCCAGCCGGAUACUGAUUCUGCAGCCAAUUCUGAUGUUGAAGUUGCUACCUUCAUUGAUAGGACUAUAUCAGAGCAGUGUGUCACUUUGGGAUCACUAAAGCCUGGAUUUAUUUAUACGCACUACUUAAUUUGAACUGUUCGAUUGUUGUGCAUAUAUAACACUCAGUUUCGUUUAAGCAUGGAACCGGCGGCUGUUCUGUCUGCUUGUCAGUAUUGUCUAUUUGGUCUCAUGAAGCCCAUACAACAAUAUAUAGCAUAUGUUGUAGUCUUUGAUGAUAAUGUUGUUAAUACUUGAAAGCAUUGACGGGACUCCUUGACCAUUAGUUGGAUAUUGUCCAUUUGGUCUUUCUAUUAUACUGUUGAAAAGAUAUACUCAUGAACUGCAUGGUGAAACUUUGUUUGUUGUUGAUCUGGUACUUCAUUCCAAUGCAUGAUAGCUUGGUCAACACAUUGCUCUGUUUCGAUUUGUGCAAUAAGGAUUUAAAAAAAAAAUACAUUCUGUACCUGAACUCGCUAACGCCCUGAAGGGAUAAUGUUACGAGUUCGUUCCAAGACAUAAUAUUGUAUUACAGUACUACUGACAUGGGACUUCACAUCCCCGUUUUUUCGCCUACUUGGCCUUUAGUAGAUAUUCCAUGUCUUCCUUUGUUUUAUUGUAGAUAGAAGAGUUACUAUUUCAUUAUGCUGAUACAUGAUGUAACUUUUUUUAUCUUCACAGAACUGGGUAUGUCCAAGAACAAGUUAACAUUGGCUCGGCUCCACCUGGGUCAAAAGUAAAAUGGUUUAGAUCAUCAAGUGAUGAGCCAAGAUUCAUCAAUACAGUGACAUUUGAUAGCAAGGAGAAUGCCCCCACCCUUGUCAUGGUCCAUGGUUAUGGUGCUUCACAGGGGUUCUUCUUUCGAAACUUUGAUGCCCUUGCAAGCCGCUUCAGGGUGAUUGCCAUUGAUCAACUUGGGUAAGCUCUAAGAAAAUCAAUACACUAUUGUGACUAAUAUUCCUCAAUGUGGUGAUUGAAGUAAUUAUAUUUCCAUUCCUUUGCUCACUUUUUCCCAACUGUUACAAUUAUCCUUGAUACCUGUAGAAAAGAGACAUUGGUCUAAAGAGUUUUGUGCAUUGUAAUAUUUGCACACAAUGUGUCUUCAUACCCACAGCAUACUAGGAUAUGAUUCCUGACUUGUUCACAUGCCACAAAUCUAAUUUUGAUUGUUUACAAUUAUCGGUGUUAAUGAUGCUUGUUCUUGUAAUUGACAUAAAGAAAGAAAAAUAUUAGUGUAGAUUCAUUGAUCUUAGAGUUCAAGAUUUAUGUUAGAAAUUGAAUCUUAUCAGUGUGAGUUAAGAGGAGUCAAUCGUGUCCUUUUACCUCUAGGUAAGGAAAAUUAAUAUGAUGAUACAUAAAUGUUUGCCUACUAUUAGGAUAUGUGUCAUGGAUGAUAAAAAAUGUUUUAUACUGUUCUUGUAAUUACUCCACAUUGUUUGAUGUUGCAUAUUGUUGAAUUUUUCCUACCCUUUUGCAGUUGGGGUGGAUCAAGCAGACCUGACUUCGACUGUAGAAGUACUGAAGGUUAGAUACAGAUACUUUAUUUUAGUAUGCUACUGGUUCCCCUCGACUGCCACUAUCAUUUCUGUUGUUGACCAUGCCUUGGCAUCAAAUUUUAUGGUGAACAUCCUGUUUUAUUUUGAUUUUUGACGAUCCUGCAAGCAAUUGCUACUAUGGGAAACCCAUGUAGAUUUGUUCCAUCAUAUUGCUUUGUGAUGUAGUUUCUGCUAUAUGCUUUUUUUUUAAACAACGAGUAACAUGCUUCCUUUCGUUUUUUAUUUUGGUCAACUUUGUGAACAGAAACCGAGGCUUGGUUCAUAGAUUCUUUUGAGGAAUGGCGCAAAGCAAAGAACCUCAGUAAUUUUAUAUUGCUCGGUCAUUCUUUCGGAGGAUAUGUUGCGGCAAAGUAUGCGUUACAGGUAUAUUUAUAAUUAAUUUAGCAAGUGAAGCUACUCAACUGCUGCCUAUGAUAAUUAUACUAAAAUGUAUGCUUUAUUUCAGCAUCCUGAACAUGUUCAGCACUUGAUUUUGGUUGGUUCUGCUGGCUUUUCAUCAGAAACAGAUCAUAGUUCUGAGAGGUUAACCAAGUUCCGUGCAACGUGGAAAGGCAUGCUAGUAAACCAUCUUUGGGAGUCCAAUUUUACUCCUCAAAGAAUUGUGAGGUAAGGCUAGGGCUUCUUCUAUUUGUAUUUUCAUUUUUUUACCUAAUAAUGCAAAUGAAGACAAGAUGAAAAUGUAAGCCUCUCCACUUCAUAAUUAGCAAUCAUCCAUGUCUAGUUAAAUUUGGUUAGUGCACGUACCUUAACAAAACAGAGCAAUCCAUCACCCAUUUUAACUGGAAGUAUUAUGUAGCCAGCUGUGACCACCAUAUCAGACCAAACCUGCCAGCAUGAUUUUGUUAGGAAAACAGCAACGCAUAUUGAACGGAAGCUCCAAAAAUAAGCUGCAAUAUUAUUUGCUGUCAAAUAGAGAAGUGCCAAUUAUUAUCUGAAGUAACACGAAUUAACAAAAAUCGCAAUCAAAUUCAUUCUGCUGUCUUAGAAGUCCAUGAAGGCAUCAUAUAUACUCUGAACUGGCAGUCACAGCUGGGGCAUAUAACAACCUUGUCAUGCUUCAGUCAGUUAAAAUGGAUGGAAGGGCUGGAUUGCUCCUUCUAUCGAAGUAAAUGAGUACUACUCCCUCCGUUCCUAAAUAUAGGUCUUUUUAGAGAUUUCACUAGGGACUACAUACGGAGCAAAAGGAAUGAAUCUACGCUCUAAAGUAUGUCUAUAUACAUCCGUAUGUAGUCCGCUAGUAAAACCUCUAAAAAGACCUAUAUUUAGGAACAGAGGGAGUAUGUUCAAAUUGAAGUAGAGAUAGCUCAACAACGCAAAAAUAAUUUGAAGUGGAGAUAGCUGCAACAAUUCGAAAACUAUCGGAUUUCUUUAUAAGCUACCUCUUUGGUACCUUUUGUACUGAUGUCCGUUUGUUUUACUUAAACAGAGGAUUGGGUCCUUGGGGUCCUGAUUUAGUUCGGAAAUAUACCACUGCUAGGUUUGGCUCACAUUCAACAGGUGAAUUACUAACAGAACAUGAGUCCUCCUUACUGACAGGUAAACAUUUGUUGUUACAUUAAUUCUGUAAGUGCAUUUUCUUAGAUGAUGCUUGUAAUUGAACCUUAUUGUUGCUUUCUUGUAUAUGAAGAUUACAUUUACCACACUUUAGCUGCUAAAGCUAGUGGAGAGUUGUGCUUAAAACAUAUUUUCUCAUUGGGGGCAUUUGCAAGGAAACCACUUCUGCACAGGUUAGCUCCUCUUCCUAUGCACUUAGUUUCUUGGAACUGCCCCCCUGGUGAUAACAGCAUGUUCAAUUAUUAUGUUUCUCAGUAAUCAUUAAGAAUUUAAGAUAAGAGCCCCUCCUAUAAUACUACCUCUGUAACUUAAUAUAAGACGUUUUUUGACACUACGACGGUGUACAAAAACGUCUUAUAUUUUGAUACGUUGGGAAUAUUAUUUAGAACUGUAUUUAAUAAAAGUGAAAAAGGGUUGUGUGUGCGCCCAAGUAGCUGUGGAAAAUCUGCUUUCGUUGAUUGUGGCUUUUGAAUCUUUAGCGGACAGGAUGGAAUUUGUUUCACAUGUUCUUCCCUAGCAUACUUGUUAAUUUCUUCUCUCUUUAUAGCAUUAGUCAAGUAGAUAAGAUAACUAUGGCUGCCAAUAACCACUUAUUCGUUACCAUGAAUAGAUUUGAAUUCCAGAAUGGCUUAUCUAGCGAAAAGUUUGAAAAUCCGACUCUGUAACAAACUAGCUAUACUACCAAUUUUCGUCAGUAUAUUUGAUAUAUAAAACAUGAUAAGUUAAUGAUCUUGUAGAUGCAGUAAUGUAUUGACCAAAAGUACCAGAGUGAACUAUAUGCAGCGUAAAUAUAUUUGUGAUGUUUUCUCACUGGCCUAUGACUUGCGACAGUGCAUCCGACUGGAAAGUGCCAACUACUUUCAUAUAUGGCCACGAUGAUUGGAUGAAUUACCAAGGGGCGCAGCAAGCACGCAAGGACAUGAAAGUUCCUUGCGAAAUCAUCAGAGUCCCACAGGUCAGUUUUCCAUUCUGGCAGUAUGUGCCCAGCCAGCCAAAAGAUUAGUAUUGACGACAUAUACCUUAACUGCUAUGCAGGGAGGACAUUUUGUGUUUAUAGAUAACCCUGAGGGGUUCCACUCGGCGAUCUUCUACGCGUGCCGGAAAUUUUUAUCUGGAGAUGCAGAGGAAGGUCUCUCUCUUCCUGAUGGCUUGAUAUCUGCAUGAGGCGUCAUCUUGUGUGAUCUCGUACCGAAUAGCGGUGUCAGCAUAAAGCAAAGCUAUACAACAAUAGAAAUGUUUUUGUAUGUAUGAAUUGUGUGAAUAUGUCAUUCAUAUGUGCUUGCGUACCAACAACACUAGUGAGACUAUUAUUGUUUUUUUUUUUGUCAGGUCUAGACAUAAUUAUGUCAUAUAUGUAAGAUCUUCCUAGUCAGUUUUUAGGUCAAGUUGCUGUAAGUGAUGCUCUAUAUUCUUUCAGGGCAACUUUAUGUUUGCCUGCUACGAAACAUCUUCACAGUAUUAACUGCCGCUGUACAUUUGCUGCAGUCAUUGCUGCGUCGUAGCCAUUUUUAGAAAGUAUUUUGGAACAGUGGAAGUGCAUUUUGGUGUCUUACGAUGCUAUUAUCCUACCAGACUAUUUUGGUACUAGUACGUCUACGAGUAUUCUACAAUUAGUCAUGAGGCUGACAAUGGCAACGUCCGCGGGGGCUGUUCCUGUCCCUGAAGGAGUUUUUUUUGGCCCCGAUCGGACUUCCUUCCUCGAGCUCGGGGGAAUCCCUUGGUCCGGUCUCCGGACCAGGAGGCGGUGGCGGCAUGGUGUCACUAUCUUUUUGAAGGGGUCGUCUUGUUGUUCGAAGAGUCUCGAUGGUGCGGCUCGAGUCAAUGUUACCGGACUUCUUGGGCGUAAUGUAUGCCAUCUCCGGCGCCAUCUCAAAGACACCUUUCCUAGGUUUGGCCGUACCGUUCACUUGUUGAUUUUCUCUUGGCACAAUUGGUGAUAGUACGUUGGAAUGUGUUGAUGUUGAGGUGAUAGUACGUUGGAAUGUGUUGACGUUGAGUCUUGGUUUUGUUGUAGAGGUCUCGGUAUUGGUUGUGAUGUGACUUGGUUGCUUUUUGGCUUGAGUCAUUGUCAUUGACAUAAGGUUGGACUAGGGAAACAUAUAUCCUAGUAGACAAGGUGGAUAUGAGUGAUGAGUGUGGCGGCUAAUUCUCGUGAUUAACGUUGUAAUGGUCGAAAGGCUUUGUAUUCGGUUUCUUUUUUUAAUGUGAAAGGUGCUUCUUUAUACUUCUUUUAAUGCGAUGAUACGCAUAUUUACGUGUAUUCUAUAAAAAAAUCAUGGCAAAAAUAUUUGUGUUUACUAAGCUCAACAGCUUGCUGAUUCCUACUCUCUCAAAUAUAAAUCGCUUUAGAUAUUUUAAUAUGAACUAUAGUACGGAUAUGUAUAUAGAUGUAUUUUGAAACAUAAAUUCAUCUAUUUUACUUCCUACAUAUUUCCUCCGUUUUUAAAUAUUUGUCUUUUCAGAGAUUUAACUACAGACUACAUCGGAGCAAAAUGAUGAAUUUACAUUUUAAACUAUGUCUAUAUACAUUCAUAUGUAAUCGAUAGUGAAAUUUCUAGAAAGACAAAUAUUUAAAAACGGAGGGAGUAGUUUACGCACACACUAUCUUUAAAAUGAUUUAUAUUUAAAAACGAGGGGAGUAGUUCUCUUGGACAUUAUGCCUAACUUCCAACUCCAAACAAAGAAAAAGCUCGCCCUUUCAUUUCAGCAAAGAGGGAGCGAGCGUGCCGCUCUUUCGCGGUUUCGCCUACCCCAUUUGAUGAGCCUAAACCCACAGGCGGGGCGCGCCGCAGCUCGCGUGGCAGAGCAUGGAGCGCCCUCCGCCAUCGCCGGCCUGGCCGCCGCCACCUCCAGGAUCGCCUCCCACGGCCGCGCCGGCGACGCCGCCGCGGCGCGCGCCGUGUUCGACGCGAUGCCCCGCCGCGACGCCGUCGCCUGGAACGCCAUGCUCACCGCCUACGCCCGCGCCGGGCAGCCGCGCGCGGCCNNNNNNNNNNNNNNNNNNNNNNNNNNNNNNNNNNNNNNNNNNNNNNNNNNNNNNNNNNNNNNNNNNNNNNNNNNNNNNNNNNNNNNNNNNNNNNNNNNNNCGAACCCUCCAAAGACUUUUGGUUACAACCCGUGUCCGAACCAAGUUUUUGUCUAACCUUUAUUAAUUUAAUUAGGGACUUUAAACGUUACUGCAGAUUAGUGUGGACCCCGACUUUUUGUACAAAUUAAACUAAGAAUUGAGGAAGRCUAUGGUGAAGUCGCGACAUGCAAUUGACCAAUAAAAAGACCCCUUCCACGGUCCUCCUCUAUUUUCUUCUCUAGUCACAUGCAUGACCACCCUCCUCCUCUCAACCGAACACAACAACACAAUAUCCCACUACAUGCAUAGUCCUCUUCUACUCUCUCUCUCUCUCUCUCUCCUUUCAAUUGGAAUAAUUUGUAAAUAAAAUUGGACAUAAAAACAAACAUUUGCGGUGUCCGUUUAGGGGGUCAGUGUUGGAAAUGCCCUUAGUAAACGAAAAUGUAAUUCUAAGAUAUUUACUGUGAGAAAGGGGUGUUGGGAAUUAUUUGAAAUGCGAUACUCAUAUGACCAUAUGGGAUGCGGCGGGAAAAAAGAAAGAAAGGAGGAUAUUAUUUGGUUGGCUCCGUCGAGAGGAGAGAAGCGUGGGGAAAACAAACUGCAUAUAUACGGCCGGCGGGGUGGGUGGUGAAAACUAGGAGCGAGGAGAGAUCAGUUGGAUGGCGACUGGGAUAUGCGCCAUGUAGUAUACGGCCCGUGUCGUGUCAAUCAACACAUGUGUCGUUUGUUUGGCUUGUCCGUUUGUCAUUUCCUCCUUCGUAGGCACCACGACGAGCCCUGCGCCUAAACGGCAACCGCAAGUCUCAUAUGUGUUCGUCAGCUAGCCAGCUAGCUAUCCUCAAAGAAAAGGGAAAAAAGAAAAGUAGCUAGCUAGCUAUCCUCUUAGAAAAGGGAAAAAAGAAAAGUAGCUAGCUAGCUAGCGCCAUUGGUCGAUGGACGGGGAGGUUUGCGUUCCGUGUCCAUCACGGCCAUCUCCUGCCGAGCCACCGAGACCUUUCCAACCUUGGGAAGAACAUGGAGCGGAUCACUUCUAGAAUCUCUCGACAGUGGACGUUUGGUUUCUGGACUGAUGAAGCACCUGGACUCGGACGAUUGAGAUGUCAUCGCGGACACCAUGCUAUGUGGAGCAGCGUGCUGGUCACAGUCGAAAGUAUCGUAUAUUGAUACUACGUCCAUAAUGCAUAGAAUUAUGGUUUGAUAUCAUACUUAAUUUUAUUUAUUUAAUUAUAUGUUACCUUAAUAAAAUAUCUAAUUCACAUGUAUGAUACUAGCUAUUAUAUUACGGACGUGGAUUUUUUUUUGCUCUGGGGAGCAUAUGAUGCUCCCUAAUGAACAGUAAAAACCAAAAAAAAAAAGUAAAUAAGUUUUAAAAAUUCUGAAUUUUUUUUAUAGAUGUUCACAUUAGUGUGGCAAGUGUGCUUGCUAAUUUUCAUGACAUAUGGGAUAGCGGUGCUUCGUUGGUGAAAAAAUUAAAAUUAAACUAAACAUUUGAAGAUAACAUUUGACGUUGGACUUGUUCAUUUUGUGCAGACCAAAAUACUUAAGUUUUUGACCUGUAAAUUGCAUAUACCAUUUGAGUGUGACAAUGAACACAUCUGUUUUUUUCAAAAAAUUUGAUAUUUGUAAAAUACAUUUUUAACACGCAGAAGCAUAUGCUUCCUAGAAUCAAAUUGAAUAUCCAUUAUACUACCAGCCUAAGAGGCGACACAUCCGACAAACAAGUGUCAUUAAUAGGCACAUGCUCAGGUGGACAUGUUAUCAUAAAAUAAAUGAUCAAGUUAGAAACAAAGGAAUAUAAUACUCCUUCUUUCAAAAUAAAUGACUCGAUUUUAUAUUAAUUUUAUAAGGUUAGUAUAAAAUUAAAUCAUUUGUUUUGAAACAAAGGAAGGACAGGUCAAGGAGGAGGUGGCACAGACUAAAGAAAAGCUUAUCCUAUACCGACUAGAUGUGACUUGGACAUAUCCACCACAGGCAUGCAAAAGCGUCAAUGAAAAUACUCUAGGAAGGGUAGGGGCAACUAAAAUUAGAGCAUCUCUAGCACACCCUGUGUAAUGCCUCGUCCCGUAAAAUAACCGCCAAAAUAAGGAUCGAAAAUAUUACCACAUCAGAUCCCGCAAUGUGUCCGAGCCGUAAAAAACUUUGCGGGGCGCGAUAAAAGUUUGCCCUCAACCUUCAGAUUCACGGGGUGGGAGGCCGACCCGAGCUCGCCCCCUAUCCGCAACGAGAUUUAACGCGAGGGAAAUUUCCGCGCGGUUGUUCCCUGCUCCCCCCUCCUCGACUGCCAUUGCCACGCUACCGCGCGCUCCGGACCAUCUUCCCCACCAUUCCAUGCCGCCAUGGAAGCCUCUCAGCCGGCGGAUCUCGUCAACAUGGAGGUUACGCAUGCACAAUCCCAUCGGCGGAUCUCGUCAACAUGGAUUAAUACUUCCAACUCAUGGUCAAGUAUCCCAAUAAGACAGUACGAACCUUUCAGUCACUCCAAGGUCGUUGGGACGUGAUCAAGCCGACUUGUAGCCAUUGGGCAGCUUGCUUGGAACAAGUUCGCAAUGCUCCUCCAAGUGGAACCGUGGAAUCCGACUAUGUUAGUUUGUUUUCACGUCCCAAGUUCUACACACCAUUUGCAUCAUGUGAAAUGGUUCCAUCAUUUGACUUUGUUUUAAUUGUGUAGGAAAAAAUUGCCCAACACCGGUACAAAGACAUGGAAGCUUCAUAAGGCAAAAAAAUUAAACUAGAGCAUUGUUGGGAAAUGAUCAAAGACUGCGACAAGUGAAAGUUGAUUGACAAAGAAUCCCCACCGAAGAGAGGUUCACUUACGAACAUGGAUGAAGAUGAAGAUGAUGAUGACCCAAGAAACUUGAACAAGCCUGAUGGUGACAAGAAGACAAAGAAGAAGAUCAAAAGGGAACACGAAGCAUCGAGCUUGCGGGAUAGGAUAUAUGCCAUGGUAAAAUCAAAUGAGGUGAUGCUAGCGAAGUCUCUGGAGGCAAAGAUAGAGUUGGCCGAGAAGAAGGCAUGAGAGAAACAAGAGAGGUGGAAAUUGCUAAAGGACAUUGAGGAGAGAAGAGCACGUGUUGCUGAGAACAAAACCAUGGCCAACCUUCUUGCCGAAGAGAACAGGAUCAUGACUUUGAACUGUAAUGACAUGGACGACAUCAGCAAAGAAUGGCAUGAUAUGACAAGGAGAGAAAUCUUGAAGAGGAGGAUGCUUGCGUGUUACAAUGGCGGCGAUGUUUUCUCAUUGGGAAUCGGAACCAAUAUUGUCGAUGAUUUCAAUGCCGGAGUUGGAACAAGUGUCAGCGAUGGAUACGGGGGAGUCGAUGGAUUCAGGGGCGACGAUGACCUCGAUGGUGCGGAGUGAAGAGCGACCAGGAUGCAUGAAGUCCUUUUGGGUUUGUAUUUUAAACUAUGCUUUCAUUUUGCACGCGAACUAUGUUAUAUUGUUUAAAAUCGAAUUCAUUUCUCGGAACCGCUCUCAAAUUCGCUUAUUGGGAGGCUUUUCGGUUUACGGGUCAACGUGGCGGCAUCCGAGCAGACCCCGUAUUGCCAACCCGUAAAAAACAUCUUCUGCAAAUAUAUUUUUUACGGAUCCGUUUUGCGGGAUCUGAUUCCAUUCGUGCCCGCACUGGCCCACAAAACCCUUUUUUCUCGAACUGUAAACGACUUUGCGGGUUAACUUUAUACGGGGUCUGCUAGAGAUGCUCUUAACAUGAGAAUAGACAAUGCUCUUAACAUGAGAAUAGACAGUAAAAGGAGACAUCAAGGAGAGUGCAAAGUUUUAAUGGACGGGGGCAUUAGAGGACUUUAUUUCAAAAGAUUCAAAAAUGAUAUUUCUAUAUUUUUUUUAAAUCCCAAAAUAAAUAUUUGAAAACUUAUACGUAUUUGCAGUGGAUCUAUGAAAUUUCGUUUACUAAAAAUUUUAUUUUUUAACUAAGUCUGCAACAAAAAUUAAAAAAUUAAKUAGGACCCAAAAACAAAACCAAAAAAAGAAUACCUAACUUUUACUUAAUUUAAUUAGUUUUACUUUAGKUUUUUAUURUUAUACGUCYAMKUAUAGUAAAGUAUAUUAGUUAUUGUUAAUUUUUUCUACAACUAGUGUUGUGNNNNNNNNNNNNNNNNNNNNNNNNNNNNNNNNNNNNNNNNNNNNNNNNNNNNNNNNNNNNNNNNNNNNNNNNNNNNNNNNNNNNNNNNNNNNNNNNNNNNACGUAACGGUUUACGGUAACCCUACGUCCCGACAACCCCCUACCGUCCGUUACCCUUUCCCUAACCCUAAGACCACCCGGACUACGAGACGACUUAGUCACUUGUCAGCACGAUAGUCGUCGAUGAGCGCUGCAUCGAAGACACCAACCAUACGUCCACUGCAUCAUCAUGAGCGCCCAUCGGAGCUCCGACAACGUUGCGCCGCAGCACAAACAACCACCGACAAAGCUGCAUCGAAGCACCCGUUUCUCCCUGUAGAGUCGCAACUGUUGCAACGCAACAGCCUCGCCGCAGCACCGACUACUCACGCGAGCGCUCUAUUGCAGCAUUGUGACCGUUGCACUGCAGCUUCGGCAACACCGACCAGCAUUGCAUGCCGCCGGUGAGUACUCCAUUGUAGCACGACGAGAGCUGCAACGCCUCAUCCUCAAGCGGACCGUUGCCACUUUGCAACUUCACGGGUGCUGCGACAUCUCCUUUUGCGGCAGCGCCACACCCUCGAGCGGCGAUACGACGAGCCCUUAUCAGCAGCGAUGGCUGCCCUGCAACUCACGACAACAGGGUGGUCAGCGUUGUGCGGCUCUCCUCUCCUACAACAAUGGCAGAUGAUCCCCGAUUUUCAAUUGUUAGGGCAGCAACACGUGUGGGAUAUCGGGACUGCGACUGCACGACGAUCCUGCACUCGAUUCCUCAACUCCGUCGACAGUCCUCCUGAUUUCCCUCCAGUGUCUCAUCUAACAGCUGACGAAUAAGAGAACAAUGAAAAGGGAAAGGGAGAAACGAGUGGAGGGGAAGAGAUAAGGUGGGACGAGAGUGAGCGGUGGAUGAAUCCAUGAGGGCACAUGGCGUACGGAGGCGACGGUUUAAGGGAGAGAGAAUCAGUUGGUUGUUUUUAAUUGUUUUCUUUUUUCUUUCAAAGAAGGCAUUUUUUCUAAAACUGUCAUCGUUUAAUCUCGCGCCGUAACCAAAACGGUCAUGAAAAUGCAUUCGCUUGCCAUCUACCUUCCACAGAGGAAACGUUCGUCAGUUAGUAUUUCCGUAAAACAUUCACUCGAUGAGAUUUCGGUUCUAAGAGCAACUCUAGCAGACCCCGCAUCCGCCCUCGACCCGCAAAAUAACCGCCAAAAUGCGGGUCGGGGUGGAAAAGCCUGCCCGAUCAGACCCCGCAUCCCGCCCCGGCUCGCAAAAAUUUUCAGGGGGCGCGGCAAAUUCCCGACCCCAACCUGGGAAAACGCGGGUUUCCCCCUCACGGCUGCGGUGCCCUGCAUAACAGAGAGGCAGUUGGCGGGAGGGACAUUUCAGCCCGCGCUAUUUUCCCCUCCCUUCCGCCGCCGCCGCCCCGCCCUUGCUUCCUCCCGCCUGCUGGUGGCGAUUCCGGCCAUAUCUGCAGGCGAGCCGCUGCACCGCCCCUCCGGAUCCGGCGAGAAGAGCCCCCUCUAGCCGUCGCCGCCCGGGAUCGACCACCGCCUCAUCGCCGCCGCCGGUUAGUACCUUUUUUGUGGUUCCUACUAUCCUCCCGCCAACUACCCGAGAAGAUGGAGUUGACCCCAUGUGAGAAGUUCCUGCUAUCCGAUUCGUCCGAUUCGGACGGCUCGGAUGUUGAGACCAUGCUUGCGACCUUUCGUCAGCAAACAUUAGUCAUGACGCUUGCCGUGAAGGAGAAUGAAGACGAGAACCAUAAGAAGAGGCGAGGAUCGACUGUCGAGCGUUUGUGCAUUCCUCGGAAUCGCCAUCUUGGGAACGAGAUGUUGAUGCAAGACUAUUUCGCGGAGAAUCCUACAUAUCCUCCACACCUCUUCCGGAGAAGGUACCGAAUGCGCUGAUCCCUCUUUGUGAAAAUUGUUCAAGCUUGCGAGGAAAAUUGCCGGUAUUUUACUCAAAGAAGGAAUGUCGCAGGCUUAAAGGGAUUUAGUGCAUAUCAAAAAAUCUCCGCAGCUAUGCGGGUGAUUGCAUAUGGCGUUCCGGUUAACUAUGCCGAUGUGUACAUUCGCAUUGGUGAAGAUACCACAAUUGAGUAUGUGCGUAGAUUUGCAAAAGUUGAUCAUCCGUCUCUUCGGUCCUGAGUAUCUUCGGGCAUCCAAUGAAGAUGACACAAAGAAAUUGAUGGCAUCUAAUGAGAGGAGAGGUUGGCCUGGAAUGCUAGAUAGCAUUGAUUGUAUGCAUUGGAAUUUGAAAAAUUGCCCCAAGGCUUGGCAAGGAAUAUAUUGUGACAAGUCUCGUGAUGCAAUAAUUGUGCUAGAGGCCGUAGCAUCCGAGGAUUUAUGGAUUUGACAUUGCUUUUUUGGUAUGCCGGGCACUCUCAAUGAUAUCAAUGUGUUGUAACGGUCGCAUUUGUUUGCUAGGCUUGCUAGUGAUGAUGCUCCUGCUUGCAACUACGCUAUUAAUGGACAUGAAUACACAAAGGGGUACUAUCUUGCAGAUGGUAUAUACCCUCCUUGGUGCACAUUUGUCAAGAGCAUCAAAGAACCCAAAACAAAAAAAAUAAUAUGAAUUUGCAAAGGUGCAAGAGGCAGCCCGCAAAGACAUUGAAAGAGCAUUCGGUGUUUUGCAAUCUAGGUUUGCCAUUGUGCAUGGUCCUGCUCGUUUUUGGGAUAAGAGAACCUUGAAGAACAUCAUGACACGCUGUGUUAUCCCGCACAAUAUGAUUCUUGAAGAUGAGAGAGGAUUGAACUUAGAAUUCUUUUACGACAAUGUGGGUAGCCGUGUCAAACCAGCUAGAGACCCAAACCGCAUUAGAGCUUUUCUUCAGACAUACAAGGAGAUUGAAAACCCAGACACCCACUUUCAACUUCAGAAGUAUCUCAUUGAACACUAUUGGCAAAGGGCUAGACAACGACUUAUUUUUGUAUUCAUUUGUAUUUGUAUUCAUGACAAGUUUUGAAUAAUUAUUUGUAAUGCGGAUGAUUAUUGUAUUGUGUUUGAUUGGAAUAAUUCAGUUUGUUUUCGGCCGUUGAAUUAUGUUGUAUUUGAUAUUUACGGUCUAAUGAUACGGGAAGCAGCGGUGCAAAGAACGGACCCUUCAAAGUCGACCCGUAAAAAAGAAUAUUCCACAAAUAUAUUUUUUACGGAUCCGUUUGUGGGAUCUGCAUAUGUGACAGCCCAGGCCAGCCCGCAUAAGCAGUUUAGCACGACCUGCAAACGUGUUUUUCGGGUCGACGGGAUGCGGGGUGUGGUAGGGUUGCUCUAGAGAAACUCUUUCCAGCGGUUGACUGGUUUUGACUGAGCGUUACAUGCCACGUCAUCGGGUUUACCUCACCAGGACAAGUCCCGCCUCCCGAGCCCGAACCAAUCCGUCCCGUGAGAGGAGCGCCGCCACUGCCCCUCCGCCGCCGGCUUCGGCCCUCCCCGUCGCCCACUUUCCCCGCCCCUCCCCCGCGGCCCCGCUCCUCCAACUCCCCUCCUCGCCCGCACCCACCCCGUCGCCCCGGUCUCCGCCCACCCCCGCCCCACCCACCCCACCCAACYCCUAAACCCUACGACCCUACUCCCCCCUACAAAACCCCGUGGAAACGUACCCACGGUUCCUACGCCCGGAGCCCCGCCCGCCGGGGACCGGCGACGCGGUACGCCCCGGAGACCCCUNNNNNNNNNNNNNNNNNNNNNNNNNNNNNNNNNNNNNNNNNNNNNNNNNNNNNNNNNNNNNNNNNNNNNNNNNNNNNNNNNNNNNNNNNNNNNNNNNNNNGCAGAUAACAUCGUUGUGGCACUCUCCAACGGCAGGUGCGUAGCUGCCAACAGGUAUGGAGCACACGUCUACCUCUAGGUAGCUAAGCUAGCUAGGCGAUGUACCCUAGCCUCUGGAGCAGCGCGGAGCGGAGGGCGCCGUCGCCGUCGUCGUCCUGUAGUCCAGCGGGCACGUCGAUGACGACGUCCUGCACCGUCACGCCCUCCAUGCGGUGCACGCACGCGUGCUGCACCUGCAGCUCUAGCCGACCGGAGCGCACUCAUCAGCCGCGCCGGCGCGUGCCGGGCUCGUCCCGAGCUCAUCACGCGCACCGCCGCCGCGUCCUUCCCCACCAUCCGCACCUCCACCACAUCGUCGCCAGCCCCGGCGUGGCUGCCUCGGGACGAAGAAGCGGGCCCGUUCGACGCCUCCCACCUAGCGGCGGCCGCCUGCCGGCCCUCCUCCUCGAGCCGCGCGACGCGGGAGCGCAGCUCGGUGAUGUAGGCGACGGCGUCGGCGAGGAGUGAGGCCUUGUCCAUCCGGGACACGGUGGGCACGGCGGCGCGGAGGUCGCAGAAGCGUCGGUUCAGCUUGUCGCGGCGCUGGCGCUCGGCCUCCACGUGGCUGACGGUGAGACCAUCGGGCCGCGGCACGGGCUUCCGCCCACGCCGCUUUGUAGGCGUGGUCGUCGACGCCGGCGGUAGCUCGGAGUCCGGGGAGAGCGACGAGCUCCGGCAGGCCACAAGAAAUCUACACUCCUCGCUCGUUCGGACCGGCNNNNNNNNNNNNNNNNNNNNNNNNNNNNNNNNNNNNNNNNNNNNNNNNNNNNNNNNNNNNNNNNNNNNNNNNNNNNNNNNNNNNNNNNNNNNNNNNNNNNCUUCUUCGUCCGUUUUCCGUUUCGUUUCCGUUUACCCCUUACGGUGUUUAGCUAAGCCGAGACCCCUUGCCUCCNGAAAAGUCAUUCCUUUUCUAUCUUCGUCCAUGUCAACAGGAUCUGGACGUGCAGGUUUUGUACUCAGGUUUGGGAUCUAUCUCCCCAGGUCGCWACUUUCUUGGGUCAUCGUUAGGCUCAUAAUUCUCAUCCUUUGCACAGGCAGCAUCAAGCAAUUUUUUCAUAACGCUCGAGGCACUGGGAUGGUGUUCGUACCCACAAUAGGUGCAAUAGUCCUCCAUUGAGUAGGCAUUGAGCUUAGCBAAGAUGUAAGCAGUCUUCUCAUCCUCUUCCCUUGUCCACUCAGUCUGGGGUUAAUGGGCACUAGGUUAGUUAAGUAAACGUAAAUAGACAGAACCUCUAUAAUUAUUCGACAGACAACUAGAAAAACUGAAAAAUGGGGGCAGACCUAUGUCAUAAUAGAGCAAGAUAUAACCAAUUAAAAGAAACAUUAAGCAUACAUAUGACAGGUAAAGAUUGUACGGUUAUUUGAACUAAUUUAAUUUGAAUUAGAAUGUAGAAUUCAACACAGAACUAGAAAAUUAUAAGUUUAGUACUAAGUUAGUCGUUUAGGUUUUAAUUUAGACUUAACUUUAAAGGUUUUAGUAAGUUUAGGUAUUACGACAAACGUCCGUUAAAUUAGGAAAGUACCGUAAUUUAAACGGAAAUUAACUAAAAGUUUUAANNNNNNNNNNNNNNNNNNNNNNNNNNNNNNNNNNNNNNNNNNNNNNNNNNNNNNNNNNNNNNNNNNNNNNNNNNNNNNNNNNNNNNNNNNNNNNNNNNNNUAUACCAUUCCCUUUGCCCUUCGGUGUGUUACUUGCCCGAGAUUUGAUCAUCGGUAUCCCUAUACCUAUUUCAAUCUCGUUAUCGGCAAGUCUCUUUACUCGUUCCAUAAUACAAGAUCCCGUGACUAACACUUUAGUCACAUUGCUUGCAAGGCUUAUAUGUGAUGUUGUAUUACCGAGUGGGCCCCGAGAUACCUCUCCGUCACACGGAGUGACAAAUCCCAGUCUUGAUCCACGCUAACUCAAUGGACACCUUCGGAGAUACGUGUAGAGCAUCUUUAUAGUCACCUAGUAACAUUGCGACGUUUGAUACACACAAGGUAUUCCUUCGGUGUCAGUGAGUUACAUGAUCUCAUGGUCAUAGGAAUGAAUACUUGACACGCAAGAAAAAAUAGAAAACAAAAUGACACGAUCACAUGCKURCGUUUAUAGUUUUGGGUCUUGUCCAUCACAUCAUUUCCUACCUAAUGAUGUGAUCCAGUCAUACAAGUGAACAACCUACUUGCAUUAGUCGGGUACUAAACGUAAAAAACCCUUUAACCCGAUUUACCCGUUUAGUAACUUCCCGUAAAACGUUCGGGGUACCUUUAACGGUACCCGUAAACGUUCGGGGUAAACGGGUUCCCUUUAAACGGUUAAGGGGGUUUAACCCGUUUUUUUUGGGUUUUUUACGUACCUUUAAAGNNNNNNNNNNNNNNNNNNNNNNNNNNNNNNNNNNNNNNNNNNNNNNNNNNNNNNNNNNNNNNNNNNNNNNNNNNNNNNNNNNNNNNNNNNNNNNNNNNNNUUUUUCAUGAACUGUAAAAAUAUUUUUUGCGGAUCGGCAUUAUACGAGGUCUUCUGGAGAUGCUCUUAGCGCAUCCUCAAAGCGAACCCUCAAAGCUUUGGUACACCGUGUCCGAACCAGUUUUGCUAACCUUUAUAAUUUAAUGGGACUUUAAACGUCUGCAGAUUAGUGUGGACCCCGAUUUUUGACAAAUUUAAAACAGAAUUGAGGAAGCUAUGGUGAAGUCGCGACAUGCAAUUGACCAAUAAAAAGCCCCUUCACGGUCCUCCUCUAUUUUCUCUCUAGUCACAUGCAUGACCACCCUCCUCCUCUCAACCGAACACAACAACACAAUAUCCCACUACAUGCAUAGUCCUCUUCUACUCUCUCUCUCUCUCUCUCUCCUUCAUUGAAUAUUAGUAAAUAAAUGACAAUAAAACAACUAUUGCGGUGUCCGGUUAGGGUCAGUGUURGAAUCGACCUUAAGUAAACGAAAUGUUAAUUACUAAGUAUUAUUUACUGUAGGAAGGUAAAGGGGUUGUUAGGGUAAUUUAUUUGAAAUGCGUAUACUCAUAUGACCAUAUGGGAUGCGGACGGAAAAAAGAAAGAAAGGNGAUAUUAUUUGGUUGCUCCGUCGAGAGGAGAGAAGCGUAGGGAAAACNNNNNNNNNNNNNNNNNNNNNNNNNNNNNNNNNNNNNNNNNNNNNNNNNNNNNNNNNNNNNNNNNNNNNNNNNNNNNNNNNNNNNNNNNNNNNNNNNNNNGGACACUAACAUAAAUAACAAACGACUCUAAACAAUAGGCGAUCAUGACAAAAAAAAUAANACGAGUUUAUUAGUWAGUUGUCUCUUAAWAGUGAAAUCUGAUUUCACCAGUGGAUUCUUGGGAUGAUUCUACCCCAAAAGCAUAUAUAAUACAUGGGUACUUGCUUGUAACAUGUAGGCACAAAGCUAGCUCGAAAAACAACAUAGAAUCCUAUAAGAUCAUAUGAGACAUCAUCACAUGUGAACAAAGCAUUAUAGUAUCUACUACUCCUACAUAUGCACACACACAAGGUUCAUACACCACCACAUCACCAUAAUGGCAAGCAUGAGGGGUUAGCCCUCAUGCACAAGUGCAUAGGUGCACUCAUGCCCACACACACACAUGCAUAGAACAACACUACACACAAAUAAUAURUCGCCCMCCCCACCACACACUACAACCUAAGAAGGUGGCACUACAACGAAGGGGACGGUACGUACCGUCCYUYGUCGMMCWAUGUYGYGACUAGUUGCGACCAACCGUAAUGUCCACAACCACCAANNNNNNNNNNNNNNNNNNNNNNNNNNNNNNNNNNNNNNNNNNNNNNNNNNNNNNNNNNNNNNNNNNNNNNNNNNNNNNNNNNNNNNNNNNNNNNNNNNNNUAUGAUUUUUUUUUCGAACGGAAGAAGAUCAGGGGGCCUAUGGGCCAAGCCAGGAGGGCUACAGGGAGCCCACAAGCCCCCACUCCGCCACCAGGGGGAGGCGGCGGUGGGCAGGCUUGUGGCCUCCCUGGCGCCCCCCUGACCUAGAUCUAGCGCCUAUAUAUUCCCUAAAAAUCAGAAAAAAAUCAAGGGAUCCACGAAAAUACUUUUCCGCCACCGCAAGCUUCCGUUUCCGUGAGAUCUCAUCUGGANACCCUUCCGGUGCCCUACCGAAGGGGACCUUGGAGUUGGAGGGCUUCUUCAUCAUCAUCAUCGCCCUCAAUGACUCGUGAGUAGUUCACUUCAKACCUACGGGUCCGUAGUUAGUAGCUAGAUGGGUUCUUCUCUCUCUUGGAUCUUCAAUACAAAGUUCUCCAUGAUCUUCAUGGAGAUCUAUCCGAUGUAAUCUUCUUUGGCGGUGUGUUUGUCGAGAUCCGAUGAAUUGUGGAUUUGUGAUCAGAUUAUCUAUGAUAUAUAUUUGAGUCUUUGCUGUAUUUCUUAUAUGCAUGAUUUGAUUAUCCUUGUAAGUCUCUCCGAGUUCUUUGGGUUUUGUUUUCGACCUAACUAGAUUCUAUUGUAUUUCUUGACCGUAAGUGGGGAAGUAAGUUGGUCGUUUUGGGGUUUUUUCGGGUUACCUUUACCAGUUGGUUGGGUACGUACCCCUUUUCCCCGAAGUCCGGAACGUAGGGUUACGGGGGACAAAACCGAACGGGNNNNNNNNNNNNNNNNNNNNNNNNNNNNNNNNNNNNNNNNNNNNNNNNNNNNNNNNNNNNNNNNNNNNNNNNNNNNNNNNNNNNNNNNNNNNNNNNNNNNAUGUUCAACCAUACCGCAGGGCAACACUCGAUACGGCUAUAAUGUGUGAGUAAGGAUUGUUGGCUUACCCCUACUUUUUAGCUCUCUACCAAUUUUUACAAGGAACAAAACUCACUUAACAACUAUGUGAAUAUUUUUAAUGUUAAGCAAUCCAAACUGACUAAAGAAUUGAUCUCGAAAGACUGACGCCUGAGAGUACUGUCAAGGCAUUCGUAGAGUCGUGUUGGACGAUUACCGGCUURUUUGAAUGCUCAAUGGUCAAUGCCAUACCUUGCAUGAUUGCGUGAAUUUCUGCAUCAAGUGCGUCAUUGCAAUGAAAGAUAUACUUGUAUGCAUCAAAGUUCGCGGAAUCAUCCUCAUUUCACAGAACCAUUCCAGCACAUGCACGCCCAUCAUGACUACGAAAAUAGAGCCUCAAACCAAGAAAAGGACAACACCAUCCAGCUGUUAGGAAAUAUGCCCUAGAGGACAAUAGAAUAAAAUAAGUUAAUUUAAUUAAUUAUUUCCUUCUUUACGUAAGAAUUAAUUACGUUUAUUUAUACCUAUGUCUAAUUAAGUUAGUUAUUAGUAAUAGAAAGUAACAAUAAAUACNNNNNNNNNNNNNNNNNNNNNNNNNNNNNNNNNNNNNNNNNNNNNNNNNNNNNNNNNNNNNNNNNNNNNNNNNNNNNNNNNNNNNNNNNNNNNNNNNNNNAGAGGGCGAGUAGCCCACGUGGUGGUGCUGUGGUAGCAGGGGACCGUAGGGUUCCGGUAAUACCAGGGACCCCGUUUUUUUUACCCCCUUUCGUUUCAUUUUUUUCCCUUACUUUCUUUUCUUUCGUUGCAGCAAGCAUGANAGUUUUCUUUUUAGAUAGWGUUUUGGUGUGUAUUAUCUGCUGCCUAGGAUACCAUAUAUAGGUGUGUGCAAGUGCUUGUGUAUGCACUAGUGUGUGUAGGUGGAGUGUGUAUGAGUGUGUGUAUGGUGUGUGGUUGUGUGUGUGUGUGUGCACAUGAAUGAGUUGUGCACACAUGUGCAUGUGGGUGUGUGUGUGCAUAUGGUUGCACAUGCACAUGUGCAAGAGGGCCUAGCCCCUCUUGAUGCACCUCUUGUAGUGUGUGUGGGUGGGGCACAUAUAUUUGUGUGUAUGUGUUCAUGCAUGUGUGUGUGUGGGCAUGAGUGCACCUAUGCUACUUGUGCAUGGACGGGUCCCUAACCCCGUCAGUUGUCCUUUCGACCCUAUUUAGUGGGUAGUGUUGGGUUGGGUUGGGUUUUAACGUUACGGUAAACCCGUUUUGGUUAGGGUUGGUGGUUCGGCCUUAAGUUAGUUAGGGUUUAAAGGGUAGGUUUAAGGGUAAACGGUUAAUUNNNNNNNNNNNNNNNNNNNNNNNNNNNNNNNNNNNNNNNNNNNNNNNNNNNNNNNNNNNNNNNNNNNNNNNNNNNNNNNNNNNNNNNNNNNNNNNNNNNNCAUCACUCUCUUCAUCGAGACAGCUGAUCUGAAGACACACGGUGCGUGAACCGCGUCACUCCUUCCACUUAGDDACGACAGCUUCGUAUCUGAAGAUGCAGGUGCGUGAACCGCGUCACUCCCUUCAUUAGAGACAGCUUGAUCUGAAGACACAGGUGCGUGAACCGCGUCACUCCCUUCAUUAGAGACAGCUUGAUCUGAAGAUGCAGGUGCGUGAACCGCGUCACUCCCUUCAUUAGAGACAGCUUGAUCCCAAGAUACAGGUGUGUUCCCUACAUCUACACUUGUAGCAGCAGCCUUAGGAACAUUUCCCCCCUCUUCUUGGCUACCAGCAUCAACAUCCAUGCUACAAUUGGUAUUGUCCUGGUCAUCUAAUUUGGAUGAAUCAACCUUGUCAAUGGCGCCCUCGUUCAUGGUAACGCUGUCCCCACUAUGAGCAUUAGAAGUAGUCUGUCCAACUGAAGCCCCAUCGUUAUCCACUAGAGUGUCAGGCAAUGKAGGAAUAGGACCUACAAGGUCUCCAUCUACAUCUGCAUUGUCCAUGUCCAUCUGAUCCCCCUUGAUUUCUUUGCUUCCUGCAGCUUCUUCAUCAGUAACCAUAUUCGUCUGUCCUGAUUCCUCUUCAAUGUCAUGAUUCUUCCUCUCAUUUUUCUUCCUCAGCAGCACGUAUUUUGAGCUGCAGUCUUCCUCCUC